GAGAGGGAUCAUCGAAGGGAUGAUGUGAUAUGAUUUGAAGGAAGGUGUGUGGCGAUGGGUAGGAUGGCAUGGCGUGUGCCGAAGUUAAGUUAAGGAGGUUGUGUGGACAUUGAUGGCGAAGUCUGGGUUGCCUAUGUAAUUUACAGCAUUUUACACAUGAGAUGUGGAGGUUGAGGUGGUGUGUGUGGGAUUUGAGUGGAUGUGGGAGGCGUGGAUGGGAGUGGUUUGUAGCUGUGAUAUGCGUAGUUCAACGAUGAGGUUGUAUGGAUUCUUUAAUGGGUGGGAGUGAGAGCACGAAGCAUGUGGAUCGGGGUGCGUGAAUUUUUGUAUGGUAUGGAUGGUGGGCAGCAGGCAUUGUUGCGGUGGUAGCAAGGGUUGGUCAGCUAGUGGGCAGUGAGUCGGGGAGGCGGUAUGCUCGGGUUCGGAGAUGUUGAUGCAGACCGGUACUGGAAUAUGGUCCAGAAAAGGACGGACGAAUCACUGACAGUGCACGGGGGAGAGUGAGAAUGAGAAUGGGCGCGAUAUGUAGAUGAAUUUCCGCCUGGCAGUAGGAAAGUUAAGCGCAGAUCGGUUGCAUGAGCGUGUGGGAGUGACGAAGAAUAUCUAGAGAUAUGUAGGUGUGGAGGGCAUAAGGAGUGUGGAGCUUGUUGUGAUUGCAAAGGAGUGAACGGAUGGAUUGAUGCGAAGGAUGUGUAAAUGAAUGUGUCUGUCUCCGUUUUGUAUCGUGUUUUGUGGUGGACACGAUCAGAGGGGAGGGAUGAUAUGAUGGAUGAGACGGAGCAGAAGAGGGUGUUGGUUGUUGCAGAGUUGCAUUGACGUGAUGCGGAUAUGGCUUGCGAUUGGCAGUUGAUGGAGCUGUUCUUUGCAUAGUUGUGGAAUAUAGAUCCCGAGUCGGCAUCCUAAAAACCUGAUUGAUGGACAGACUCCAGCUACCCAAAACCUAAAUUAGUUGGACAUCAAGAAGCACGUCGGAAUGUUGAGUUCAGACAACUUUGUUACUGAUGUACUUAAUUGUGGACAUAAAUUCAAGGUGGGAAAAUUGAGCUUGAGAAGCGGCUGAUACCUUAACAUUUCGUCCACGAAUACAUCGAAAGAGGUUCGCUCUACGCAUCACUAUUCCAACGUGUGAAAUCACGGCUUUCUGUCCUGGAAUGGCGCACCCGCUUCGUCGGUCUUCCAAACCGCCAGAGGUUUACCUCCACGAACCAUUGUGGAGGUAAUCAAUAUACAUUGUUAGAACUUAUGGUUUCAUGGAUCUAUAAAAACUACUCUAGAAAUUGAACAUGUUGAACAGAUCUUUAUUUUUAGAUUCACAACAUAAAAUAUAAUAGAAAACAACUUAUUUUUCAUACUAUUCAAUUUGUAAUAAAUGUAUAUAUCACCAAAAUUCAUAGAAAUAAAUAGUAGCUUGAAACAUAUUACUUAGUUAUUAUCUUUCUCAAGAAAUUUUGAGGAAGAUUUCUAGAUGUAGAUUAGAUCUUCAGAUUCUUUAAGAUAAGCUAAAUGGCUAUUAAACCUUGUUCCACAUGUUUCUUAUUUUUUAAAAAAUGCACUAUAAAUAAUCUAUAAUUUGGAUUAUAAGCUUCAUGAUCUUUAAGAAAUUUUCACCAAAAUCUUCUUGGUAGCUAAUAUAUAUAGAGACAUGAUUGAAGCCAUUUUUACUCUCAUUAAUGCUAUUCUUAUUAUGGUCUUAAUAGAACAUGUCUUCUUACUGUGAUAUAAGACAUUUUUGAUAGGUGAAAGGAUCUAUCAACCACCUUCAUGUGGAACAAAAAUCAGAAUUUGUUACUAACACUAUCCAAUGGAUCUUUGAAUUUAUCAACUUAUGAAGUAAUUUCCCAAUCUCUUGAAGAACUUGUUGCCUAAAAGAGGAGUAAUGUCUUAAAUUUUAUUAAGAGCAGACUAAUAUUAGUCAUGUUGUAAUGCUGUUUGACUUCCAAGGUUCCAAUUUGUUAUUGUAUUGCUAUCAGUUUGGACCGUUAAUACUACAAUUUGGUAUUGAUGAGCUACACUAGUAUUUUGUUAUAUAAAAUUUGGCUUGUGAAUGUAUAAUGCAUUUUACCAUAGAAAGAGAUUAUCUAAAUUCUAAAGUUCUUCUCAUAAUUCAAAAAUAAAUGAAGUAUUUAGAAACACAUGAUUCUUGAAGAAAUUCCAAAUUUAAUUUAAUUUUAAUUUUAUCAACUCUAAAUUAUAAAUACAAAAUACUAUAAAGAAUCUGAAUAAAAUCCUAAGCAAGUCCUAAAAAAAAAUCUAAAAAAAUCUAAAAUAUAUUCCAAAAAAUCCUAAAUAUAUUUUAUCAUUCCUAGAAAAACCUUAAGUAUAUCCUAUUAAAUCUUUAUCAAAUUCCAUAUAAAUUCUAAAUAAAUCUUAAAAAAAUUCUACCAAAUCAUAAAAUAAUUCUAAAUUAAUCUUAAAAUACUUGUAUCAAAUUCUAAUAAAAUCCUAAAUAGAUUUUGAAAACAUUUUAAGCAAAUCUUAUUGAAAUCUAAAGAAAAUCUAAGUAUACUUUAAUUAAAUGCAAUGAAAUUUAAAAACCCAUUAAUAAUUCCCUAAUAAAUCUUUAAAAAUUUUAACUAAACUCUGAUCAAAUUAUACUAAAACUUAAUAAAAUCCUAAGUACCAAAUAACAACUUCAAAGCCUUAUAAUUGUUUAAUUAAUUGUUGUUAUUGUUAUUUUUUUGUUUUGUUUUGUUUUGUUUUUUUUUUUAUUUUUAAGUUUUAUAUGUUUUAAUGUUUUUGUAAACAAUACAUUUAAGAAAUUUAAGAAGAUUUGAACUUAUAAAUUGAGAAAAAAGAUUUAAGUAUUAAAUAAAUUAUUUUUUAAACUUUAUUAUUAAACUCCUAGCAUUAAGAUCUCCAUUGUUAUGUCCUAGAAAUUGGUAUCAAUCUUGCUUUUAGUCUACAUCUAAUGGAUAUUUGUAAAUUGCUCAUAUGUUUAUUGAUCUUCAAAAUACCAACUACGAAGAUUUUUUUAAAGUAUGUUAACACACAUAAAUUAAAACGAUCUUAAGUCUACUUAACAAAAUGAUCUAAAAAUUAAAGCAUACAAUAAAAUCAAGUACUUCCACAAACUUACAAAAAUCUGAUUGUGGAUUUAUUAAAAAAAUUACAAUAUUGCCAAAAAUAUAAAUACCAAUUUAUUUUAUAAAAUCAAUGUCAUCAAAACAAAACCUUAACUUUGAUUAGUUCUUACAAAUCUAACAUAUUAGAUGUAUACAAAUAUAAUAUUUAUUGAGCCUUUCUAAUGCCUCUUUUCUAUUGUCACUUUCUAGUCAAGAAAAGAACUCAUAUGCUAUAGGUGCUUGUUUUUGUUCCUUAAGAUCUGAUUUUGAUCUUGUUUUAUUAAGUGUCUUCUUUGAGUAUUAAUCUAAUCUUUUUUCCAAAAACAUUUUCUAGAAAUCACUCUUAUGUUUCAUCCUAAGGAAUUUGUAGUGAUAUUAUGUCUAUUCUACUAUAUCAUAUCUUAUAUAUAGAACCACAAUGCAAGUAUUUUUUUAAUUUAAAUUAAUCGUAUAUAAUCAUAAAAUUACAUACUUUCUCUAAUAUAUUAUCUAUGAUUUUUAAUCAAAUUUCUAUUUAUUUUUUAACUAUGUUUUAAAUAUGUAUUUUUUUAAUAUUUAAUUUUUUACCAAAUAUUUGUGGUAUAAUAUAAUACCAAUCAUUUUUUUUUUUUGUACAUUAAUUAUCAUUAAUUAAAACAAACAUAAUAUUCUUUUUUAAUGGCCAAAAACUAGAUGUGAUACCUAAGAUUGCUAUAAAUAAUAUUUAAGGCAUUAUUGACAUUUGAAAAGUAGUAAAAUAUUUAAUGCUAAUAUAUAUAUAUAUAUAUAUAUAUAUAUAUAUGAUAAAAAUGAAUUCUACUUAUAGUACAUUAAUUUUACAUAUAAGUAAUAUCUGAAAAUGACUUCUACUUAUACUACAUUAAUUAAAAAUAAAAAUGACUUCUACUUAUUUUGUGAGAUUGUAAAGAAGACAAAAAAGGUAGAUUAGGAAAAAUAAUAUUAUGGAUAUUUUUGGAUAUAAGUAAGGAACACCUUUUAGAUUUUUUUUUAGAAAAAUCUUAAAUUAAUACUCAAAGAUGAUCACUUGUGAAUUAGAGUAGAAAAAAAACUCCAAAAAACCAAAUUAUAUACCUAUAAUAAGUAAAGAUUUUUUCAAUUGAUUAGAGGAUAGAUUUAAAAAAAAUAUAUUAGAUAAUAUUUCUCUGAGUAUUAAUCUUGAGAUCUUUUAGAAGAUAAUGAUUUUGCAAGAUCUUUAUAAAAUCAAGGUUAUUUUAAAUUCAUCAAUUUAUUUAUAAAUUCAAUAAAGGAUUUAUAUUUUAAAAAAUUAUAUAGAUUUUUUACCAAAUUUAUAGAAUUUUUUUUUUUAAAUUUGUGAAUUUAAUUAUGUUGGGUGUAUAUUAUAAAUUUGAACUUAAGCUAACAUUUAACUUAAAGAACAUUCAAAUUAAAGAAUAUUAAAUUUAAAAAAUUGAAUUUUGAAGAUUAAUAAGGAUUUCUAUGAUUUUAAAGAAUCUAUUAGUUUUGAAAAGUAUCAAGGAUAUGAAUCUCAAUAAAAGAAAAUCCUCAAUACACUUUUCUAUCACUGAAGAGAAUUAAAAAGUCACUUAAAGGUGAUAUAAUAUUAAACUAGAAUGACUAUUGCCAAAAAUAAGAAGACUAGAAAGGCUUAAAAUAAGACUAAGGACUAAGAAGGCAUUGAAAAGAGUGAAGAAGGCUUCACUCUUGCUUCUAUAUAUACUCUUAAAUAGGAGCUACAUGACAAUGUCCUAUAGGACCUCCAAAAACGUGUUGACUUUGCAAGACACGUAUCUUAAUUUGCAAGGCAAGUUUUCUAUAUGUGUGCCAUAUAGUUAGUUUGUUCUGCAAGCUAUCAACAUGUAGUUGACUUGUUGACCAAGUUUCUAACCUACUAAUCAACUACAAACACAAUUAAAAUCAAAGCAGUAUCUGUGAAGCUUCUAGAAAGCAUUUCUAAAAGAUAUUAUGAAAUUAAUAUACUUUUAUUUAUUUUUAUCUACUUCUAUCUAAUCAUAUAAGUAUUUAUUAAUAUAUCUAUAUAUAUCUAUGAUAUUACUCCAUCUUUUAGGGACGAGUUCAAUGAAAAGCGAUCUUUAUAUAUUGAAGAAAUCCAAAAUGCGGCAAAUUGUAUUUGCCACAUACUCUGAUCUUUGUUUCCUUUCAAGAUGGUUGAUAGUUCUUCUCAGCCAUCGAUAGUACCUUAUAUGAAGGUAAAAAGACCACCUUGUUAUUUGGUCAUUGUUGAGACCUUUGUAACUUCCUUCAAAUAAAAAAUUUGAAAUAUCAUCAAGAAUUGUUCUUAUUUCUAAUAAAAUCAACAAACAUCGAGAGUCUCGUCUAAGGUCAUGAUAUCAAACACGUUGUAUCUUGCCAUCUAUUCAAGGAAGGACAUGUUGUUCUUGAGGAUCUUCAUCUUGAUUUUGUCAACUUGAAGGUUGUGAUAAUUGUAAUAUUUUUUCUGGUAAGUCCACAAAUAAAAGCUCUCAAGUUGAAUCUGUUAAUUGUUGGUUCUCCAUCUUUUUAGUACUUCAAAUACUUAGAAGCUAUGAUGAAGGAUAGAAGGUAUAGUGUUAUUUUUUCUUUAUCUUGUUUCUUUUAUAAUAAAGAUUUACUAUUUUUAAUCUUAAUUUUGAUAGAUGUCAUUGAUAAAAAGUUUCAACUCUCUUUGCUCUAUUUGCAAGAUUCUUUGCUGGCUUCCAUGUAUGUUCAUUAAUAUCAUAUCUAUGCCAAUGAACAAGAUAUUUCAACCUAUUUUGGCACCGCCUUGAAUUUAAGAUUUCUUUCACUUUAAACUCUUGAUUAUUACCCACUUUUAUAGAAGGAUGUGGCAUUUGUCUUCUUCCUAAGAUAUUCACUAUCUUAUAUGGCUCAAGGAAAGAUACAUGAAAUAUAAGGUGGAUCUUCAUGGACUUCGGUAGAUAUAAUCAAUAAGCAAUAGGAUUGACCUGUCACGAAUACAAAAAGGUCGAAGCCUAUAAUAGUCCAACUUGUCACAAGGACAAGUAGUCCUAAUAUUAUAACAAAGUAGCCAUAUCUUGUCACCUACAUUUGAAAUUUCUAUAAGAAAAGUCUCACUUAUUUAUUUGUCUUUAUCAUGUUCUUGUCCUUGAUAGAUAUAAAGUUUUUUUUAGCUUUUUACCUUCAAACUAAUGACCAAACAAAAUUGAUGAAUCAAGUUUUGUAGCAGUACUUGAACUAUACCAUCAACUAUCAUCAAGAUGAUUGGACAACUCUUUUAUCAUUGGUAAAGUUUGCAUAGAAUAAUUUAGUACAUUUUUCUUCUCAACAAAUACCUUUCUUUGCUAAAAAUGGUUAUCAACAUACCCAUACCUUAUCACCUGCAUAAUCAAGUGAGACUUCUCUCAUAAAAAAUAGAAAUAACUUGAUAUAUAAAUUAAAAAAGAAACUGGAAUGGCUAUUGCCAAAAGCCAAGAAAACUAGAGACCCUUGAAACUAGACUAGAAGCAAGAAAGGAAUUGACAAGAGUGAAGAAGGCUUCACUCUUGUCUCUAUAUAUACUAUCUAACUACGGGCUACGUGGUGAUAUUCUAUAAGACCUCCAAUAUGUAUUGACUUUGUAGGAUACAUGCCUUGACUUACAAGGCAAGUUUUUCUACGUGUGGGCCACAUAGUUAGCUUAGUCUUCAAGCUAGAAACAUGUGUGGCACAUGGCCAACUUGUUGACCACUUUUUUAAUCCCAAAAAGUCAAUUAAAGAUACCUAUAAAGUCAAAGCAAUGUCUAUGAAGCUUCUAAGAAGCUUUCAUAUCAAAUACUAUAGAAUUAACUUACUUUUACCUAUUUUUACUUACUUCUAUCUAUUUAUAUAUGUAAUUAUUGGCUUACAUGCAUAUAUCUAUGACAUUACCCUCCCUUCUAGGAACGAGUUCCAUGAGGAGUGGUAUUCAUAUGUUGAAGAAAUCUAUAAUACGACGAAUUAUAUUCGCUACAUACUCUAAUCUUUGUUCUCUUCGAAGAUGAUUGAUAGGGCCUCUCAACCAUCAGUAGUGUCCAAUAUCAGGGCGGGAAGAUCACCCAGUUAUUUGAUCAUUGUUAAAGCCUUCAUAACUUCCUUCGAAUAAAAUAUUUGGAACACCAUCAAAAGUUGUUCCAACCUCUAGUAAAAUCUCCAAACAUCGAAAGUCCCUUCCAAGGUCUUGAUACCAAACACAUUGUAUCUUACCAUUUAUUUGAGAAAGAACAUGACGUUCUUCAGGAUCUUCAUCUCGAUUGUGUCGUCUUGAAGGUUGUGACAAUCGUAAUGUCUUGUCCGACAGAUCAACAAACGAAGGCUCUUGAAUCAAAUCUGCUAGUUGUUGGUUCUCUAUUUCCUGAGCGUCACAACUACAAAGAAGCUACAAACAAGGAUUGAAAGUAGAAUGUUAUCUUUCAUAGAUCUUGUUUCUUUUAUAAGGAAGGUUAUUAUCUUCAUUUUGAUGGAUGUCAUCGAUGAAAAGCCUCCAUUCCCUUUGCUACAUUUACAAGAUUCUUUACUAGCUCCCAUGUGCGUUCACUAAUAUCAUAUCCGUGCCAAUGGACAAGAUAUUAUAAUUUAUUUUGGCGCCGCCUUGAAUCUAAGACUUCUUCCACUUCAAACUCUUCAUUAUUGUCCACUUCUAUAGGAGGAGGUGGAGCUUGUCUUCUUCUUGGUAUGUCCACUAUCUUAUAUGGUUAAAGAAGAGACAUGUGGAAUAUUGGAUGGAUUUUCAUUGACUCUGGUAGAUGUAAACGAUAUGCAACUGGAUUGAUUUGUGCAAAAAUAGAAAAUGGUCCAAGCCUUCGAUAGUCCAACUUGUCACAAGGAUGAGUGGUCUUGAUAUUGCAAUGAAGUAAUCAUACCUUAUCAUCCAUGUGAAAUGAUAGUUGUUCCUUUCGAUAGACAUCCGCAUUGACAUUUUAUUGUUCUUGAGCUUCUUUUAGCUAUGCCUUCAUCGUUGCAUGCAGCUGUGACAAAUGAAUUGGUAAAUCUUUCGCAACAGGAUUAUCAACUUUUGAAAAGUCAGAAGUAUCAAGUUGUAGAUGAUAACCAUAAUUAGCAAAGAAAGGUGUUUGUUUUGUAGAAUAAUGUACCGUGUUAUUGUAAGCAAACUUUGCCAAUGACAAAAGAGUUGUCCAAUUAUCUUGUCGGUAGUUAAUGGUACAUCUUAAAUAUUGCUCCAAAACUUAAUUAACAUGCUCCGUUUGUCCAUCAGUUUGAGGAUGGAAUGUUGAAGAUAGUUUUAUAUCUACUUUUAGAAUCUUGAAAAGAGUCUGCCAAAAUCUUGAUACAAAUUGAGUUCCCCUAUCUGAUAUAAUAUCCUUGGAUAAUCCAUGAUAGCGAUAGAUAUUGUCAAGAAAGAGCUUAGCUGUUUCUUCACCUAUGAUAGAUUUUGUACAUGAUACAAAAUGUGCCAUCUUGGUAAAACAUUCUACUAUUACAAAUAUAGAGUCAUAAGAACUUGAGAUUGGAAGAUCUGUGAUGAAAUCCAUAGAAAUAGAAGACCGUGGUUGUUCUGAAAUGGGUAAUGGCAGAAGAAGUCCAUAAGGUCAAUGACGAGGAGUUUUUGAUCUCGAGCAAAUAUCACAAGAUUGUACAAAAUCUUUGACAACUUUCCACAUUUGAGGCCACCAAAAAUCCUUGGAUAUUAGUUCCAAAGUUUUAUUGUACCCAAAAUGUCAUGCUGCUGGAAAGUCAUGAUGAGCUUGAAGAACACAUAAUCGAGCUUCACCUUUUGGAAGAUAUGGGCAUUCCUCAAAAUAUAGUAGGUUCUUUUUAAAUUCAAACUUGGAAGUAUCAUGAGACUUUGAAGGAUUUUCCUUAAUAUCACGAAUAAGAGGAUCAAAAGACAUACUUGACUAAACUUGCUUAAUGAAAGUUGAAUCAACAAUUAGUGUUGAUUUCAUUGCUCGAAGAUGAAGAUGUUUUGGCUUCAAGAGAAUUAUUUGUUGUUGAUCGAAAGUAGCAUCUCCUUCCUUUGGUACAAGAUAAGAUUGUCUAGAAAGUGCAUUUGACAAACCUUAUUGUUUUUCUGGUCGAUAAGUGAUCUUGAAUUUGAAUCUUGACAAAGACAUACUCCAAUGGGCUUGGCGACGAUUCAAAACACGUGCUAACAUAAAAUAUUCAAGGUUCUUGUGAUCCGUAUACAUUGUGACUGGGCUAAAAGCACCUUCUAAAUAAUGGUGCCAUUCUUGAAAUAAAUCCACGAAUGUAAGAAGUUCUUUUUCAUGGAUCUCGUAGUUGAUCUUGGCUGUUGAAAAUUUUUUGGAAUGAAAAGCUACUAGAUUAAGUUUAUCAUCUGUUCCCAUUUGUGACAAUACGGCACCAAAAGCAAAGUUUGAUGCAUCUGUUUUCAUAAAAAAUGGCUUAGAAAAAUUGAUGCAAUACAAGAUUGGCCCUGAAACAAUGGCUGUCUUCAAAGCUUCAAAUGCUACUUGUACUUCUUGAUUCCAUUGAAGUUUGUCUUUACAAGUCAAACGUAUAAGUGGAGCUGCAACUUGAAAGAAGUCUUUGAUGAAGAUCCGAAAGUAGUUGGCAAAUCUCAAAAAGCAUUGGACAUCUCUUAUCGUUUUUGGGAUCUUCCAAUCCAUAAUAGUUUGAACUUUCUUAGGAUCCAUCAUAAGUCCUUCAUUUGAAAUGAUAUAUCCUAAGAAGUCGACUUAAGUAGUAUAAAAUAUACACUUUUCUAUAUUAGCAUAGAAUCCUACAUCUUUUAGUUUUUGUAAUACAUGACGAAUAUGAAGUUCAUGUUUUUCUAUGUUCUUAGAAUAUAUUAAGAUAUCGUCUAAGUAAUAGACAACAAAAUCAUCUAAAAACUCUCAAAAGACAUCAUUCAUUAGAUGUUGGAAUGCUCCUAGUGUAUUUGUAAGUCCAAAAGGCACGACGUUGUAUUCAAAAUGUCCAUACCUUGUUUGAAACGUAGUCUUUUAUUCAUCUCCUUCUUUGAUGCGUACUAAAUUGUAUGUGCCCCAUAGAUCAAUUUUUAUAUAGAUCUUAGCUUGAUUCAACUUAUCAAGAAGUCCAGAUAUCAAUGGCAACGGAUACUUGUUUUUUAUAGUGAUUUUGUUGAAUCCUCGAUAAUCAACACACAUCCGCAAUGAUUCAUCUUUUUUCUUCACAAAUAAAAUUGGAGCUCCUGCUCGAGAUUUUGAAUGGCAUAUGAAGUUCUUGGCCAAAUUCUCUUCAAUACACUCCUUGAGUUCAGCAAACUCAUUUUGAGAUAAAUUGUAGAUUGGUCCAAAUGACAGUUGUGCUCUUUCUUGAAGGUCAAUUGAGUAGUCAUACGAACGAUGUUUUGGAAGAGUAUCCACAUUCUAUUUUUUAAAUACAUCUUAAAAAUCUUGAUAUUGGCUUGGAAUGCCACUUGAAGUCUUUCCACCAGUAGAAACAGGUGUGGCAUAAAUGACACAAAGUAAUCCUUCUUUUACAGCAUACAAGAAAGGUCUUGUAUCUACAAAUAUAAGUUUAAUUAUACUAGACUUAUGACUUUCUACUUGAUUAACUAUGCUCUUAAUUAUACUUUUAGAAAAUUCAAGACUACAAGAAGUCCAAUCUAUUUUAGGAUUAUAAUUUUUUAGCCAUGAUAAAUGUAAAAAUGACUGGAUUAGAAGGAGAUCUAAUGAUAUUAAAUAUUAUAAAGCUACUAUGACCAUUAGUUGCUAUUUCUAUAGGAAGGAUUUUAUGAGUAACAUCUCUUAAAGACAAUGGACGAUCAUCUAUGACUUCUACAUGAACAGGUUUAGUUUUCUUUAUUAAAAGUAUGCUAUGUCUUUUAGCAAAUUUUUCAUCCAAGAAACAUGUUGAGGCUCCUACAUCUAGCAAGGCAGAGGCAUUGAGAUGUUUAGGUCCUAGAAUAAUAUUUAUCGUAAAACGUGGAGAGGGUACUGAGCAGAUGAUAGGAGCUUCACUAGGCGUUGUACAUAGUUCGAGCCGCACGGUGUCGUAUUACGUGCUUUCCUGCUCGAGAACGCACCGGACGUUUGGCUGUAGAAGGUAGUAUGGAGAUUCGCUAAUAUUGAAACAGUCUAUCGGUUUUUGACUGUUGGAAUAUAAACAACCACAAGAAUACAGCGUAAAUCUAUACGGAUUCCCUUCGACUACUCGCCAAAGUUCUUUUUGUCCCAGCCGGUAGGUCUCUAGACGUUACAGAGAACCCCGAACAACCCAAACUGCUAAUCCUUGAUACCGCUUUAUACUCACGAUCUUGUAUCUACUGACUGUCUUGUUAGAUUAACCCGAUAAAUUUCAUUCACUCCGCAUACUCAAUCCUAUAGACACCCUUUUAAUUCUUCAUCACAGACGUAACUCGAUUUCAUAAAAUAGUCAAGAGUAAUCAAACCCACUUCAUUAAAAAUCUCGAUUCACCAUUACAACAUUGACUUCAGCAACAAUUGCCUCAGUCUUCCUAAAACCCUAUGAAGAAAAAAAACCCCAAUCUCUGUCUUUUUUCCCCUUCCGAAGCAUGAAGCUAGCUCUCUAAUCCUUCAAAAACUCCCCCCCCCCCAAAACUUAUUCUCUCCCCUCUCUCAUUUCUUAACCUUAAUUCUGAAUUUCUUCAAUCCUUCGUCUUGGAUCCGGAAUUGGCUCCCACCGUCAGAGCUUGGAUCCAAAAUUGGCUCUUGCCGUCAAAGCUUUCUCCUCCAUUUUUACCUUUAAGAAAUCUUUUUACCAAAAAUAACGUUCCCUGAAACGGCACAGAGAACAGGACAACCUGAAACAGAAUCGAAACCCCGUAAUCGAGACCACAUUGAGUCGCCCGACCAAUUCAGGUCUCAUAUUGGCUAAGAGUCUAGUAGUAAGAUCCGGAUGUUUCCGUAAUUGGAUCAAAUUGGUCCUUCGCAUCAGAUUGGCUGAGGCCCGUAGUAAGACCUAGAUUUUCCCUUAAUUAGACUAUAUUGGAUUGUCCGACCAAUUCAAGUCUCAUAUUGGGUAAGAGGACCCGGAUUGGAUUCUUGAAAUUGGAUCCAAUUGGCUCUUCGAACUAGGCUCACCUGUCGUGUGAAUUGGUCCUUUUCCUUCCUGCUGACUCCCGUUAUUGGAAUUGAACGGAGUAUUUCAGUAUGCCCCGGCUAACUGUAACGAGGUGAUUGAACCUAGCCUCUCAGUAUUUGCACUGGAGUUGGUCGUUGCUCUCAAUAUUCGAGGUAACUGAACAUUAAUAAAAGUCUCCUUUCUUUAUAUUUUCACGGUAUACUCGUGUUACAACACGACAUCGACCCCCUCUAAACCUGUGCAUCCUCCGGUAUGCACCAAUUUACCCAAUUACUGUUUGAUUUAGAAUACAUCCUCUACGUCUUUGUCCAGUUCGUCUUCAUCACCUUCAUUAUCCAAAUCACUUUCAAUCUCUUGCUGUAGAAUCUCUAUACCUUCAUUAAGGUCUUCCAUAUUCAUCUCUGUGUGUCUUCGUUUAAUUAGUUUUACUCGCUUCCCUGCAAUUGGUAUUUUCAAUUUUGUACCAUCUAACUCCCGUAAUGAGUAAGUCGCAUUAUCAUGAACAAUUGUUACUACAUAUGGUCCAAACCAACGUUUUGAAAAUUUCCGCAAGGUACUAUGUUGAUUAUCUAGACUAUUGUCAUAAACAAGUAUCCAGUCACCUUCUUUGAUUGCUUUAGGUCUCAAUCGAUGUUGCUUAUCGAAUCGCGCCUUGUUUUGUAACCUUGCGUUUUUUAACCUUUCCAAUGCUAUUUGCACAUCUUCCGAUCUUUGCUCCAAUUGUCGAAUCUUAAUAGCCAGAAGUUCUUCUCUUGUCAAUCCAUCUUCCCAUAGUAGCAUACUCCAAGUAAGUACCUUUUCUUCAAUCGGCAUAAUUGGUUUUCGACCUGUCAUAAGUUCUACUGGCAUAUAUCCUGUCACCGAACUAUGUGUUGUUCGAUCAGUCCAUAAUGCAAAUGACAAAAGCCGUGGCCACUCUUUAACUUUUCCAUUAUAAGUUUUAACUAAUGCUUUCACAAUCGGUGGGUGACCGCAUUCGCUUUUUGCAUUCGCUUCCAGAUUAUAAGCAGGAGUCAGUGAUAGUUUAAUUCUACAUCUUUCAAAGAACUUACGAGCUUCUUGUGCAUUUAAUUCUCUACAAUCUGCAGUGAUUUUUUCUAUGCAUCCGUAGCGGCAAAUGACAUCUUCAAGCAAAAACCUACAAAUCCCCUCUGUAGAUUUUGUCUUCAAUGCUCUUCCUUCUACUUGAUUUGAUAAAUCUUCACGAGCUAAAAUCAAAUAUCUCAUCUGCCAUAAUCCAACUGGCAUAAUGACCAAAUCAACAACCCAUUUAAAAUGAAUAGCCAGAGGAUACAUAGGAUGAAGACCAUCUCGAUGUUGGAUAUUAGAAUACGAUUGACAGAUUUCACAUGACUCUACAAAUGAGAGCACAUCUCGAUACAUAUUUUUCUACCAAUAUCGUUCCUUGAGUUUAGCAAAAGUAGCCAAGAUUCCUCUAUGCCCUGCCCAUAAACUAUCAUGAAACUCCUUUAAUAAUUUUAGUUUUUCUUCCUUUUAGCCUAUCACUCGUUGUGGCAUCUCAAUUCCUUUCUUCGGUCUCUUCCAUAAGAAUCCAUCUCGAAGUAAAAAUCCAUAUGCUUUUUUUCUUAUUUGUUUGAAUUUUUCUGUAGACCAAUUUCCCUGCUUAGUCAAGGUAUUCAAGUAAUGACCAAUAUCCAAUAAUUCUCCUUCAUAAGAUUCUUCAAGAAAUAGCUUGUCCUCCCUGUUGAGAUUUGAUAUUGAAUAGAAUUUCAAUCUGACGUCAUCAAUGUCUUCAACCAUUUUGUCCUCCCUCUCGUAUCUUGCUCGAGAUAGCAUGUCUGCUACUAAAUUGUCCUUUCCAGUAAUAUGCUUAAAUUCUGGAUUUAGUGACUUAAUAUAAGCAAUCCAUCUCAACAUUGCAAUAUCUGGCGUUGAACAAUUAAUAAUCAUUCCAAGCAAUGGCAAGCAAUCUGUUUCAAUUACUACUACUGUCCCAAUCAAAUAGUUCUUUUUAGCUUUCAUAGCCAAAACAACUCCCCUAAGUUCCCUUUUGACUUGCGAAUAUGCACGCUAACGAAUACUUAAAACUUUAGCUCCAAAUCGAACUGCAAAUCUAUUCCCACUGGAAUCAUCUUCACCCACAGUCCAUCCAAUGGCAAUUGGACUAGCGUCCAUAGUAAGAAUCACUGGUCUAUUGCACUUAUAAUCAACCUUCCUCAAUAUUGGAGGUGACAUCAAUAAUUUCUUCAAUCUUUGCAUUACCUGAAUAUGCCUUUCUUCUCAUUUAAAUCGGUAACCCUUGCGUAACAGUUCAUAUAAUGGAUCCGCUAUGUGAGAAUAAUGAGGGGUCCAGAUUCCAUAAAAUACACAUGCACCUAAAAACUUGCGAACCUCUGUUAAAGAAUCACAAUCCUCUUUCAUCCUUCCAAUUGCAUCAACUUUAGUCGGAUCUGGUUUUCUUCCAUAAGAUCCACAUAAAUGUCCAACAAUCACAACCUCUCGUACUCCAAAUACGGACUUCAUACCCAAUAAUGUAAGAUGAACUUCUCCAAGCCGAGUUAAAAUCUUUUCACAAUCUUGUAUAUGAUCAACAACAUAUUUGCGACACCCCCUCGUAUCUAAAGUUUCAUCCUUGUCUCCUUUUCUACACCCUUUUAUAGGAACAUCAUCCAGAAAAGGCAUAGUCUUUUCCGGAAUAAAAUCUCUCAAUACCUUAUUCAUCCCAUUCAUCAUAUGCGCAACUGAGUUGGUCGCGCCUUGAGGAAGAGUGCAUAUUCUAACCAAUCCAAGUGGUGUCCUCAUUGUUGUCAUAUCUCUACUUCCUUCGGCAAGUUGAAAUUGAUCAUAAUGUGAAUACAAGUCACCCAUUGAAUAGAUCGCCCUUCCAGCAAACGCCUCAACAAAUUCAUCCACAAUAGGUCCAAUUCUUGUAUUCCUGACAGUUACUGCAUUCACCGGUUGCAUAUCUUGAAUAAACCGUAGUGAUCCAUUCUUAUUAGGUACCAUAAACCAUCGACUAGAAUACGGCGCAAAUGAGGGUUCCAAUAUUUUCAUCUUUAUAUUUUCUUUUAAUAGUUCAACCAAUUUAGGUAAAUAUGCACUCGGUACUGGAAUCGGUCUUAGAUUCCAAGGUACAUGCGGUACAGUGAAGAUAACCAUAGGUGUUAUAAUAUUCGGAUCCACACACCCAAUUUCAUGAGAUUCGAAAGCAAACGAUCUACCUUGUUUAGCCAACAUCUUUUUGAAACAAGUAAUUUCCUCCGGCAAUGAAGAACCAUCAGAAUCAAUCUUCAAUUCUUCAAAAGUCUCUUUAGUAAACUGAUGUCCAAUACUCAUUGGAUCUCUUAAACUUGCUUCUGUUGAUGCUUCUCCCAUUUGUUCUUUAGAAUCUCUUGGUAAUGGUCCGGCAAAAGGCUUUAUCUUCUUAUCUGCCGUUUUAUAUCUCGUCUCUACAGUGACUUCUGGUGCUUGAAAAGAUUCAAAUAUAGUAUAAACCUCUCUUGAAUGAAUCUCAACAAUCUUAUCAUUAUCCCCUAACCCAAUAGAUGUAAUCAAUUCCAAUGAAUCUUCCAGUCCAUUUUCUUCAUAAACACCUAAAAUCCUCUCAUGAUCUUGCAAUGUACCUAACUUGUGUAACUGUCCUUCAAUAUAAUAUAAUAUUUUUCUUCUUUUUCUUUUAAAAUCUUCAACUUUCUUAUACAUAAUAUUUCCAUUCUCCAAUAUACUAAUAAAACUCGCAUCAAAGGUACCUUCAUUAUGCGAGAGUACCUCCUCUUUUGUACCUCCAUAAUCUCGCUUUACAGUGGUACCUUCCCAAAAUCCUUAAAUCCUUCAACAAUCUUUGGCAAUGGUUUCUCCCUCAACCUAUCUCGAUUCCGUUCAUGGUUAGGACGUACUGUUAGAAAUUGUACAGUUUUCCUCCCAUCCUUGCUACGUACCCUUGCAUAAGCAGAACCAUCGUCAAGUACUUUUGUUUCCAUCCGUGUUGCCAUAAUAUAAGAUUGUCCUAAAAUCAACGUAUAAGACGUUGUAUCUUGAACAAAGAAAUGUUGCUCCAUCGCAACAUCCCCAAUCCAAAUUUUGACAUCUGGACAAGCUCGAUAUAAUUCACCCCGUGUGUUAUUAGCUGCUCGAAUUGCCCAUCCAUGUUCCAUAUCAAUUGGCCAUUUUUGCUUCUUAUAAAGAUCUUUAAACAUGAGAUUUAUUUCAGAACCAUGGUCGACUAAAGCAACUAUUGGUUCUUCUGUAUCUCCUACUUUUACCAAUACCUCAGUAGUUGCCCUUGCCCAAUCCUUUCGAGUAUAAUGGCACAAGGUUUCCAUUUCCUUAUCACUAUAAUCUUCGAAAUGUACUCGUUGAUCAUAUCCAUUCUUUUCAUUUGUUGGUUGCUUGUAACCAAUAUCAACCUCUUCUUCAUCUUUAUAUAUUCUUGCAUCAAUAGCAUGACUCAUUCCAAUUUUGUCUAUUAAUUGUCUCUUUUGCUUAAUGCUGUCAAUGAUAACAUCAUGAAACUCCUUCUUUGUAAUUCCCAAGACUUCUUUCAAUGUGAAUUCCACCUUAGCGUUUAAUGUACAUUCUUCCAACACCUCUUUCAAAUUUGUUGCGGCUUCAAUGUCACAAAGUAGCUAAUAAGCAGUUGAUUUGCCCUUAUCUUUUGUCUCCUUUGUUUUUUCUCCCAAUGAUGUUGAGGUAUCCUUUAUAAGCAAUUCUUGUGAAGCUGCCUCCCGAGCCUUGUCUCCUCGAGUUUGCCUCUUAGCAGAAUUUCCUUCUCUAGUAUCAUCAAAAUUUCCUCGUCUCUUUUCUUCCAUCAAAGCUUCAUGUUGGCUCUUAGCAAUAUAUGCAUGAACUAAAAGAGACUCAACAGGAUCCUCCUAACCUGUUCUACCUCGUAUUAUAGCUGCAGUCCUCAAUAACGCUUCUCAAGGUAAUUUCCCUUCUUGCAUUGUAGAAAUGGCAGAAGCCCAAAACUCACUAGUUUCCGUUCUUCCACCAAGGUCAUCAUCUACUCUAGCACCAUAACUUGCACUUUCUUGUGCUGCUGUUUCAUGCUCUUUUAGGUAAUCUUGAACCAAUGCUCUCAUUCUUCCCUUGCCAAAAUUGGUUUGAAGAAGAUCCUCCCUAUCUUUUAAUGCUAUCUUUCCAUCUUUCCAGCAAAUAAUUCCUUACCGUAUCAUAUUAUUAAAUUCAUUGCAAUCUUUUCUAGUGUGUGAAGUGUUAUCACACCAAAUGCAUCUUUGUACAUAUCCUUGUUUUGAAACAUUCUUCAUAUUAUUUGUAGAAGUAUUCUCUUCAAGUCUUGCUAAUUUGAUUUGAAGAUCUCGCAUUCCUCGUAUAAUUUCUUCCAUCUCCAUAUCUGCUUUCUUUGAUAAGGAUGUCGAAGGUUGAACUGUAGGCAUUGUUGGUAGUGUUGUACGUACUCGAGCUUUAGGUGCUUGUACUGUUUUUGGAAUAUUGUUCCCAUCCUUCCUCCUUUCUCUUUUUGUAAGUAGCUCCACUGCAUCUUCAACAUUCUUCCACUUUGUUGUCAAUCCUUCGUCUUCUUCUUUGUCUUCAAGAAGGAGUUCUAAUUUCCCUUGCAAUUCUCCAUCAGCAGCUUGAAGAAAUAGAUUAACUUUGUUCGACUCCAAUGUCAAUUUUUCUACCUUCGAUAAUUGAGAGGACUGCCUGUCAAAUUUCCUUAGUAGCUCUAUUUCUUGUAAAUUCUGAUUGGGCCAAUCAAUCCAUUCCAGAAAUAACUUCUUAGUAACGCGAUCAGCAUCUUCAAAGAAAUAUUCGUCUUUCAAUGUAUGUGAAAAAACCUCCCAUGAAUUUCCAUAACGAUUCGUAAUUGAUGUAAUAUGGUUUCUUAUCUCCGGUAUCAUAGCAAGUCCAAAUAAUUCAACCAUUUUCUUCUCAGAAACCCGAUUUAAUUCCAUUUCAUGAACUUAACAUCUUAAAUACCUUGAAUUAUUCCUCCCAUCAAAUUGAUCAAUCUUAUUGACCACUGCUUGCAAUGCUUUGGUUGCCAAAGCUUCCUUUCGAUCAUUGCUUUGCUGUUGCUGCAUUGAUAAUGAGAAGGCUUGAAACAUACUAGCAAUAGACGGAUCCAUGUGCAUACCUUGUCCUUUAGAAGAAUCCCCACUAGAAACUCCUCCCAAAAAUCCUUCAAAAUUUUUAUUUUUAUUUUCUAUAAAAUAAAAAUAAAAUCAAACGAAAUCCAAUACCUUCUACCUCAAGCUUUCACGUCGAGUUCACCACUUAUGUCGUAUUACGUGCUUUCCUGCUCGAGAACGCACCGGACGUUUGGCUGUAGAAGGUAGUAUGGAGAUUCGCUAAUAUUGAAACAGUCUAUCGGUUUUUGACUGUUGGAAUAUAAACAACCACAAGAAUACAGCGUAAAUCUAUACGGAUUCCCUUCGACUACUCGCCAAAGUUCUUUUUGUCCCAGCCGGUAGGUCUCUAGACGUUACAGAGAACCCCGAACAACCCAAACUGCUAAUCCUUGAUACCGCUUUAUACUCACGAUCUUGUAUCUACUGACUGUCUUGUUAGAUUAACCCGAUAAAUUUCAUUCACUCCGCAUACUCAAUCCUAUAGACACCCUUUUAAUUCUUCAUCACAGACGUAACUCGAUUUCAUAAAAUAGUCAAGAGUAAUCAAACCCACUGCAUUAAAAAUCCCGAUUCACCAUCACAACACUAACUUCAGCAACGAUUGCCUCAGUUUUCCUAAAAUCCUAUGAAGAAAAAAAACCCUAAUCUCUAUCUUUUUUCUCCUUCCGAAGCAUGAAGCUAGCUCUCUGAUCCUUCAAAAACUCCCCCCCCCCAAAACUUAUUCUCUCCCCUCUCUCAUUUCUUAACCUUAAUUCUGAAUUUCUUCAAUCCUCCAUCUUGGAUCCGGAAUUGGCACCCACCGUCAGAGCUUGGAUCCAAAAUUGGCUCUCGCCGUCAAAUCUUUUUCCUCCAUUUUUAUCUUUAAGAGAUCUUUUUACCGAAAAUAACGUUCCCUGAAACGGCACAGAGAACAGGACAAUCUGAAACAGAAUCGAAACCCAGUAAUCGAGACCACAUUGAGUCGCCCGACCAAUUCAGGUCUCAUAUUGGCUAAGAGUCUAGUAGUAAGAUCCGGAUGUUUCCGUAAUUGGAUCAAAUUGGUCCUUCACGUCAGAUUGGCUGAGGCCCGUAGUAAGACCUAGAUUUUCCCGUAAUUACACUGCAUUGGGUUGUCCGACCAAUUCAGGUCUCAUAUUGGGUAAGAGGACCCGAAUUGGAUUCUUGAAAUUGGAUCCAAUUGGCUCUUUGAACCAGGCUCACCCGUCGUGUGAAUUUUUCCUUUUCCUUCCUGCUCACUCUCGUUAUUGGAAUCGAACGGAGUAUUUCAGUAUGCCCCGGCUGACUGUAACGGGGUGACUGAACCUGGCCACUCAGUAUUUGCACUGGAGUUGGUUGUUGCUCCCAAUAUUCGAGGUAACUGAACAUUAAUAAAAGUCCCUUUUCUUUAUAUUUUCAUGGUAUACUCGUGUUACAACACGACAACGGUCUCUAUUAUAGCUGGAUAAAUUCGUUUUUCGACAUGCUAUCUUCUUUGAUCGCAGUACUCUUUAUUUUAUGGUUGCGUCACUUCUUUGGAUAAUGUUGAGCAUUGUGCUUAGGUUUUCUACAAUAUAAGCACAAUCCUUCUUGAUAAUGAUAAGUCUUUUCUUGCUCAAUAAGAGGUUUGAAACGUAUUGUAUCAAUUUACAUAUCCUCUACUUUUGAAUGUAUGUAUUGAAGAAAUGUUGGUGUUGCUAUUGAAUUAUAGUAACGUUGAGGUCCACUUGUACGGUUCUCUGAUCGUAAUUCAAAAAGGCAAUUGUCGUACUUCAUAGCUAAGUCAAUUGCUUGACUCAAUGUUUGAAGAUCAAGUAAGUUGAGCAUUAAUUUUUUUAUCUCAUAUUGUAAUCCGUAGAGAAAUUGGCUAAUAAGUGCAGCAUUAUCCCACUUGAUAUCAGUUGCAAGUUGUCAAAAUUGUAAAGCAUACAACGUUACUGAUUGAUUGCCUUGUCAUAAAAUAUGGAUCUUAUUGGUUGCAACUCAAAUUGCAUCAUGUUCUCCAUACAUGGAUCGAAACUCCACCAGUAAAGUCUCUAGAUUAUCCAAUAUUGAAUCUUGUCGUUCAAAUAAAGAUGAAAAUUAUAAUAGUGCUGAACUUGAAAGAAGCGUACUAAUGAAUCUAACUUGCGAUCAUGAAGUUGGAUAGCUUUGGGGUUGAAGUUCAAUCAGAAGUUGCCCUUGAUUGAUAAUUCCUCGAAACUUGGAUCUGGUGCCAUCAAACUUCUUGGGUAGGGCAAUUCUUAGUUUUCUAACAUUGAAAGGACAUUCCACUUUAGAAGAAGGGACAUGAUUUGGUGUAGAUGUUGAAGUAGCUCCAAUCAUUUCUAUAUCUUUACUUCUUGCCAAUCUUAUUGCUUUUUGUGGUAGUAAAUUGAGUUGAAGAAUCGCAAGCAUUAACUCUCUCAAUUGUUCUUGCAUUUGUGCCAUUGUACUCUUCAAUUCAGUAAGUUUUGCCAUGAUAACACUUAGAAAAGAAAAGAUGUCUAAUAUCGCUUAAGACAAAUAGAAGAGAGGACUUGAGAACAAAGAAAAUACUAAAGAUAAUAUUAGUUUAGAAGAGGAUAAUCCGCAAUUUCUAAUAUGCUUGUCUCUUAUCAAGCAAAAAAGAAUAAUCCACUCUUAAUCAAGAUUAGACAAAGCUCUGAUAUUGUAGGUGUGCUCUUGUCAAACUGUCAAAGAUAAGAACAUGAUAAAGACUAAUAAACAAUUGAGACUUCUCUUAUAGAAAGAUGACAAAAUAGAAAUAACUUGAUAUAUAAAUUAAAAAAGAAACUGGAAUGGCUAUUGCCAAAAGCCAAGAAAACUAGAGACCCUUGAAACUAGACUGGAAGCAAGAAAGGAGUUGAGAAGAGUGAAGAAGGCUUCACUCUUGUCUCUAUAUAUACUAUCUAACUACGGGCUACGUGGUGAUAUUCUAUAGGACCUCCAAUAUGUGUUGACUUUAUAGGAUACAUGCCUUGACUUAUAAGGUAAGUUUUUCUAUGUGUAGGCUACAUAGUUAGCUUGGUCUUCAAGCUAAUAACAUGUGUGGUACAUGGCCAACUUAUUGACCACGUUUCUAAUCCAAAAAGUCAAUUAAAGAUACCUAUAAAGUCAAAGUAAUGUCUAUGAAGCUUCUAAGAAGCUUUCAUAUCAAAUACUAUAGAAUUAACUUACUUUUACCUAUUUUUACUUACUUCUAUCUAUUUAUAUAUGUAAUUAUUGGCUUAUAUGCAUAUGUCCGUGACAAUAUCCACCUUUAAAAUCUUGAAAAAGGUUCUCCAAAAACUUGAUAUAAAUUGAGUCUCCUAUCCAAUAUAAUAUCUUUUGGUAAUUUGUGAUAGCGAUAGAUGUUGAUAAAAAAUAGCUUAACUAUUUCUUCAUAUGUGAUAGAUUUUGUAUAUAGUAUAAAAUUUACCAUCUUGAUAAAAAAAUCUACUAUAAUGAAUAUAAAAUCAUACAAACCUGAGACUAAAAGAUCUGUAAUAAAAUCUAUAGAAACAAAAAACUACAGUUGUUUUGAAAUAGAUAAAGGGUGAAGAAGUCUAUAAGGUUGAUGGCAAGGAAUUUUGGAUAUUGAAAAAAUAUCAUAUGAUUAUAAAAAGUCUUUGACUGCCUUUCACAUUUGAAGCCACCAAAAUUCUCUCAAUAUUAGUUUCAAUAUCUUGUUGUAUCCAAAAUGUCCGGCUGCUAAAAAGUCAUGAAAAAUUUGAAGAAUAUGUAAUCGUGUUCUAUCUUCUAGAACAUAUAAUUGUCCCUCAAAAUAGAAUAGAUUGUUCUUGAAUUCGAACUUGGAAAUAUCAUGAGACUAAGAAGAAUUAUUCUUAAUAUCAUAAAUAAGAGGAUCAAAAGACAUACUUGAUUGAAUUUGCUUAAUAAACAUUGAAUCAACAAUUAAUAUUGAUUUUUUUGCUCGAAGGUGAAAAUAUUCUAGCUUCAAGAAAAUUAUUCUUUGUUGAUCAAAAGAUCCAUUUUCUUCUUUUGGCACAAGAUAAGAAUGCCUAGAAAGGACAUUUGACAAACCUCGUUGUUUUUCAGGUCCAUAAGUAAUUUUGAAAUCAAAUCUUGAUAAUGAUAUGCUCCAAUGAGCUUGGCAAUGAUUUAAAACACGUGUUGACAUUAAAUACUUGAGGUUCUUGUGAUCUCUAUACAUGAUGACUAGACUUGAGGCACCUUCUAAAUAAUAGCAUCAUUCUUAAAAUGAAUCCACAAUUGUAAGGAGCUCUUUGUCAUGGAUUUUAUAAUUAAUCUUGGCUCCUAAAAAAUUUCUAGAAUAAAAAACUAUUAAAUGGGAGGAAAUAAAAAACUCUAUUUAAUAGCUUUUUAUUAUUAUGCCUAAUUUUUUGCAACAUACGACAAACAUAGACUUCAUGUUCUUUUAUGUUCUUAGAAUAGAUUAAGAUGUCAUCCAAAUAACACAUGACAAAAUUAUCAAAAAAUUCAUAAAAAUUAUCAUUCAUUAAAUGUUAAAAAGUAGCUAAUGCAUUUGUGAAUUCAAAAGGCAUGACAUUAUAUUCAAAAUGCCCAUACUUAGUUCAAAAUAUAGUUUUCUAUUCAUUCUUUUUUUUAAUGCAUAUCAUAUUAUAUACUCUUCAUAUAUCUAUUUUUGUAUAGAACUUUGCUUGAUUCAAUUGAUCAAGAAAUUUUGAAAUUAAAAGUAGAGGAUACAUAUUCUUAAUAGUGAUCUUUUUUAGUCUUCAAUAGUCUACACACAUCGAUAAAGAUUUUUUUUUUUUCACAAAUAAGAUAAGAGCCUCAAUUGGAGAUUUAGAAUCACGUAUAAAAUUCUUAAUUAGGUUUUCAUCAAUAGAUUCCUUGAGUGCAACUAAUUUAUUUGUCAUAGGCUAUAGAUUGGUCAAAAUGGUGGUUGAGCCCCUUCGUGAAGAUAUAUGGAACAAUCAUAAGGACAAUGCUCUAGAAGAAUAUUUACAUUCUUCUUUUCAAAAAUAUCAUGAAAAUCUUGAUACUGAUUGAGAAUACGACUUGACAUCUUCUCACUAUUAGAAAUGGAUGUGGCAUAUAAAGCAAAAAAUAACCCUUGUUUUAUGACAUGCAUAAAAGCUUUUGCACCUAUUAAUAAGGAUUUGGAUGUAUUUUUAUUUGAUUGAUGAGAUUUUGGAUUAAACUAUCAGAAAAUUAUGGUUACAAAAAAUCCAAUCUAUCUAUGGAUUACAUUUUUUUAAUCAAAAUAAUCUUGAAAUAACCAUAUUACAUAGAAAUCUUAUUACAUUAAAUAUUACUAUGCUAUUAUGAUCUUUAAUUGCUACAUCUAAAGGAACAGUCUUGUAAGUAACAUCUCUAAAAGAUAAAAAAUGACCAUCUAUGACUUCUAAAUAAAUAAGUUUAGUUUUUUAGACAAACAAUAUCUCUUGUUUUUUAAUAAAAUCUUUGUCUAUAAAAUAGACUCAAGCUCUUGAAUCUAACAAAGCUAAUUUUUUUUGAUUUUUUGGUUCUAAAAAAACUACUAUUGUAAAACAAGGUAAGGGAUCUAAGGAGAGAAUAGGACCUUUACUAGGAAUUAUAUAAGAUUCUAAUUGCAUGGUCUCUAUUGUAGCUGAAGAAACUUAUUUUCUAAUACCUCGUCUUCUUUAGCAAUCAUGCUUCUCAUUUUGUGAUUGCAUUGCUUCUUUGGACAAUGUUGAGCGGUAUGUUUAGUUUUUCUAUAAUAUAAGCAUAAGCCAUUUUGACAUCAUCAAUUCUUUUUUUGUUGUGUGAAAGAUUUAAAAUGUACCGUAUCAAUUUGCAAGUGUAAAUUUUUACUUCUAUUAAUCAAGUAUAAAUACUUUUAAGAAUGAAUUCAAAUCAUAAAGAAGUUGCAAAAUUUUUUCCAUUAAAAGUGCAAAAUAAGAGAGGGCAGUUCAUUAUAGAAGUAUGCUUAUGAAUCUGGUUUGAAUAAAUCCAUUAAAAUAUUAGAAAUGAUACAAAUUUAGAUAGAGCUUGACUUGUUGCAAAAAUCUUUGAAAUUUCAAUUUUAAUCCAUCAAACUUCUCAAGCAUAUUAAUCCUUGUCCUUGUCAUACUUCUAGAAGCAAAACUUCCUAAAUUUGGUUGUGAGGUCAGUCUACUUGCUUCCUUCAACUACACAACUUUUUGCCGCAAAUUCUAAACUUUUUCUAUAGGCAUAGGCAUAGACAUAGGUAUAGUACCUCCAUGAUUCAUAUUAAAAAUACAUGAGAUUUACAUUCUUAGAAUAUUGAUAAACUCAUGAAGUUCAACAAUAAUUAUAAAUCUAUUCUCACUUCUAUUAAAAAUAGCAUCUAUAAUCUUUCUUUACUUAGACAACUCAAAUAAAUUCAAAAAGUUAAAUUAGAGGAAGAUAAUCUGUAACUUCUAAUAAAAAAUUUCCACAAAGGGAUAAUUCACUUUCUUUAAGAAAAAAAAUCUUUUUUAGAAAAUCAGAUUUUUUUGUUUAAAGGUGGAUAGUCUACAACCUUCAAAACAUAACUAUAGAAGUGGAGUAAUUUACAUACUUCUAGAACAAGAUAAAAAUAUUAGGUUAGCACUCUUAUCAAACUAUCAAGGAUAUAAAUCUCAAAGAAAGAAAAUCCUCAAUACAUUCUUCUGUUACUAAAGAGAAUUAAAAAGUUACUCAAAGGUGAUAUAAUAUUAAAUUAGAAUGGCUAUUGCCAAAAACUAAGGACUAAGAAGGCAUUGAUAAGAAUGAAGAAGGCUUCACUCUUGCUUCUAUAUAUACUCUUAAAUAGGAGCUACGUGGCGAUGUCCUAUAAGACCUCCAAAAACGUGUUGACUUUACAAGAUACAUAUCUUAAUUUGCAAGGCAAGUUUUCUAUAUUUGUACUAUAUAGUUAGCUUGUUCUGCAAUCUAUCAAUAUGUAGUUGACUUAUUGACCAAGUUUCUAACCUACUAAUCAACUAUUAAUACAAAUAAAGUCAAAGCAGUAUCCAUGAAGCUUCAACGAAGUAUUUCUAAAAGAUAUUAUGAAAUUAACCUAAUUUUAUUUACUUUUAUCUACUUCUAUCUAAUCAUAUAGGUAUUUAUUAGUAUAUCUAUGUAUAUCUCUGAUACAAAGAUGGUUUUUUUGAAACUAUAGUUAAAUUUAUUUUUAACAUAUGUGAAGAUUUUUUAAAAAAAUAAAUGGUAAAAAAAUGAGUUAUUGACUUUGAAAAAUUGAUAUUAAGAUUAAAAAAAGAACAUAAUUAAUAUCCAAACACAUUAGAUUUUUUUUCAUUAUUAGUUUUAAUUCUUUUAAAAUCAUGUAUACUUGUUAUCAAUUAAAAAAUUAAAAAUUUUACAAAAUUUAAAUCAAUAUUAAUAGUUAAUUAAUAUUUUUUGAGAUUUUAAAUCUGAUAUAGAGAUAGUUAAGAUUAAAUUAGAAUUUAUUUUGGAUUUUUUUAAAGAUUUCUAGAAAUUUAUUGAAAUUACUUUAGAAAAUUUGAAAGGUUUCUUUAUGAUUUAUUUUAAAUGUCUUUACGGUUUUAAAAAUAUUUCUUUAAGUCUGUUUAGAAUUUCUUUAGGAUUCAUUUAAGAUUAUUUAAGAUUAUCCAAGGUAUUUUUGGAGUUGAGUAAAAUAUGAUAGGAUAUAUUUAAGAUUUUUCUGAGAUUGAUAGGAUGUACUUAAGAUAAUAGAAAGCUUAUUUAAAUUAUUCAAGAAUGCCAAAAGGAUAUUUUUGAACAUCUUCAUGUAUUAUUUUGGAUUGUAAAUCCAAUUCCAAGGUAAAAUCAAACCAUUUCAAACCAAAAUAUUUAAUGCAUUUUCAAGCUAAUUUUCACAUUACACAACAAUGUGAAUAUCUUGUAUUUUGAAAUUUAUUAAAUAUAUAUCCUUAAUAGUUUUUCAAAAUCACUAACUUGUUAAAUUUAUUUUAGUUAAGAAAUCCAUAGAUUAUUUAUUUAUUUAUUUUUAUUUUUUAAGAAAUAUUAUUUCAUUUUGAAAGAUUAUAAACUAAAUAAAUUUAAAUUAAUAUUUUUUAUUCUUUGGUUUUUUUUUUGGAAAAAAUUGAGUAAUCUCUUUUCGUAAAAAAAGUUAUUUAAUAUUAGAUAUUGUCAAUUAUCGUCUUCUAAUUUGACUUGGAAAUUUAUUUGAAUUUAUUUUUAUUUAGUUAGAAGAACAAUAAGUUUUUAAUUCUAUACUUAAUAUAAUUGAAAAUAGAUUUGCAACUAUUACAAAAAAAUUUAAACAUUUCAAUAAUUUUUGGAAUUUUUUUAUAUGUUAGCAAUCAACUAUAAAAGCCUUGUUGAUAUAUGUCUUGUAUUAUAUUACUAUAAGUUUUUUUAGCAAGUUUUUCUUUUUGGUUUCUAAUAGAUUCUUUGGAGAUUCUAAAAAAAGGAUAAGGAUUGUCUCUCUCUCCCUCUCUCUCUCCUCCCCUCCUUCCCUUCUUUUGUAUAGGGUAUGGAAUUACCUAAAAACUAAAUUUGUCUAGUUUUAAUUUAAAUCUAGUUUUGUGAAGGUUCUAAGGUUAGCAAUAAAUAUUUUUAGGAUUUUGUCUAGAUUUCAUAUAGACAUCAUUGUACAACACAAUGUUUAUACUUUCUUAUAAAAUUAAAUUCUUGUGUAUGUUUCCUAAUGGAUAUUACUUCAACUUUGAAAUAAAUAACUUUCAUUGUAUGUCAUUUCUAUUAGAUUGAAUAUAUUCUUUUUGUGCACAUUUCUAAUCCAUUACAAUAAGCACUAUUGUUAUGCCUGUAAAAAAAAGCAAUAAUGAGGUUUAUUAUUUAUACAAGAAUUUUCACAAUUGAGAGACUUUUUUUCAAGUAUAAAAGUAAUUCUUUAAAACAUCAAAUUCUUUAUCAGUUUAUAAUUUCAUAUGUGUAUAUAUUCUUUAUUAACAUCAUACAUUUUUAGAUGAUAUUGUAAAUGUUGACUUAUCUAUUUUUUUUUAAUUAAUUUUACUUUAAUUAAUUGAUUAAUAACAUAUGCAUUAAUCAACAUGGACAUAGCUGACUAUACCUUUGAAAAAACUCACUUAUAAGAAGAAUUUUAACUUUCAUUUUUAGAUUACUUUCUAUAUACUUUUUCUUUAUGAUGUACCAAAUUCUACUAAAAUAUUAUUGGAUCAGUCCUCUAAAAAUUCUUAGCACCCUCUUCUUAAUUACAGAUGGUAGUUUUGAAUUGAUUCAUUCCCUACCAUUGUUAUUUAUUUAUUUUCCUCUUCGAUUUUUAUUUUUAUUUUCUAGCCUUUUUUUAUAAAAUUAUUUAUAUAUAUAAAUACAAAUAUAUAGAUUCUUAGUUUUUUAAAUACAUGUAUUUUUAAUUAUAUACACAUUUGUAGUUAAAAAAUAUAUAAAUGUUAGAAAUACUUAUAUAUAUAUAUAUAUAUAUAUAUAAGACAUGCAUCUAAAAAAAAUAGAUUAUAUACAAAAAAAAAUCCUUCCAAGAAACAUGAUAGAAUUACCCGAUAUAAAGAAGGCCAAAAGAAAAGGGUAUUGGGGAUAAAAGUCGGAAUAUAAAUUGCAUUGCAGAGGAGAAUGCCAGACAUUGGUGCAAAGGGAGGCCUAUUACUUUUGAAAAACAACCUAAAGAAGAAUGAAGCAUAAUUUUAAAAAUUACGGAGGGAGAGGGAUGGAGGAUCAUAUUUAGAAGCUAAAUUAUAAAAGGCUCGGAUUGUUAAAUAUUCAAAAAUAGAACAAUUUAAUUGCAUAUCAAUUGUAAUUAUGAUAAUUAAUAAAAAUCCAUUGUGUGUGUAUAUAUAUAUAUAUAUAUAUAUAUAAUAGAAUUUUAUACUACAAUCUAAUUUUUUAAAGAAAAAAACUAUCGCCACCAUUUAUUAAAGUAGAUAAAAAAUUAAAUUAAAAAAUAUUUUUUUAUAAAUAGAUGUUUUUAAUGUUUCUAACAAUACAAAGAAUAUAUGAUUCUAAAUUGAUAAAAGUAAGUUUUAAUAUAUUUUUAAUGUUUCUAAAAAUAUAAAGAAUAUAUGAUUUUAAAUUGAUAAAAAUAUAAGUGAAUAGAUUUAUCUCAAAGAUGAUUUAUUUUUAAAUUUAAGGAUUUGAACCUCAUUAAGGCUCACAAAGUGUUGUUUAUAGUAUCUUAGAGAAGAAAUGAGGCCUUCAUUUCAUCUUCCUACCUACAUCCAACAUACUACAAUCCAUAUAGGAUAUAUGUACCUCCUUUUUUACAACUACAAUACUAGCUGCUCAUCACUAUAAUUUCUAUUAGUAAUACAUGUUAUUUUUCUUAUUUAAUUUCACCAUGGUAUUCAAAAAUACAAAAUUAACCUCAAAACCUCAAAGUAUCUUAAAAUCUUAUUUUAAUUCUUUAGUUUGGCCUCUCCAAAGUGGUAAAUUAAUUUAUACCUAAGUCUUCAAAAUGAAUUCCAAAAAUUCAUAAAAUCUCCUAAAUAAAUUCUAAAAAAUCUUAUAAUGUUUCUAAGAUAAUGAGAAAAAUUUAAGGUCACUUGAUGCUACCAUGGUGUUUUUUUAAAAAAUAUAAUCUAUUAAAUUAACAAUAUAUAUAUGUAUAUAUAUAUAUAUAUAUAUAUAUAUAUACAUAAAUUACUAAAAAUUCAUGAAAUUCUUAGUCAUACUUUUCCUAUCUACUAAUUAACAUUUCUAACCUUUUGAUAGAUAAUACAAAUGAAUAGAAGAUUAUAUAAGACAUUAGUCUUAAUAACUAAAUAAUAAUUAUUAAAAUUUAAAAAAUAUAUAUUAAGAAAAAUAAGGUAAUUGCCUCAAAGACUUACUAAAAUUCUAAUUUAAUAAAUUUUUGCAUAACAAGACUCUUUUAACUUAUAAAAGCUUCUAAAUCCUAAUAAAUUCUUAUAAAAUCAUAUUAACCCUCUAAUUUUAAUAUAUUUUUAUAUCAAAAAAUUAAAAAUAUAUUUUUAAUAAUUCUACCAAUUAAGAUGUAUUAGUAGAACAUACAAACAUAUAUGGAAGCAAUCCAAGAAUUUUGCAAAUGCAUUACAACUUAUUACUCUUUUUUUAUUAAUAACAUCUUUUAAAAUCAAGAAUUAAUUACUAAAAAUAUAAUAAUAUAAAUAAAGUAGAAAUAAAAUCAACAAUCAACUUAUAGAAUUUCUAUGAAAUAUAGAGAGGAUAAUAUUUUUAUUUAUUCAUUUUUAUUUAUAAAUUUUUAAUAAAUUUUCUUUGAUAUAGAUCAAAUAGUUAGAUUUUUAUAGAUAUGUCAUGUGGCUUUAUAAACGUGUCCUAGAUUUUUUUAUUUUUAAGAAGUUGUAUUUUACUAACCUACAAUUUGAUGUUUAGGUCACAAGCCUUACGAUCCUAAUAACCUUCUAUGAGACCUUAUUUAUAAUUAGUAUACAUAGAGAUAAGACUAACUCCAUCUUUGGUCUUAUUAACAAUUUUCUUGUGUUUUAAUCUUGGUUUAAGAAUCUUUAGUUUUUUCAUAUAUAUUAAUAGUCAUUUUAUAAUUUUUUUUUUUUUUUUUUUUUUUUUUUGGGGUUUAGGGAAUUUAAAUUUAAAUUAACCAAGGCAAGCUUAAAAUAUAAAAUCUUUUUUUUAAGAAAACCUAACUAUUGUGCAAUGAUACUAAUCAUCUUGCAAAACAAAUCCAUAUACAACUCUUUGUUAUUGCUACAACACUGAGGUCACUAAUAUUCUACCCUUCAUUAUUGAAGUCUGUCUCAUUCUUAUGCAACCACAAAAUUAAUGUUUCUUCCAAAUUGACUAUUUGAAAAUCAGUUCACUUUUGUAUUAGUGGUCCUUUUUUGGCAAUACAAACUAAACUUGUCAUCUUUCUCUUAAUUUUUGUUUUUUAAAUUUUUUGUCAAAACUUUUUGCAACAGAUUCUCAACAUAUCAACUUCCUAAUCAUUCAUUAGAAUGUGAUUAACCGAAGUGAUCAUUUUGCUAUCUAGAUUUUGUGAUCCUUUUGAAAUCUAGAUUAUUAAAAAAAAAUAAAAAUAAAAGACUGUUUCUGAACUUCUCAAAACCACAGGCGUACGAAAAUAUAUACUACGACAGGAGAUCCGAAAUCUAAGGAGAGCGGGGGGUGGACGAAUUGAGAAUGGAAUGUAACUGUUCAACCAACUUUUGACGUGACUGCUUCAGACCAUAUUCAGACUAAUUAGAGCUGGAAUCCGGUACCGACAAUUGACAACGGUAGAACUGAUGCUGGGUACCCAAGUUAACGUGACUCCGUGAUGUGCUUCAUCCCUCCACAUCUUCAAAGGUUGAAGCUCAGAGACAGAUAGGAGGAGUCUCUGUGUGUGUGUGUCCGAAGGUUUGAGGUUCCCAGAUGGUGAUUCUUCCUCGCACUCUCAAAUCCUAGCCUUGCCCACACUCUUAGAUUCCACGGUCUUCAGACUUUUUUCAUGGACUGUGCGCCAGUUUUACGAAGAGUUAUUAUUUUGAUGGGGUUGGAUAAACGAUAUAGCAUGAGCACCUUCUCGCAUGUGGUUGUGCUUGGAGGGAAUUGUCGAUUCGCGUCACAAACAGCCAUGAAGUGCAGGUGCUGCUUCGAACUUGCUUAAUGGGGGCGAGGGGGGGGGGGGGGGGGGGGUGGUGGGGAGAGGGGAUGCUGUACGAGGGGAACUUCGUCAGCUUGUGAGUGCAUCUUUCAGAAUAGGUCUUGCAAGGGAUCCCUCUGCUUCCUAAUAAAAAAAUACCUAUGGAGGGGGUUAUUAUUUCAAGUAUAACUCAGUCGCGGAACGCUACGUCGGCAACUAGCUCAGAGCUCGUUCCCAGUUGAGAAGGUCGAAAGGAUCUUGUUGAGCGGUUUUGUGUCUUUCCAUCUGAACUUAACUGCAUGCUCGAGUUCGUCAGGGUGGUGCAGGGUAACCUAGAGCGCAGGUGCGCAAAAUGCAUUGGAAAGGAAUCAAGGCAUAAGCAUGCAUCACGAGGACGAGAUAUUGUCGAAUUUCAAAAUGGCUCGCGUAUCUCUUCUUGGUGAUGAGCUUCAUCCUCUCCUGUGAUUGCCAGUCAGCAUCAGGAAGCACUCUUGCCUCAAAUUCCUCCAUGACGUCGAACAUGACAUUGGUAUCCCCCGGAGGAAUAUUCGAAUUGGGUUUCUUCUCUGGAAAGCGCCCUAAUCUAACCUCCUCAGUGUACGCUCGCGAUCCGGUAUGCUCAACCAAAAGCUGUUGAGGCGAAAACCGUCGUUUGGGUUGCUGACAGAUCCAUGGCUUUGACCGACGUCGAGAAUGCCACACUGCGGUUGUCGGCACAGGGGAGCAUUGAGGUCUACGACGGUGCCGUCCCAACUUCGAAGCGCAUGUGGAUGUCCAACACUGCAGACGUAAGCUUUCAUACACUACGUUCCGUUAACAGUAGCUACACGUUCACAAAGCUGAAUUGACUCUUCAUCAUCCUAAGUACGCUUCCCAACCAUGUCUGAUGCAAUUCUGGUGAACACUUAUCAUGCAGCUGAAUGUGACCAGUGCCAUCAUUCUGGACACGGGCUACUAAACUCAGGCAUGGGGAGUGGUUUGGCAGAGCUUCGACUAUCCCACAGACACGCUCUUGCCUAACCAAACUUUCCGAGCAAACACAGAGUACAACACCAUCGCCGCGUGGCAAAACGACGGCGACUGGACUCCUGGAAAGUAUAUCCUCGGAUGGACUUCUAUGAAUACAAUUUACGCAACCUGGCUGAACCCGUAUCCUUGGGACGUCGACAAAUCGAAAAACAUAUACUGGCAAAAUAAUACGCAGUUUUCUGAAAUCAAGCUGACACCGGAAGGAGAAAUCCGAAGACUUGACGGACAGGGGCAGUGGGUUCUCCAGGUGCCUGGUCAACUUCUUCGAUUGACGCUUGAUAAGGAUGGCAACAUUCGCUUGUACAGCUGGACAGUCCAUAACGCAAACUGGACGAUUGUAUGGAAACUAAUGGAUUCAGAAUGCUCCAUUUCAGGGUAUUGCGGUCCCUACGCAGUUUGUGAUCGGGGGGAGUGUUCUUGCCUCGAUGAAUUUGAGCUUGUCGACCGCACAGACCGAAGGCUCGGGUGUCGGGGGAAAACGCCGGCGGCAUAUUGCACCAACAAAGCAGCGCUUCCCGACACUUUCACCCGAGCUUUGAACAAUGACUGGCCACAAAACGACUUGGUCAAGUUUGAAAACGCAAAUCUGUCUUACUGCAAACAGCGUUGUUUUGAAUCUUGCGAGUGUGCAGCCGCUAUAUCCACAAUCCCGAGCAGCGAAGGGCUUGUGGAUGCGUGCUGGCACAAGAGAAGAACCCUUCUGAAUGGCGAAAUUCUCGGCACUCGCGAGGCGUACAUAUGAAUUGCAGCUCCGAGUCUACAGCCUACAGCAGCACCUCCGAGCUUGGUCGUCAAAGACAAUCAUCGUACUAUUACAUUUGUGGCUAUCGGACUUGGUGCGAUUGUAGGGAUUUUCUCCUUGAUAGCUUGCGCGUAUGGGGGUUUCUUCCUUGCGAGGAAGAUGCAGAACUGGAAGCGGAGCAGCCUACAUGACAAGUGGUUAGCAGCCAAAGGCACGAUUGUUCGACUCACAUAUACGGAGAUUGAGCUUAUUACUGCUAACUUCCAAACCAAGAUCGGAGAAGGUGGAUAUGGAACUGUUUUCAAGGGACACAUCGGACCCAAUCCGCGCCAGAUCAGUUCCGAUAGUAUUAUCACAGUCGCUGUGAAACAGCUCAAGAAAGAGCCAACUAGCCAGGUUGAGAAAGACUUUCUCAACGAGGUCGACAGCGUAGGACAGAUCCACCAUGUGCAUCUCGUCUCGCUUCUCGGCUACUGCUCCGAAGGGAACCACAGAUUGCUCGUCUACGAGUACGUCGAAAGAGGUUCCCUUCACGCAGCAUUAUUCAAACGUGUGAAAUUACGGCUUCCUGUCCUGGAAUGGCGCACCCGCUUCGCCAUAGCCAUCCAAACCGCCAGAGGCUUGGCUCACCUCCACGGUGACUGCAAACGACGGAUCAUCCACUGCGACAUCAAACCCGACAACAUCCUGCUAGAUUCAUUGUACUGUGCAAAGGUGGCGGAUUUUGGACCCUCCCGCACCCGGAACCGUAACCAAACCACGCAAGCGCAGAGCAAGACCAUGAACCUACGAGGCACAUUCGGCUACAUGGCCCCGGAGUACCAUAUGCCUAAUACCGUGAGCAUCACCGACAAGGUGGACGUCUACAGGUAGGAUUGGUGUUGCUGGAGAUUGUGAGCGGCUGUCGAAACUGCGACAUAACCAGGCUCAACGCGGCGGAUUUGUAUUUCCCAGUCUGGGCAUUCCCCAAACUGGAAACGGAUGAGUUCAUGGAAGUGGUGGAUCCGUCACUGACAGGAAUUGUAGAUCGGGAUGAAGUUAAAACAGCACUACGAGUCGCAUUUCUGUGCAUCAACGACAACCCACAAUUGCGACCUUCCAUGAGCGAGGUCGUGAAGCUGCUGCAAGGGGUUAGAGAUAUCUCGCUCCCGGUGCCAGCACCGCAAUUUCUCAGGUACAUGAACUUCGCGACACAAGAUAAUCAAAGUUCCUCCUCACAUUCUUCAACGCAGCGAACAGCAGAGAAAGUCAGUGAAAGAUUGCUCACGGAGGAACAGGAAUUUCGUGAAAUUGGGAGACGGUGGGAGAUACCUUCGAGUGGAAGUCGGCAUUCGAUGGUUUAGGGCCUCGGGGCUUGUGGGAAAAGUCUAACACUGAAGGCUGCUCAAAAGUAAGUUUGUACAUUGGCACAGAUAUGAAAUUAGUGAAUGGUAUCAUAUAAAUUCAAGGCUAUGAUAAAUCUCAUGAGGAAGAAGACUUUGGUCCAUCCUUUGGUUGCCCUCCUCUCAUUGUUAUGCAAUAGUGUAUAGUAAAUCCACAUUUACAUCAUGCAAAAACUCAACAUGUUCUACCAUCACAUGUCAGUUUUGUCAAAUUCUGAUAUUGAGAUCUCAUGGUUAAGUUUUUGACAUUUUUGUUUUCUAAUAUUAUGUUCACAUGUUGAAUAUGUAUUUUUAUUUUGUGAUAUGGGAUUUGAAUUGAUACCGUCUUUUCAUUGCAUACCUAAGUUUUAUGAGUUUCAAUUUCUUGGAUGUGCCAAAAAUGUUAUUCAAGCUAUGUCUUCAUAAUUUGGUUCAAUGGAACAAUAGCAACUACUUUUUGUAAAUAAAAAUGUUUCUGAUUUUUCUUAAAUUCAUAAUAAAAAUUAACUAUGAAAAUGCUACUUUGUUUGAUAUUGCUCAAAUGAUUGGAUUGUAAUAAGAGUAUUAAUUCACCAUCAAGAAAUUAUGUUAGUCCUACUAUUUUUAUUAAAUAGAAGAUUACAUUGAUUUUAGAAGAUUGCUAUAAAAGGCCAAAAUUGUAAAGUAGAAUGCAUCCAAAAUAAUCAUCAUGCAUAGAGUCUGAUAUUUUUUUUAAGAAUUGAUUUUCAAACUUUUGUAUUCUAAUUUUAAUACACUAUAUUCAUUUGUAUGAUACUUGGUAUCUAUAAACAUAAGAAUCAUUUCCUAUGCAUUGAUAUUACAUAUUUCAUGUGUAUAACAUAAUCUUAAUUUCACUUCUAUCCCUUUUAUAUUUUCUUUUUCACUGUUAUACGACUAACUCCUAAUUUAUAGAUUGAGAUCUAUUUACAUUAUUGAACAAAAAUUUUAAGUUGUAAAAGAGUUUUAAAAGAGAUUUGUUUUAGCUUUAGUGCAAUAAGAUAUGCAUCUUAAUUUAUUAUUGUGCUUAGCUCCUCCAAGUUGUCUUUGCAAGAUUUUGUAAAUAAUCUUUAGUAAUUUUUUCUCUUAUUUGACUUAAAGCUCCUAUAUUUUUAUUUACAAAAAUUUGUGCAAUAUUUGUAUUUGUGUGUUAGAUGUAUGUAAUUUUUAAGAUAGUUUAAUUCAAAAUUCGAGUAUGUAUAAGCCAUACGAAUUUGCUAGGACUUCAUUGUUUGUUGUAUACUAUUGAAAAAAAAAAAAAAAAAAUGCAUCUAAAUUUGCUAUGUUUAUUUUUUACAUAAGUUAUGUAGAAUUGUAAGUUUCAAUAGUUGGUACAAUGAUGAUUCUGCUUAUCAAGUUAAAGUAACUUUGUACAUCUAUAUUACAAAUCAUAAAAGAAAAUAAAAUAAAAAUUAUAAGAAAAAAAAUUAAAUAAUAUAUACAACAUAGUUUUUAAAAGGUUACUUUUUUGGUUGCAUCAUAUGUAAAACUAUAGAUAUUAUGUGCAUAAGAAAGUAGUUUUAUUUUUUAGAGAGUAGAAAUACAUACAUAUAUGAAACUCACCUACAGCAAAUUUAAAACUAUUUCUUUUAUAAUUUCUUUAAAAAAACUCUUUUUGGCUUGUCAUAAAGCUUAAUUAUGAUUUUUCAAAUAAUUUACAAACUGUGAGGUUUUUUUCCUUCUUCUUUCUUUAUCAAAAACUUGACUUGUAAACUUCUAUGAUGCUUGAAAUUUUCAAUUUUAUAAGAAAAAAUCUAGAAAAUCAAAAGUUAUCUAAUUUAUGGAGUAAUAUCAACCAAACAUAUUUUCAUACUUAUCAUUUUUAUUUUUAUUUUGGCAUUCAUAGUGCAAUGCAAGUAGGAAAAAAAUAAUAGAGAGAGAUAAUAGGAGAAUUAAAAGUGCUACUUAUAAUUGACCAUCAAUUACAUAAAUUUCAAUUAAGAUACAAAUAGCACCAAUUAAAGAAAAAAAAAAUUAUAUUUAUUAUUGUAUAAUAUCCUAAUAGCAGUUCGUACUAUUUUGUAUAGCAUACACUUUGUAAUGAACUAAUAGUCUUUCAUUAUAAAAUUUAAAAAUAAAUAAAAUAACAUGUAGUAAUUUCUUAAGUUCAAAAAGAAAUGAUGUUGUACUUUAAUUAAAAUAGAUGUUGCACUUUAACUAAAAUAGACAAUGGAGUUUUCUGUUUCAAAAACUUUGAUUAUUCAACAGCAAAUAUAUUACAUUGCAAUGCCAAAAAAAAGAGAGUUUAAUUUACAAAACUAUAAUCGUCACAAAUUUCAUUGUAUUUUUUUUAAAAAAUAAAAUAAAACAAUUCUAUAUUUUAAACAUUUCUUGUUUUUGUGCUUUUUUACUUUUUGACUUAGUAUUGUUUUUACUUUCAUGUGUAAUAUUCUUUAUGGAAAAAUGUAGUUCUAUAUUCCAAAGAUAUAAUUAUUUCUUACAAUUAAUAAGAUGAAACAAAGUUAAUUAAUCUAAUUUUGUAUUUGUGAAGAAGUUUUUAAAAUCCGAUUAAGUAUUAACAUAUGCAAUAACAAAGAUAAAAAAUAUUUAUAAAAGUUAAAAUCACUACAAUAAAGUAGAUUAUCUAUUUUUUUUUGUUCCAAUAUAUAAAAUUCUAUCUAAAAGUAAUUAUAAAGAUGUUAUUUUGUUAUUUAGGAAUCAAUAGUUGUUUUUUUUUUUUUUUUUUUUUUGUAAGAUGUCAAGCCAUUGAAAACACAUGGUCUAAGCUUUAAGAAGAAUGAUUCUUCAAUGAUUACAUGAUUGAAGGUAAAAAAAAAAUCAGUUCAAUUUAAUCUUAAUUUUAAUUGAAAUAUCUUUAAAUUAAUUAAAUAAUGAAGUAUAGCAUUAUGAUAGUUCUUUUGUUAAAUUAAUUUCAUGCUUAAUUAAAAAAAUAAAAAAUAAGAGUAAAAAUCACAAAAUAAUUAUAAAUUCAAGACAUUUUCUAAUGUGCCAUAACAUCUGCUUGAAAUUUUUAGAAGUUUCUCAUAUAAUUUUAUUAUUUAACCUAAUUUCUGAUGUUUAAUUUUUUUAAAAUAAUAUUUAAAGAUAAUUUCUUAUAUUUUUAAUAGAUACAUAUUAAAAAUUCUUAUUAUCAAUUUAUUUUGAAGGAUAAAAUAUCAUAUUGUAAUAUUUAUGUUUUUUGUAAUACCAUCUUUUAAUGGAUAAGUGUAUUUGUACAUGUAAUAAAUUAAUUAAUUAUAAAUAUAUUAAAAAUAAAUAAUCUUUAUUAAUUUAUAUAAAACAUUUAAAAAAUCCUCAUAUAAAAUUCAAUUUUAUUGUAAAAAUGGAAUUCAUUAAUACAUUAUUUUAUAUCAAAGUUUUGAGUGAUAUUUAAAUAUAUGAAUGGAAUUAUUUAGUUUUUCUUUUUUCAUUUUGCAUAAUAAAUCAAAUAUUGACACUAGUCAAAGAUCGCAAAGAAUAAAUAAAUAUUAAAUCCUCCUUAAAUAUUCAUAUUAGUGAGAAAAAAAAUUAUAAAUGUUAUUUUUUAGAAAUUAAUGUAUUUUUAAAAAAUUAGAAAUGAAAAAAAUUCAGCUAAAAUAAAAAUUAAUGUUCUUUUCAGAAAUAAAUCAAAUAUAUCUAUUACAAAAAAAAAGGUUUAUAUAUAUAUAUAUAUAUAUAUGUGUGUGUGUGUGUGUGUGUGUGUGUGGGUGUAUAUAUAUAUAUAUAUAUAUGUGUGUGUGUGUGUGUGUGUGUGGGUGUAUAUAUAUAUAUAUAUAUAUAUAUAUACACAUUAUAAAUCAUUAGUUACAUUUUUUGAAGCAAAUAUUCACAAUAGUGUUUCAAAAGACCAUGUUAUAUAUAACUUUUUAUAUAUUCAAAUAAUUUUUUUCUUAAAUUAAAUUUCAUUGUACUUAAAGAGGAACUUUAAACAAGUUAUACAUAAUUACAGGUUUACAAUAAAGAAAUUUAACAUAAACUAAGAGUGGAAAAAUAAAUAAAUAAACAAAUAAAUAAUAAUUUAAACAAUUUCAAAAUUUUGGUGCUAUUUACAAAGUAAUUAUAUAUAUUUUUUUUAUUUUUUCUAACUCAAAAUAUACUAUUAAAAAAAUUAGAAAUAUAAAAUAUAUACUUAUUGAAAUAAAUAUAUUUAUAUUUUAAGACAAGUAGGUAUAAGCUAUGUUACAAUAUUCUAACAAGGUAUAAAUUUGUGGAUUAUUUGUUUUAAAAAAUGGAUAAAAUUAGAAGAAAUGUAUAGCAUUUUCGUAAGAUGGCAUUCAAAAUCAUUCAAAGAAGUUUAUAAAAAAAUCCAAAUUAAAUAAGAUAUUAUAAUAUUAUAUUAAAAAAUAAAUUAGUAAAAUAAUUCAAUUACUUAAAUGCAAAUAUAAUUAUACAAUAGAAAAAUUAUCAAUAUAGAAUAUAGAAGGUUAAAAUAUAUCAUUCAAAUAUAUAUAUAUAUAUAUAUAUAUAUAUAUAUAUAUAUAUAUAAAUAGAUUAAUUCUAAAAGAAGUAAUUAAUAAUUUUAAAAGUUUACACAAUAUCUAGUUACAUAUAUUUGAAAUAGAUGUUUAAGCAUCAAUAUAAUAAAAAAAUAAUAAAUUGGGAAAAAAUAAAUUAAAAUAUAUUAUCAAUUAAUUUUUAUUAAGAUCAAAAUAUGGAUUAAGAAAUAAUCAUAAUUAAAAAUUAUAUAUAUAUAUAUAUAUAUAUUUAUCUUAAUAUACAUAUAUAUAUAUAUAUAUAUAUAUUAUAAAAGAUAAGAACUUGAUGAAUGCAAAUACAUAAGUGAGAUGUUUUUCAAUAAAAAGAAGACAAAAGAAAAGUAAAGAAAUAUGUAUAUUCAAAAAGAAAUUAGAAUGGCUAUUGCAAAAAGACAAGAAAAACUAAAAACCUUAAAACUAGACUAGUUUCUAACCUAUCAAUCAAUUAAAAAAAUAUAUAAAGUCAAAAUUGCAUUUAUAGAGCUUCUAAAAAGCUUUCUUAUAAGAUUUUAUCAAAUUUAUCUAUUUUAAUGUACUUCUACAUAUUCAUAUUAUCUAAAAAAAAUAUUAGAGUAAAUAUAUAUGUUCAAGAUAUUAUCUCCUUUUCUAAGAACAAGUACCACAAGGAGUAGUGAUCAUAUUUUGAAGAAGUCUAAGAUACAAUGAAUUAUAUUUAUUGUAUAUUUUGAUCUUUAUUUCCUUUAAAAAUAGUUGAUAAGUCCUCUCAGCUAUUGAUAAUAUUCUAUUCUAACGCAACAUUGAUUUGAGUCUAAUAUUUCAAUCUAACUCAAUAUUAUCUUGAGUUUAAGUUUUCUUUUAUCUCAAAUUCUUAAUUAUUAUGCAUUUCUAUAAAAAAUUGUGAUAUUUCUCUUUUUUGCAUGAUGUUUACUAUCUUAUAUGGCUUAAAAACAAAUACAUGAAAUACAAUAUGGAUCUUCAUAGACUUUGGUAGAUGUGAUUGAUAUGCAAUUUAACUAAUUUUUUCAUAUGUUAAAAAUGGUCUAAGUCUAUAAUAAUUCAACUUCUUAUAAUGGUGGCUAGUCUUGAUAUUAUAACAAAGUAAUCAUAUCUUAUCACUAACAUAGAAUUAAGGUUUUUUCUUACUAUAAGAAAUUAUAUUGAUUUCUUUUUGUUCUUGAGUCUUUUUUAAUUGUGCCUUCAUUAUUAUAUAUAGCUUUGAUAGAAAAUUUGUCAAAUCUUAUAUCACAAGAUUAUCAAAUUUUUAAAAAUUAAAAAUAUCAAGUUAUAGAUAAUAAUCAUAAUUAAUUUAAAAAAUUAUUUAUUAAAUUAAAUAAUAUAUUAUAUUAUCAUAAGAAAACUAUGCCAAUAGCAAAAGAGUUGUCCAAUCAUUUUGAUGGUAGUUGAUGAUACAUCUCAAAUACUAUUCUAAAACUUGAUUCAUUUGUUUGGUUUGUCAAUCAAUUUGAAGAUAAAUAAUCAAAGAUAAUUUAAUAUUUAACUUCAAUAUCUUAUAAAAAAAUCCAAAAUCUUAAUACAAAUUGGAUUUUUCUAUUAGUAUACAAAUUAGAUAUAAUAUACAUAAGCAAUCCUUGAUAGUGAUAGAUGAUGUCAAUAAAAAAAAUAAUUUUAUUUUUAUCUAUAAUAAAUUUUGUACAUGAUAUAAAAUAUGCCAUCUAAGUAAAAUAAUCUACUAUCACAAAUAUAGAAUCAUAUGAACUUAAUAUUAAAAGAUUUGUGAUAAAAUCAAAAGAAAUAUAAGAUCAAGAUUAUUUUGAUAUAAGUAAUGGUUGUAGAAGUCUAUAAGGUCAAUGACAAGGAGUUUUUAAUUAUAAAUAAAUAUCACAUGAUCAUAAAAAGUCUUAUAUUGAUUUCUAUAUUUGAAGCCAUAAAAAAACUAUUAAAAUUAAUUUCAAGAUCAUCUUAUAUUCAAAAUGUUAUAAAGUUAAAAAGUUAUAUAGAGCUUUAGAAGCACAUAGUUUUACUUCAUCUUUUAAAAUAUACAAGUAUUUUUUGAAAUAGAAUAGAUUAUUUUUGAAUUCAAACUUGAAAGUAUCAUAAGAAUUAGAAGAAUUUUUUUUAAUAUCACAAACAAGACAAUUAUAUGAAAUACUGAAUUAAAAUUACUUUUAAAUCAAAAUUCAAAUAACCAAUGAAUACACUUCACAAUAAAAUUGAUUGCUUGAAUUAAUGAAACAGGACUAAACUAUCUCAAAAAUCCAAGAUCCUUCUAAUCCAUAGUAAUAUAAAGCCUCAUUACAAAAUAGGAUAAAAUAGACCAAAAUAAAACUAAACAAAAUUAAACAGAAUAUGAGAUGAAAGACAAAACUAAGCAAACAAAAACAAAACAAAACAGAUUUGAACAAAAAGAUGCAGAACCAAACUUUGCUAAGAAAAAGGAUCCAAAGCCAUAUCUGACGAGAUGUUCCAAAAGACCCUAGCCAAUCAUAUUUAUACUUUAUCCUACCACCCUAGACUUUCUAAAAUAUUCUUAAGUGAUAGAUCUUAUAUAGAUAAUUACCUUAAAUUCCUUUUUUAGAAGGUUCUAUAAUAAGCUCUAUCUAAAUAGCCACCCUAAGUUUUUUUUAGAAAGUUUUAUGAUAGGCCCCACCUGAAUAAUUAUCCUAAAUUCUUUCUAGAAUGUUCCACGAUGAAUCCUACCUAUUCCACUAAGCUAAUUUCAAUUCUAAAAACUUCCAUGGUUUUAAUUACCUAUACAAUCAUCUUAUCUAUACCUUGUUACAGUUAAAUUCCUUCCACCAAUGUAGAACGUCCUCAUUUUGCUCCCAAUGGUAUCUCCAAAUUGUCUCUUAGCAAUGGAUGAGAAUUUGUGCAAGUUUCCACAUUACAUCAUGAUUAGGAUAAUCUUUCCAAAGAACUUUGUAUUGAAGUUGUGAAUAUCCACUCCCACAACGAACGUAGUAAUGCUCCAAAAUAUUAUCCACUUCAUAUUCUUCUUGGUCAUCAACUAUAACUGGUAGUGGUAGUGAUUGGUGUUAAUCUGGAAAGUCCUUUGGCUUGGUAUGAAAUUCCUUUAGUUUCAAAACAUAGAAGACUCCAUGGAUUUGAAUAUAUGGUGGAAGCUUGAGGUGGUAUGUGACAUCAGAAAUCACUAUAGAAAUGAAAAAAGGUCCAAGCCACUAAGGUGCUAAUUUACGGAUUUGGACUAAUGUAACAAGUGGCAAGUUGGCAUUGGAGAGUAAUAUCUCAUCACCUUCCUAAAAGGUCUUAUGUUGCCAAUGGUUAUUUGAAUAGUACUUGUGUCGAUUUUGUGCAGUAAAGAGGUAGUGCCAUGCCUCUUGUAAGGCCAUUGUAAGUCAUUAUAUAAAUUCUUCUAUUGUUGGAUUAUUAGUAUCGAUGGGAUGAUAAAAAAUUAUUGGCAUAAUUGAAUGCUAAUCAAUAUCAAAGAAAAAUGGUAAAUGAUUGGUAAAAAGUGGUUUGAAUAAUAUCACUAUAAGCAAAUUCCAAAGAUAUCAAGUAUUCAUCCCAAUCAUUAUAAUGAACCACCACAAAUGCCCAGAGCAUAUCUUUCAAGGUUUAAUUUGUAUGCUCUAUUUGCCCAUUUGUUUAGAGAUGGAAGGUUGUAGAUAUGACAAGUCAUGUAUUUAAUAGCUUCAAUAAGGCUUUUCAAAUACUUCUCAUGAAGCAUGGAUCUCGAUUUGAAACAAUGAUACAAGGUAAUCCAUAAUGACAAAAGAUGGUAUCAAAGAAGACUCGUGCAAGCGUUGAGGCAUCAAUAUCCAAGUACAUUGCAACUAAAUGAACUUACUUUGAGAGUCGAUCGACAAAGACGGCAAUUGCAAUAUAAUAAUGAAGUGUCUAUGGUAAACAUGUAAUAAAAUCUAUAGUCACUUACUUCCAAUAAGCCAUAGGUAGCAAAAUUAGCUGCAAUAAUUUACGAGACACUAUAUUGCGUACUUUAUUAUAUUGACAUGACUUGCAGGAUCGUACAAAGGUUCAAACAUCACAAUCCAAACUUAUCCAAAACCAUAUCUUUGAGAUUUAUUCUAGGGUCUUCUCUUGCCUUAGAUGUCCAAAUAUUAGAAUAUCAUGCCCUUUUUGAAGUAUAUAUGUCUUAAAUAUAGCAUAGUUGAGUAUAUAAAUCUAAUUCUUGAUAUAGAGCAAUCCAUCAUUAAGAAUAAAAUCGUAAUUUUGUAUAUUUUCUACUUUUGGCCAAUCGCUAACCAUCUUGAAAUUAGCAUCCUGAUGCAUAGCUUCCUUCUAUUCUACAUCUUUGGUUAGAUCUAAAAAGAAAUUGCUAAUAAUAGCGAUUUAUGUCUUGUCUUUCAAUUUGACCUUCAAGUCUAAUUUCUACGAUAAGCAUUCUAGCACAAUAUGUUGUCGCCCUUGCUUAUACUCAAACUGAAUAUCAAAAAGCUGUAAUUGUUAUUUUCAAUGCUGAUGCUAUAAUUUCAUAUUUUCCAAAUCCAAAUCAUAUAAUAAGGAUUGAUGGUUAGUCCAAAAAAUCACUUGCUUUUCUAAUAGAUAGUGUCGCUACAUCUUUGUAGCCUAUACAAUCACUAAUUACUCUCGAUUACAUACAGAGUAAUUGUACUCUAUCCUACUGAGCUUAUGUGAUUCAUACGCCACAUAUUGAAGAUCCCUACUAAAGACUUGUUGAAAGACUACUCUAAUAGCAAAGUUGGAAGUAUCAAUGUCUAGCAUAUAAAGAAGAUAAGGAUGAUAUGGUUGUAAUAUUAGAGCAGUAAUGAGUGUCUUUUUCAACUUAUCAAAGGUAUUUUUUUAGUCUAGUUUUUAUUCAAAUAGAACACAUUUCUCUUAUAAUUUUGUCAAUGAAGUAACAAUGUGAGAAAAUCGCCUAACAAAAUGGCAAUAGUAUGUAUCAAGGCCUAAAAAUGAGCAAACUUUAUAAACAUCCUCAGAAGUUGGCUAAUCUUCCACUGCUUUUACCUUAUCUUGUUCCAUAUACAUGCCUUUGGAAGACACCUUAUGCCUCAAAAAGAUGACUUUUAACUUCCAAAGUUUAAAUUUUGAUUGCUUGCAUUAGAAGCAACUAUCUUCAAGUUGACGCAAUAACUCUCGUAGGUAUUGCUCAUGCUCCUCAAGGAUUUUAUUAUAUAUAAAGAUAUCAAUGAAGACAACUAUAUACUUAUCUAAAAGGUCUUAAAAUAGUUUGUUCAUCUAAUCCAUGAAAGAAGUUGAAGCAUUGGUGAGGCCAAUAGAAAAAAACAACGAUUUAAAAUGUCCAUAAUGACUUCCAUAACUCUUCAAGUUUCUUUGGUGUUAGGCAAUAAAUUGGUCGACUUGCUGGUUUGGCUCCAAAAAAUAGUUCUAUUUGAAAGAGGGCACCUUGAUCAAGAAGUACGCUACUAGGUAGGUCAAUUGAAAAGACAUCAUGAUAUUUCCAUAUGAGCUGUUCAAUCCAUUCUAUCUCUUCAUUUGUCUUUUCUACCAUUGAUGCAAGAUUUGAAACCACCAUAUAUAUUAAUUAUUCAUGUUAUAUUUACUUCUUCAUAAAGGUAGUUCCUACGAGUAAGUCUUUGAUUGCAUAUUAUCUUUUCUCUUUACUUGAUGUGGAGGUGCAAAGAAUCACCUUCCAUCUACUAUCUUUAAAAGAGAUUGUCCUUAUUAUCCAAUCAACUUGCUUAUUUUUCGUCUUUAGCCAUAGCAUACUUAAGGUAACAUCAUACAUUAGCUUUGUCACCUUAAAUCUCUCUCUUAAGUUAUAGGUGUUUAUCAAUCUCAAGGUUUCUUCUUCAUAUGUCUCACUCAAUACGUUCUUUCAAUCAUCUGCAAGAUAUAUACUUCUUCCCUUAAUUGCCUUAGUUUUAAUUCCAAACAAGUCGUAAAUUUCAAUUAAUAUGCAAUAUUUUGUAGAGCCACAAUCUACAAGCAUUCAACAUAAUUGUCUUCUUAGUAGUCCUAUUAGAUGCACUAGUCGACUCUUUUUAUAGUUGUCCAAGGCCAUGCCAUUUGUCUUUGAGAUACAAUAGCUAUCCCUAGUUCUGGCCCUCAGUGCCAUUAUUGACGAGCUUUAUUUUCUUGCUCUAACUCAUUAUUGGCUUGAUGAGUUUCAAGAUUAUAAACCCGCCUUGUCUUGCUAAUGCUUGAAUUUUGAUGUUUUGAACAACGUCCAAUCUGAUGGCCUAGCUCCCAACAAUAGAAACACAAUCCCUUUUACACCAAUAUUUUUUGUCUUCAUGGUGUCAAUCAUUCUUGUAGGGCAUCAAUCUCCAUUGGCAUUGGUUUUUAUUCCAUAGUAUUAGAUAGCGGUGUCGUAUUAGGUGUUGUCUUGUUCGAGAAUACACUAGGUAUCUGGCUGUGGAAGGUAUAGUUAUUUUUGUAAAUAACAAAGAAACCCUCGUAGAUUUUAUCCAUAUAUGAAGUAUAUAAUUGAAAUAUCAAUUUCCAAGUAGUUAAAAACACUCUUCAUAGUCAUUUUAACCAUACAAUAUUCCAAUUGCUUUAUUUCUUUUAUAAUUAAGUUGUUUUUGUUUUUCUUAACAAGCCCUAACCUUAGCCAGUGAGCUUUGACAAGCUGUAACUUUUGAUCCAACCGUCCACUUAGUGUGAAAUUUUGCACCCAAAUACCAGUAUAAGCCUUCUAUAUGCUCAGAAAAUUUCAGCCCAACCCAACUUACAGAUUGCAAGAAAACGCCCAAAAACCGCACUGAUGACACUCGGCCGCAACCUUGAAAUUUGAUGUAGAAACUCCAGAAGUGAUUUCUCCUUUGUCAAUUGUUAACUCCAUCUCAAAAUUGAAUAGCCGCUUGAUCUCCAAAUCUUCUAUUAUCAAGCCAAAAAUUACGUCGAUCCAAUUAGUAGAUCUUUAGAUAUCAUAGAAAUCCUAUCCAACCCUAGACUGCCAACUUCCGACAAUCCUUUGUACUAAAACCCAGAUAUCUCUUAAUUGCAUCGUUAGAUUAACACAAUUUUUUGUAUACACUUAGCACACCCAACUAUCCAGACAAUACCAAAUUUUGAUCCAUAGAUGCUACACGACUUGCACAAAUCGAUUGAGAAUGCGAACCAUCAAUGUUUUAUAUAAAAUCCGAAACACCAAAAUAAACACUGACUUUGAGCAACGAUUGCUCUCUCCUCACAAAUCCUAAUGAAACCAAACUAAUGACCUUGAAAAGAGCUUGAAGCUAGCUCUUCGAUCCAAAAACCCCUAAUGAAACCAUCCUAGUGACCUUGAAAAGAGCUUGAAGCUAGCUCUUCGAUCCAAAAACCCGAUCUGAAAAAAAAAAACCCCCCACUGAAAAAAAACCCCACUGAAAAAACCCCCCUCAUUUCUUAACCUUCUUCCCCUUUAACCCUAAUUCUCCCCUCUUUCAAACCCUAGCCUCUGAAUUUCUUCAAUCUUCCGUCUUAGAUCCGGAAUUGGCUCCUUCCGUCUUGGAUCCGGAAUUGGCUCCUUCCAUCUUGGAUCUGGAAUUGGCUCUCGCCGUCAGAGCUUUUUCCUCCAUUUUUACCUUUAAGAGAUCCUUUUACUGAAAACAACGUUCCCUGAAACGGUACAGAGAACAGGACAGCCUGAAACAGAAUCGAAACCUCGUAAUCGGGACCACAUUGAGUCGCUCGACCAAAUCAGGUCUCAUAUUGGCUAAGAGUCCAGUAGUAAGACCCGGAUGUUCCCGUAAUUGGAUCAAAUUGGUCCUUCACGAUAGAUUGGCUGAGGCCUGCAGUAAGACUUGGAUUUUCCCGUAAUUAGACUGCAUUGGGUUGCCUGACCAAUUCAGGUCUCAUAUUGGGUAAGAGGACCCGGAUUAGAUUCUUGAAAUUGGAUCCAAUUGGCUCUUCAAAUAGGCUCACCCGUCGUGUAAAUUGGUCCUUUCCUUUCCUGCUGACUCCCGUUAUUGGAAUCGAAUGGAACAUUUCAGUAUGCCCCGGCUGACUGUAACGGGGUGACUGAACCUAGCCUCUCAAUAUUUGCACUGGAAUUGGUCGUUGCUCCCAAUAUUCGAGGUAACUGAACAUUAAUAAAAAUCCUCUUCCUUUAUAUUUUCACAAUAUAUUCGUGUUACAACACGACAUCCACCCCCUCUGAACCUACACAUCCUUCGGUAUGUGCCAAAUUUAGUACACCAUUAUUCUUUAUCCAAUACAAAAAAUCCAUGUAUCCAUCUUGUACAAGUAAAUUGGAAGCAUCCAACUUUGUACAUGACCAAACCAUUGGCGAGGUACAAAUUUUGAAAUGGAAAGAUUUAAUUGAAACUUCUUCCAUAUGGCCACAUACAUCUUGCUUGCAUCUUUUUUCUUGUUCCUUUGAUUCCAUGUUUGAUUUAAGACGUCUAUAUAAUCCUUAAAUCCAUUGCCCAUGUCUUUAUGUUUGAAGAUUUUUAGAUUUUCAACCUUUGAAUUCAACACUUCAUGAUGAAUUUUUUUCUUAUCAAAAUCCAAUUGUACCCCCAAUACAUGUGCAUUAUCCAUGUAACCUUGAUCUUGGUCCAAAAGAUUAGUACUCACAAUUAACUUGAUUAAAGCCAUUGAUUUAGUACCUUUACUUUUGAUUCCAUAAUCUUCUUUCACCACAUUAUCUUGUGAAAUAUCUAUCAUUUCUUCUUGAAUGUAUCCUUGUAAAACAUCCUUCAUUUCUUCUUAAAUCCAUCCUUGUGAAACAUCAUAACCUUGUGUUAUCUCAAUAUGUUGUAUUACUUCAUAAUAUUAAAAAAUUUCAUAGCCUUGUGAAACCUCAUGUUCUUGAAAAAUCUUGCAACUUUCACCAUAAUCUUUUUUAUCACCAUGAGAUGUUCCAUCCAAAUUACCAUCAUCCACUUGCAUAAACAUAUUCAAUGUAGAAUAGCUAUAAUUUUCAUCCUUAUUGUCAUUAAUUUCUAAAUCCUUGAGUUCCAUAUUGCCUUCAAUUUUUUUGAUAUUCUGACCUUCCAUAGUAAUAAUUUGAUCAAAGUCUUUGUUCUUUCCUUCACCAUCCUUGAUAAAAGAUCCACUUUCUUUCAUUUGCAAAAAAUUGGCUCCUCCUUCAAAGUCCUCCAGUUGCUGUUCCAUUUCUCUUUUUUCAAGAUUAAUCCCUUGUAUUGAUAAAGAUGAUAUAGAAGCCAAAGUAGAAGAUUUCUUAGACCAUACUCCAACUCUUUUAGCUUGUGCUCUUUGUUGCUUUGCUAAAAGAAUUGUUGUUUCUUUUAACUCUUCCCAAUUGUUAGUACAACCACUCUCCGUAGACUCAUCUGCAAGAAGUAUAAAAAGUUUGUCUCCCAUGGCAUCAUCAAGACCAUUUAAAAAUAAUUCUAUUUUUAUAGCAUCCAAUGACUGUCUCUCUGAGGAUGACAGUUGAUAAAACCUCUUUUCAAAUUCUUUCAAGAAUUCAUAAAGAUCCAUAUGCAUGCCUGGUUGUAAUUCUAUCCAAUCCAAAAAUUGUCGCUUGGUAAUCUUAUCCUCAUUUACAUCAAUAAAUUCUUUCUUCAAAAGUUCUUGAAAUUUUGACCAUGUCUCCACACCCCUUUCAAGUAAUCUCUUCACCUUUCUAUGAAUACCAGGUUCAAUAGCCAAAUAAAAGCUUGAAAUCAUCUUUGCCUCAGGAAUUUGGCAUGUCUCCAUCUCACAUGUAUAAACUUGUAAAAACUUAGUGAUGUUGCAUCUGUUAAACCUCCCAAAUUUGUUGAAAAUUCCUGGUAAUGCCUUUGUGAUAUCCCUUUCAAUUGCUUGUAUCUUUUGUUGUUCUUCCAUAAAUAUAAAAAAAGCCUCAAAAAACUCUUUAACAUUUGGUCCAUCCAAAGUAUUCAACCUAUCCAAAGACUUCAUUGAAAUAUCUUCCAUUUUCUUCCUCAAUGUUAAAAAAAUAUCCCUGGAAAUGCUCCAAUAAAUAACUUAUGAUACCUCAAAAUGCCCCAAGAUGUCUAUAAGCCAUAAUAUACUCCAUAAUAAUCCAAAUAUCACCAUUGCUUUUCAAAAUAUCCUCCAAAGCUCCAAGUCUUCCAAAAACUCUAAAAUCAACCUUGUCAUCUUGCACCAUCAAUCUAAAUAACCACAUACAAAAUCCAAUACUUUCCACCCCAAACUUUCACAUCGGGUUCACCACUUAUGUCGUAUUACGUGUUGUCUUGUUCGAGAAUACACUAGGUAUCUGGCUGUGGAAGGUAUAGUUAUUUUUGUAAAUAACAAAGAAACCCUCGUAGAUUUUAUCCAUAUAUGAAGUAUAUAAUUGAAAUAUCAAUUUCCAAGUAUUUAAAAACACUCUUCAUAGUCAUUUUAACCAUACAAUAUUCCAAUUGCUUUAUUUCUUUUAUAAUUAAGUUGUUUUUGUUUUUCUUAACAAGCCCUAACCUUAGCCAGUGAGCUUUGACAAGCUGUAACUUUUGAUCCAACCGUCCACUUAGUGUGAAAUUUUGCACCCAAAUACCAGUAUAAGCCUUCUAUAUGCUCAGAAAAUUUCAGCCCAACCCAACUUACAGAUUGCAAGAAAACGCCCAAAAACCGCACUGAUGACACUCGGCCGCAACCUUGAAAUUUGAUGUAGAAACUCCAGAAGUGAUUUCUCCUUUGUCAAUUGUUAACUCCAUCUCAAAAUUGAAUAGCCGCUUGAUCUCCAAAUCUUCUAUUAUCAAGCCAAAAAUUACGUCGAUCCAAUUAGUAGAUCUUUAGAUAUCAUAGAAAUCCUAUCCAACCCUAGACUGCCAACUUCCGACAAUCCUUUGUACUAAAACCCAGAUAUCUCUUAAUUGCAUCGUUAGAUUAACACAAUUUUUUGUAUACACUUAGCACACCCAACUAUCCAGACAAUACCAAAUUUUGAUCCAUAGAUGCUACACGACUUGCACAAAUCGAUUGAGAAUGCGAACCAUCAAUGUUUUAUAUAAAAUCCGAAACACCAAAAUAAACACUGACUUUGAGCAACGAUUGCUCUCUCCUCACAAAUCCUAAUGAAACCAAACUAAUGACCUUGAAAAGAGCUUGAAGCUAGCUCUUCGAUCCAAAAACCCCUAAUGAAACCAUCCUAGUGACCUUGAAAAGAGCUUGAAGCUAGCUCUUCGAUCCAAAAACCCGAUCUGAAAAAAAAAAACCCCCCACUGAAAAAAAACCCCACUGAAAAAACCCCCCUCAUUUCUUAACCUUCUUCCCCUUUAACCCCCUCAUUUCUUAACCUUCUUCCCCUUUAACCCUAAUUCUCCCCUCUUUCAAACCCUAGCCUCUGAAUUUCUUCAAUCUUCCGUCUUAGAUCCGGAAUUGGCUCCUUCUGUUUUAGAUCCGGAAUUGGCUCUUUCUGUCUUGGAUCCGGAAUUGGCUCCUUCCAUCUUGGAUCUGGAAUUGGCUCUCGCCGUCAGAGCUUUUUCCUCCAUUUUUACCUUUAAGAGAUCCUUUUACCGAAAACAACGUUCCCUGAAACGGUACAGAGAACAGGACAGCCUGAAACAGAAUCGAAACCCCGUAAUCGGGACCACAUUGAGUCGCUCGACCAAAUCAGGUCUCAUAUUGGCUAAGAGUCCAGUAGUAAGACCCGGAUGUUCCCGUAAUUGGAUCAAAUUGGUCCUUCACGACAGAUUGGCUGAGGCCCGCAGUAAGACUUGGAUUUUCCCGUAAUUAGACUGCAUUGGGUUGCCUGACCAAUUCAGGUCUCAUAUUGGGUAAGAGGACCCGGAUUGGAUUCUUAAAAUUGGAUCCAAUUGGCUCUUCAAACCAGGCUCACCCGUCGUGUGAAUUGGUCCUUUCCCUUCUUUCUGACUCCCGUUAUUAGAAUCGAAUGGAGCAUUUCAGUAUGCCCCGGCUGAUUGUAACGGGGUGACUGAACCUAGCCUCUCAAUAUUUGCACUAGAAAUGGUCGAGGUAACUGAACAUUAAUAAAAAUCCUCUUCCUUUAUAUUUUCACAAUAUAUUCGUGUUACAACACGACAACGGCAUAGGACAUUGUACUAUAGGUCAUGCUCCACAAUUUUUGAAAUCUAUAGCAUCGACUUUUUCAACAAUCCAAGUUGCCUCUUUAAAUGUUUAUAGAUUCCUUAGCUCCAUCUCUUGUUGAAUCCUAGGUUUCAAACCUUAUAGGAAUCAAUCUACCAUCUCUGCCUCUAAAACAUUGUCAGUUUAGAGAUAUAGGAAUUUGAAUCAGGACAUAUAAUCUUAUACGGAUCUAGCUUAUGUAAGAUUUGCUAAUUGAUCGCGUAUGAUUUUUUUCGCAUUGAUGGGCCAAAAUUAAUUCCUAACUUUGUCUCAAACUCCUCCAAGUCAUAAUAUCGACCUUGAGCUCUAUAGCUUUGAACUCAAUGUUGCGACUAAAUAGCUGCCACAUCUUUCAAAUAGUUCGCUACAUAUAUAAUUCUUUCAAUAGUAUUUGCUCUAGAUAGUUGGAAGUAUUGUCGCAUGUUGAAGAAUCAUUGACAAAAAAAUUUCUUAUUUUGAAGUUUCAAAGUAUGUAAUAGACUUAUUCAAUUUCAACCAAGCAAAUGUCAGCUUUCUUAUCCUCAAGGCUUUUAUUUGUCCUUACAAAGUAGCUAUCUGGCCCAAGAGGUGUUGUAUUUGAGCCUCUAUCUAGGAUUACUUUGUUAUAUCUCUUAUAUUGUAAUUUAUUCAUUGGACUCUACUAUUACAAUAUAUUUUCACCUUCCAAUUGACUUUUUAAGAGCAGCUCAUGGUAGCCUCAACAUAGUAUCCAUUGUGACCACAAAAAUUGAUCUUGAAGUAAAUGAUGACUAUUGACAUGUUAACAAAAUAAAUAGUCUAACACUCGCUCUGAUACUAAUUAAAUAAGACUAGACUAUCUCAAAAAUCCAAGAUCCUUCUAAUCCACAACAGCAUAAAGCCUCAUCAUAAAACAUGAAAAAAUAUACUAUAACAAAAUUGAACAAAACUAAACAGAAUAGGACACUAAAGAAAAAACUAAGCAAAUAAAAAUAGAACAGAAUAGAUCUGAACAAAAAGAUGCAAAAUCAUAUUUUACUAAGAAAAAAGAUCUAAAGCCAUAUCUAAUUAUAUCCCCAAAAGGCCCUAAUCAGUCCUAUUUAUAUCUUGUUCUAUCACCCUAGACUUUCUAGAAUGUUCUUAGGUGAUAGGCCCUAUCUAGAUAAUUGCCUUAAAAUCCUUUUCUAGAAGGUUCUAUGGUGGGCUCUAUAUAUAUAACCAUCUUAAGCUUUUUUUAGAAGAUUCUAUAGUGGGCCCUAUCUUAAUAACCACCCUAAUUCUUUUUAAAAUAUUCUAUGGUAGAUCCUACCUGGUCCACUAACCUAAUUUCAAUUCUAAAAACUUCCGUGGUUCUAAUUACCUAUAUAAUUACCUUAUCUAUAUCUUGUUAUAAUAAAAUAUCUAAAAAUUAGAUAAGUUUUGCAUUAAUUUUUUUACCUCAUAUUAUAGUUUAUAAAAAAAUUAAUUAAUAAUUAUAGCAUCAUUCUACUUCAUAUCAAUUGCAAGUCAAAUUUUGAAGCAUUUAACAUUAUUAAUCAAAUACCUUAUUACAAAAUAUAUAUCUUAUUGGUUAAAAGACAAAUUGCAUUAUAUUUUGCAUAUAUGGAAUUAAAUUCUACCAAAAAAGCAUCCAAAUUAUUCAAUAGUAGAUCAUGUUGUUUAAAAAAUGAUAAAAAUUAAGAUAAAGAAAACCUUGAAAGUAGUGUUUUAAUAAACUUAACUUGUGAUCUUAAAAUUGGAUAGCUUUAAAAUUGAACUUCAAUCACUAAUUUUACUUGAUUAAUAAAUCUUUAAAAUUUGGAUCUUAUACCAUCAAAUUUCUUAAUUUAGAUAAUUUUUAGUUCUCAAAUAUUUGAAAGAUAUGCUACCAUGAGAGAAAUAACAUAAUUUGAUAGAUGUUGAAGCAACUCCUAUCAUCUCUAUAUAUUAAAUUUUUAUUAAUCUUCUUGCUCUUUUUAGUCAUAAAUUGAAUUAAUGCAUUCCUAGCAUUAACUCUAUCAAUUAUUCUUAUAUUUUUGCCAUUAUAUUCUUUAUUUUAAUGAUCUUUUCUAUAAUAAUAUAAGAAAAAAGAAGAUAUCUAAUAUAAUUUAAGAGAAAUAAAAAAAGACUUAAAAAUAUUAAAAAUAUUAAAAAUAAUAUAAAUUUUGAAUAGUAUAAUCUAAAACUUUUAAUAUGCUUAUGUCUUAUAAAAAAAUAACAUUACACUUUUAAUUAAAAAAAGACAAAGCUUUAAUAUUAUAAAUAUAUUCUUGUCAAUCUAUCAAGAACAAGAAUUCAAUGAAUGCAAAUAUAUAAGUGAGACCUUUAUCAAAGAAAGAAGACAAAAUAAAAAUAAAAAAAUAUAUAUAUUCAAAAAAAAAUUAGAAUGGCUAUUGCCAAAAGUAUCAUGGACAUACAUAUUUAUUCCAAUAGUUACCUAAAAAUAAUGAAUAAAUAAAAAUAUGUUAAUUAGAUAAUAUUUCGUAGGAUAGCUUCUUAGAUUUGAUUUUACCUUUAUACAUGUGUAUAGGUGAUUGAUAGGUUAGAAACUUAGCCAACAAGUUAGCCAUGUGUUGCAUGUAAAGAUAGCUUGUGGUACAAAUGAACCAUGUGGCGCAUAUAUAGAAAACUUGCCUUACAAGUUAAGACAUAUAUUUUUCAAAUUGAAUAUGUAUUAGAGGUCCUAUAGAAUAUUAUUAUAUAAAUUUUAGUUAGAUAGUAUAUAUAUAACACAAGAAUGAAGUCUUUACUCUUUACUCUUUACUCUUAUCAACACCUUUCUAGUGCUUAGUCUUGUUUUAAGUUUUUAUAAUAUUCUUGUCAUUAGCAAUACCCAUUCUAGUUUAAUAUCAUGCCAUCUUUGAGUGAUUUUUUAGCCUUUUUGAAUGACACAAGAAUAUUGAUCUUUUAAUUCUUUGAAAUUCAUAUCCUUGAUAAAAAAAAAAAAAUAAGAAAAAUUAAAAAAUCCUUGAAACUAAACUAAAAGUAAGAAAAAAAUUGAUAAGAAUGAAGAAGGCCUCACUCUUACAUUUAUAUAUACUAUCUAAUUAGUAACUAUAUAGCAAUGCAAUAUAAAACCUCCAAUACAUUUUCAACUCACAUGACACGUCUCUAACUUGCAAGAGAAGUUUCUUAUAUGUGCACCAUGUCAUUAGCUUAUACUUCCAGCUACCAAUAGAUGUAAUACAUGACUAAUUUGUUGGAUAAUUUUUUAACCUAUCAAUCAACUACAAACAUGUAAAAAGUCGAAGUUGUAUCUAAAAAGGUUUUUUAUAAGAUAUUAUCAAAUUUAUCUACUUUAAUAUAUUUCUACCUACUUAUAUUAUUUAAGUAAUUAUUAGAUUAAAUAUAUGUAUUUGUAACAUAUAAAUAUAUAUAUAUAUAUAUAUAUAUAUAUAAUUAUUUACUAUCAUAUAUUAAAACUAUAUGUAAGAUAUUAAGAAUAUUUUAGAAUUUAUCAAGUAUUUAAUUUUAUGCUAUUUAGAUAUGUUUUAAAAAUUAAAAAAAAAUCUUUAAUGACUAAAACUAAUUAUUGAUUAUUUUACGACCAAAAAAUAUAAUAUUAUCUAAAUAAACUUUCAAAAAUAUUGAAAUUGAAUCAUUAUACAUGAACUGAUGUGUGUAAGUAAACAAUUCUUAAAAAUGCUUUUAUACAAGCUUAUAUUAUGUCUUUUAUUAAAUUUAUCUUUUAUAGAUAUUUUUUUAUUUUUAUAAUUUAUAGUUUAUAAAAAAAAUAAGCAAACAAAUAAAUAAAAUUUUAAAUAAUAAAUAUUAAUAUUAUUAUUUAUACUGAAUUUUCUUAAUAAAUAAUAAUCUUAUUUUAUUUUAUAUUUUUAUAUAUAUUAUGGUCUAUGGUCUAUGUUAAAUCUAAAGUCUAAAGAUAUCAUACAUGAAAAAAAUCAUUAUAAGAUUUACUUUUAAAAUAUACUAUAAAAUAAUUAAAUUUUUUAUCAAUGAAUAAACAAGGUUAUUUAGUUUAUUGUAGAAGAAUUAAAGAGCAUUUAAAGUUUCUAGGAAGUAUUUUAUUAUAGAAAUAUAAUUAUUUAAUACUCAAAAAUAAUAAGUUAAUAAAAACAUAAAAAAUAAAAAACAAAACAAAACAAAAACUACUAUUCUAUUUAUAAUACACUAUUUACUUCAAAAUAUAUAUUAAAGCAUAUUUGUACAUAUGUUUUCAAAAUAUGCAAGGUAUAUCACAAUCUCAAAGCUAUUGUCACAGACAUAUAAAUUUACCUCAAUAGUUAGUUAUAUGAUUAAGUAGAAGUAGGUAAAUAUAGAAUAAUUUCAUAAAGUCUUUUAUAAAAGCUUUUUAGAAGCUUCAUAGACGGGGUUUUGACUUUAAAUGUGUUUGUAGGUUAGAAACUUGGACAAAAAGCUAACCAUAUAUUGGUAGCUUGUGGAACAAGCCAACUACGUGGCGCAUACAUAGAUAACUUACCUUACAAGAUAAGACAUAUAGCUAGCAAAGUCAACACAUGUUGGAAGUCCUAUAUGACAUCACCACAUAGCUCUUAGUUAGAUAGUAUAUAUGGAAGCAAGAGUGAAGCCUUCUUCAUUCUUGUUAACGCCUUUCUAGUCUUAGUCUUAUUUCAAGACUUUCUAAUCUUCUUGUUUUUGACAAUAGCCAUUCUAGUUAAUAUUAUAUCAACUUUUGAAUGACUUUCUAGUUUUCUUCAGUGAUAGAAGAGAGUAUUGAGGAUUCUCUUUCUUUAAGAUUCAUAUCUUUGACAGUUUGAUAAGAGUGCUAACAUAUUGUUUUUGUCUUAUUUUAGAAGGGAGUGGAUUAUCCCACUUCUUUUAUUGUAUUUUGAAGGUUGCGGAUUAUCCACCUUCAAACAAAAAAUCUUAUUUUUUAAGAUUAAUUUUUUCCUUAAAGAAAGUGAAUUAUCCUCUUUAUGGGAUUUAUUUUUAGAGGUUGUAGAUUACCUUCUAAUUUAACUUUUGAAUUUAUUUGAGUUGUCUAUGAAAAGAAAGAUUAUAGAUGCUACUCUCAACGGUGGUGAGAAUAGAUUUGUAACUAUGGCAAAACUUCAUGAGCUUGUCAACACUCUAAGAGUCAAAAUCUCACGUAUUUCCAAUGUAAAUCAUGGAAGUACUAUGUCUAUGCCUAUAGAAGAAGUUCAGAGUCUGUGGCAAGAAGUUGUGCAGUUUAAAGAAACAAGAAGAUCAAUGUCACAACCAAAUCCAGGGAGUUUUGCUUCUACAAGUAUGACAGGGACAAGGAUUAAUAUUCUUGAGAAGUUUGAUGGAACAAUAUCAAAAUUUUGAGGAUUUUUGCAACAAGUCAAGCUCUAUCUAAGGUCGAACCCUUUCCAAUAUCUUGAUGGAUUCAUCCAAGUCGGAUUCAUAAGCACACUACUAUCAAGAAGUGCUCAUUUUUGGUUUGCACCUUUAAUGGAAAAAGAUUCACAACUCUUUUAUGAUUUGAAUUCAUUCGUAGAAGUAUUUAUGGCCACAUUCGGAGAAAGUAAUCAAGAACGAGUAGCAGAGAUGAAGUUUUUUUCUUUACUGUAAGGAUCACGAUCAGCAAUUAUAUAUGCUAUCGAAUUCCAAAACCUCACAUGUAACGUGGACUUGAAUGACAAAGCACGUAUCAACCAAUUUUGAUAUGUGUUGAAAAAUAGUGUCAAAAUUUUUUUAUUAACAAUGCCAAAAGUAGAAUCUUUGAAAUAAUUUAUUACUCAAGCCAUUGUAUGCAACAAUCAUUUAUUUGAAAGGCAUUAAGAAUAAAGAUUUGAUUGGAAUAAGUCAAGUAAUGGCGGCAGCUCCCAAGUUUUCUGAAACGUAUUUGUCAAAGUCAGAACCAAUGCAAAUUGAUAUGAUAUAUUUCAAACCUCUUACGAAGCAGAAAAAGACUCAAUGUCGCCAAGAGGGAUUGUAUUUAUAUUGUGGAGAAGCUAAGCAUACUGCUUAACAUUGUCCAAAGAAACAAGGCAAUUAUAAAAUGAAGAGCAUAAUUACCAAACAAGAUAAUAGAUGAAAAAAUGAAUUUUUCCAGCUACAAUAGGAAUCGUUGUCGUGUUAUAACACGAGUAUACCGUGAAAAUAUAAAGAAAGGGGACUUUUAUUAAUGUUCAGUUACCUCGAAUAUUGAGAGCAACGACCAAUUCCAGUGCCAAUAUUCAGAGGCUAGUUCAGACACCCCAUCACAGUCGGUCAAGACAUACUUACCAGUAACAAAAUGCUCCGUUCGAGUCCAAUAGUGGGAGUCAACAGAAUUGAAAGGAUUAAAUCGAUGACUAAGUGAGCCUGACGCGAAGGACCAAUUUGACCCAAUUACGGGAAUAUCCAGGUCUUACUACGGGCCUCUUAGCCAAUCUAACGUGAAGGACCAAUUUGACCCAAUUAUGGGAACAUCUAGGUCUUACUACGGGCCUCUUAGCCAAUAUGAGACCUGAAUUGGUCGGACAACUCAAUGUGGUCCUGAUUACGGGGGUUUCGAUUCCGUUUCAGGCUGUCCUGUUCUCUGUCCCAUUUCAUGGAAUGUUGUUUCAGGAAAAAGAACCUUUUAAAAGGCAAAAAAUGGAAGAAAAAGCUCUGACGGCGGAGCCAAUUCAUGAUCCAAGAUGGAAGAUUAGAGAAAUUCAGAGGCUAGGGUUUGAAAGAGGAGAGAAUUAGGGUUAAAGUGGAGGAUAGGUUAAGAAAUGAAGGGGGGAGAAUAAGCUUUUUUUAAGGGUCAGAGAGCUAGCUUCAUGCUUUGGGAGGGAAAAAAAGACAGAGAAUUGGAUUUUUUUUCUUCAUAGGGUUUUGGGAAGAUUGAGGCAAUCGUUGCUGAAGUCAGUGUUGUACUGAUGAAUCGAGAUUUUAAUGAAGUGGGUGUGAUUACUCUUCACUGUUUUGUAAAAUCGAAGUUACGUCUGUGAUUGAAGAAUUAAAAGGGUGUCUAUAGGAUUGGGUAUGCGGAGUGAAUGAAAAUUUUUGGAUUAAUCUAACAAGACAGUCAGUGGAUACAAGGUCGUGAGUAUAAAGUGGUAUCAGAGAUUAUCAGAUUGAGUUGUUCGGGGUUCUCUGUAACAUCUAGAGACCUACCGACUAGGGCAAAAAGGACUUUGGCGAGCAGUCGAAGGACAUCCGUAUAGAUUUACGAUAUAUUCUUGUAAUCGUUUAUAUUCUAACAAUCAAAAACCAAUAGACUACAUGAAUAUUAGUGAAUCUGCAUACUACCUUUUACAGUCAGACGCCUGACACGUUCUCGAGCAGGAAAGCAUGUAAUACAACACAAGUGGUGAAUCCGACGUGAAAGCUUGAGGUGGAAGGUAUUGGAUUUCGUUUGAUUUUAUUUUUAUUUUUAUGGAGAACGAAAAUAAAAGUUUUGAAGGAUCUUUGGGAGGACUUUCUAGUAGGGGUUCUUCUAAAGGACAAGAUAUGCACAUGGAUCCAUCUAUUGCUAGUAUGUUUCAAGCCUUCUCAUUAUCAAUGUAGCAAUAGCAAAGCAAUGAUCGAAAAGAAGCUUUGGCAACCAAAGCAUUGCAAGCAGUGGUCAAUAAAAUUGAUCAAUUUGAUGGGAGGAAUAUUUCAAGGUAUUUAAGAUGUUAUGUUCAUGAAAUGGAAUUAAAUCGAGUUUCUAAGAAGAAAAUGGUUGAAUUAUUUGGACUUGCCAUGAUACCGGAGAUAAGAGACCAUAUUACAUCGAUUACGAAUCAUUAUGGGAAUUCAUGGGAGGUUUUUUCACAUGCAUUGAAAGACGAAUAUUUCUUGGAAGAUGCUGAUCACGUUACUAAGAAGCUGUUUCUGGAAUGGAUUGAAUGGCCUAAUAAGAAUUCGCAAGCAACAGAGCUACUAAGGAAAUUUGAGAGGCAGUACUCUCAAUUAUCGAAGGUAGAAAAAUUGACAUUGGAGCCGAACAAAGUUGAACUAUUUCUUCAAGCUGCUGAUGGACAAUUGCAAGGGAAAUUAGAACUCCUUCUUGAAGACAAAGAAGAAGAUGAAGGAUUGACAACAAAGUGGAAGAACGUUGAAGAUGCGAUGGGGUUGCUUACAAAAAGAGAAAGGAGGAAGGAUAGGAGCAAUAUUCCGAAAACAGUACAAGCACCUAAAGCUCGAGUACGUACAACACUACCAACAAUGCCUACAGUUCAACCUUCGACAUCCUUAUCAAAGAAAGCAGAUAUGGAGAUGGAAGAAAUUAUACGAGGAAUGCGAGAUCUUCAAAUCAAAUUGGCAAGACUUGAAGAGAAUACUUCUACAAACAAUUUGAAGAAUGUUUCAAAACAAGGAUAUGUACAAAGUUGCAUUUGGUGUGAUAAUGCUUCACACACUAGAAAAGAUUGCAAUGAAUUUAAUAAUAUGAUACGGUAAGGAAUUAUUUGCUGGAAAGAUGGAAAGAUAGCAUUAAAAGAUAGGGAGGAUCUUCUUCAAACCAAUUUUGACAAGGGAGGAAUGAGAGCAUUGGUUCAAGAUUAACUAAAAGAGCAUGAAACAACAGCACAAGAAAGUGCAAGUUAUGGUGCUAGAGUAGAUGAUGACCUUGGUGGAAGAACGGAAACUAGUGAGUUUUGGGCUUCUGCCAUUUCUACAAUGCAAGAAGGGAAAUUAUCUCGAGAAGCGUUAUUGAGGACUGCAGCUACAAUACGAGGUGCAAUAGGUUGAGAGGAUCCUGUUGAGUCUCUUUUAGUUCAUGCAUAUAUUGCUAAGAGCCAACAAGAAGCUUUGAUGGAAGAAAAAAGACGAGAAAAUUUUGAUGAUACGAGAGAAGGAAAUUCUUCUAAGAGGCAAACUCGAAGAGACAAGGCUCGGGAGGCAACUUCACAAGAAUUGCCUGUAAAGGAUACCUUAGCAUCAUUGGAAGAAAAAACAAGGGAGACAAAAGAUAAGGGCAAAUCAAUUGCUUAUAAGCUACUUUCUGACAUUAAGGCGGCAACAAUUUUGAAAGGGGUGUUGGAAGAACGUAUAUUAAACGCUAAAGUAGAAUUCACAUUGAAAGAAGUUUUGGGAAUUACAAAGAAGGAAUUUCAUGAUGUUAUCAUUGACAGCAUUAAGCGAAAGAGGCAGUUAAUGGGCAAAACUGGAAUGAGUCAUGCUAUUGAUGCAAGAAUAUAUAAAGAUGAAGAAGAGGUUGAUAUUGGUUACAAGCAACCAACAAAUGAAAGGAUUGGGUAUAAUCAACGAGUACGUUUCGAAGAUUAUAGUGGUAAGGAAAUGGAAACUUUGAGCCAUUAUACUCGAAAGCAUUGGGCAAGGGCAACUACUGAGGUAUUGGUGAAAGUAGGAGAUAUAGAAGAACCAAUAGUUGCUUUGGUCGACCAUGGUUCUGUAAUAAAUCUCAUGUCUAAAGAUCUUUAUAAGAAGCAAAAAUGGCCAAUUGAUAUGGAACAUAGAUGGGCAAUACGAGCAACUAAUAAAACACGGGGCGAAUUAUAUGGAGCUUGUCCAGAUGUCAAAAUUCGGAUUGGGGAUGUUGCGACGGAGCAACAUUUCUUUGUUCAAGAUACAACGUCUUAUCCGUUGAUUUUAGGACAACCUUAUAUUACGACAACACGGAUGGAAACAAAGAUACUUGACGAUGGUUCUGCUUAUGCAAGGGUACGGAGCGAAGAUGGGAGGAAAGCUGUACAAUUUCUAACAGUACCUCCUAACCAUGAACGGAAUCGAGAUAGGUUGAGGGAGAAACCAUUGUCAAAGAUUGUUGAAGGAUUUAAGGAUUUUGGGGAGGUACCACUGUAAAGCGAGAUUAUGGAGGUACAAAAGAGGAGGUACUUUCGCGAGAUGAAGGUGCCUUUGAUGCGAGUUUUAUUGGUAUAUUGGAGAAUGGAAAUAUUAUGUAUAAGAAAGUUGAAGAUUUUAAAAGAAAAGAAAGAAAAAGAUUAUAUGAUAUUGAAGGACAGUUACGCAAGAUAGGUACAUUGCAAGAUGAUGAGAGGAUUUUGGGUGUUUAUAAAGAAAAUGGGCUGGAAGAUUCAUUGGAAUUGAUUACAUCUAUUGGGUUAGGAGAUAAUGAUAAGAUUGUUGAGAUUCAUUCGAGAGAGGUUUAUACCAUGCUUGAAUCUUUUCAAGCACCAGAAGUCACAGUCGAGACGAGAUAUAAAACGGCAGAUAAGAAGGUAAAGCCUGUUGCCGGACCAUUACCAGAGGAUUCUAAAGAACAAAUGGGAGAAGCAUCAAAAGAAGCAAGUUUAAGAGAUCCAAUGAGUAUUGGACAUCAGUUUACUGAAUAGACUUUUGAAGAAUUGAAGAUUGGUUCUGAUGGUUCUUUAUUGCCGGAGGAAAUUACUUGCUUCGAAAAGAUGUUGACUAAACAAGGUAGAUCGUUUGCCUUCGAAUCUCAUGAAAUUGGGUGUGUGGAUCCAAAUAUUAUAACACCUAUGGUUAUCUUCACUGUACCGCAUGUACCUUGGAAUCUAAGACCGAUUCCAGUACCGAGGGCACAUUUACCUAAAUUGGUCGAACUAUUGAAAGAAAAGAUAAAGAUGAAAAUAUUAGAACCUUCAUUUGCGCCGUAUUCUAGUUGAUGGUUUACGGUACCUAAGAAGAAUGGGUCACUGCGGUUUAUUCAAGAUAUGCAGCCGGUGAAUGCUGUAACUGUCAGGAAUGCAGGAAUUGGACCUAUUGUGGAUGAAUUUGCUAAGGCAUUUGCUGGAAGGGCGAUCUAUUCAAUGGGUGAUUUGUAUUCAGGUUAUGAUCAAUUUCAACUUGCCGAAGGAAGUAGAGAUAUGACAACGAUGAGGACACCGCUUGGAUUGGUUAGAAUGUGCACUCUUCCUCAAGGCGCGACCAACUUAGUUGCGCAUAUGAUGAAUGGGAUGAAUAAGGUAUUGAGAGAUUUUAUUCCGGAAAAGACUAUGCCUUUUCUGGAUGAUGUUCCUAUAAAAGGGUGCAGAGAAGGAGACAAGGAUGAAACUUUAGAUACGAAGGGAUGUGGCAGAUAUGUUGUUGAUCAUAUACAAGAUUGUGAAAAGAUUUUAACUUGGCUUGGAGAAGUUCAUCUUACAUUAUCGGAUAUGAAGUCCGUAUUUGGAGUGCGAGAGGUUGUAAUUGUUGGACAUUUAUGCGGAUCUUACAGAAGAAAACUAGAUCCGACUAAAGUUGAUGCAAUUGGAAGGAUGAAAGAGGAUUGUGGUUCUUUAACAGAGGUUCGCAGGUUUUUGGGUGCAUGUGUAUUUUAUCGAAUCUGGAUCCCUCAUUUUGCUCACAUAGCGGAUCCAUUAUAUGAACUGUUACGCAAGGGUUACUGAUUUGAAUGGGAAGAAAGGCAUAUUCAGGCAAUGCAAAGAUUGAAGAAAUUUUUGAUGUCACCUCCAAUAUUGAGGAAGGUUGAUUAUAAGUGCAAUAGACCAGUGAUUCUUACUAUGGACGCUAGUCCAAUUGCCAUUGGAUGGACUGUGGGUGAAGAUGAUUCCAGUGGGAAUAGAUUUGCAGUUCGAUUUGGAGCUAAAGUUUUAAGUAUUCGUCAGCGUGCAUAUUUGCAAGUCAAAAGAGAACUUUGGGGAGUCGUUUCGGCUAUGAAAGCUGAAAAGGACUAUUUGAUUGGGGCAGUAGUAGUAAUUGAAAUAGAUUGCUUGCCAUUGCUUGGAAUGAUUAUUAGCUGUUCAACGCCAGAUAUUGCAAUGUUGAGAUGGAUUGCUUAUAUUAAGUCACUAAAUCCAGAAUUUAAGCAUAUCACUGGAAAGGACAAUUUAGUAGCAGACAUGCUAUCUUGAGCAAGAUACGAGAGGGAGGACGAAAUGGUUGAAGACAUUGACGAUGUCGGAUUGAAAUUCUAUUCAAUAUCAAAUCUCAACAGAGAAGACAAGCUAUUUCUUGAAGAAUCUUAUGAAGGAGAUUUAUUGGAUAUUGGUCAUUAUUUGAAUACCUUGUCUAAGCAGGGGAAUUGGUCUACAGAAAAAUUCAAACAAAUAAGAAAAAAAGCAUAUGGAUUUUUACUUCGAGAUGGAUUCUUAUGGAAGAGACCGAAGAAAGGAAUUGGGAUGCCACAACGAGUGAUAGGCAAAAGGAAAGAAAAACUAAAAUUAUUAAAGGAGUUUCAUGAUAGUUUAUGGGCAGGCCAUAGAGGAAUCUGGGCUACUUUUGCUAAACUCAAGGAACGAUAUUGGUGGAAAAAUAUGUAUCGAGAUGUGCUCUCAUUUGUAGAGUCAUGUGAAAUCUGUCAAUCGUAUUCUAAUAUCCGACAUCGAGAUGGUCUUCAUCCUACGUAUCCUCUGGCUAUUCAUUUUAAAUGGGUUGUUGAUUUGGUUAUUAUGCCGGUUGGGUUAUGGCAGAUGAGAUAUUUGGUUUUAGCUCGUGAAGAUUUAUCAAAUCAAGUAGAAGGAAGAGCAUUGAGGACAAAAUCUACAGAAGGGAUUUGUAGGUUUUUGCUUGAAGAUGUCAUUUGCCGUUACGGGUGCGUAGGAAAAAUCACUGCAGAUCGUGGAGAAUUAAAUGCACAAGAAGCUCGUAAGUUCUUUGAAAAAUGUGGAGUUAAACUAUCACUUACUACUGCUUAUAAUCCGGAAGGGAAUGCGAAAAGCGAACGCGGUCACCCGCCGAUUGUGAAAGCAUUGGUUAAAGCUUGUAAUGGGAAGGUUAAAGAGUGGCCACGGCUUUUGUCAUUUGCAUUAUGGGCUGAUCGAAUAACACAUAGUUCGGUGACAGGAUAUAUGCCAGUAGAACUUAUGACAGGUCAAAAACCAAUUAUGCCGAUUGAAGAAAAGAUACUUACUUGGAGUAUGCUACCAUGGGAAGAUGGAUUGACAAGAGAAGAACUUCUGGCUAUUUGGAUUCGACAAUUGGAGCAAAGAACGGAAGAUGUCCAGAUAGCAUUGAAAAGGUUAAAAAGAGCAAGGUUACAAAACAAGGCGCAAUUCGAUAAGCAACAUCGAUUGAGACCAAAAGAAAUCGAGGAAGGUGACUGGGUACUUGUUUAUGACAAUAGUCUGGAUAAUCAACAUAGUACUUUGCGGAAAUUUUCAAAACGUUGGUUUGGACCAUAUGUUGUAACAACUGUUCAUGAUAAUGCGACUUACUCAUUACGGGAGUUAGAUGGUACAAAAUUGAAAAUACUAAUUGCAGGGAAGAGAGUAAAAAUAUUUAAACGAAGACAUGCACAGAUGAAUAUGGAAGACCUUAAUGAAGGUACAGAGAUUCCACAGCAAGAAGAUGAAAGUGAUAUGGAUAAUGAAGGUGACGAAGACGUACUGGACAAAGACGUAGGGGAUAUAUUCUGAAUCAAACAGCAAUUGGGUAAAUUGGUCCAUACCGGAGGAUGCACAGGUUCAGAGGGGGUGGAUGUCGUGUUAUAACACGAGUAUACAGUGAAAAUAAAAAGAAAGGGGAAUUUUAUUAAUAUUCAGUUAUCUCGAAUAUUGGGAGCAUCGACCAACUCCAGUACAAAUACUGAGUGGUCAGGUUCAGUGACUCCGUUACAGUCAGCCGGGGCAUACUGGAAUGCCCCAUUCGAUUCCAAUAACGGGAGUCAGUAGGAAGAGAAGGACCAAUUCACACGACGGGUUCGAGGAGCCAAUUGGAUCCAAUUUCGAGAAUCCAAUCCGGGUCCUCUUACCCAAUAUGAGACCUGUAUUGGUGGGGCAAUCCAAUGCAGUCUAGUUACGGGAAAUCCCGAUUACUACGAGCAUCUUUCCCAAUAUAGGACCUGAAUUGGUCGGGCGACUCAAUGUGGUCCCGAUUACGGGGUUCGAUUCUGUUUCAGGCUAUCCUGUUCUCUGUGCCGUCUCAGGGAACGUUGUUUUCGGUAAAUGGAUUUCUUAAAGGUAAAAACGGAGGAGAAAGCUUGAGGUGGGAGCCAAUUUCGGAUCCAAGCUUGAGGUGGGAGCCAAUUCCGGAUCUAAGACGGAAGAUUGAAGAAAUUCAGAGGAUAAGGUUAGGGGGGAUAUAGUUUUGGAGUGGUGUGGGUUUUUAUUUUGGGGGGAUGGGAGGUUUUUGAAGAUCAAGGGAAUUAGAGAGAGGAGCUUCAUGCUUCGGAUCGGGGAAGGAAAGACAUAGGAUUUGGAUUUUUCUUCUUCGUAGAGUUUUGGGGAAGACUGAGGCAAUCGCUGUUGAAGUCAGUGUUGUAAUGGUGAAUCGGGAUUUUUAAAUGAAGUGGGUUUGAAUACUCUUGACUGUUUUGUGAAAUCGAGUUACGUCUGUGAUUGAAGGAUUAAAAGGGUGUCUAUAGGAUUGAGUAUGCGGAGUGAAUGAAAUUUAUUGAGUUAAUCUAACAAGACAGUCAGUGGAUACAAGAUCGUAAGUACAAAGCAGUAUUGAAGGUUAACAGUUUGGGUUGUACGGGGUUCUCUGUAACGUCUAGAGACCUACCGGCUGGGGCAAAAAGGACUCCGACAAGCAGUCGAAGAGCACCCAUAUAGAUUUACGGUACAUUGUUGCAGUCGUUUAUAUUCCAGCAGUCAAAAACUGAUAGACUGCUUGACUAUCGGCGAAUCUCCAUACUACCUUCUACAGCUAAACGCCCGGCGCGUUCUCGAGCAGGAAAGCACGUAAUACGACACCGUUCGAGUCCAAUAGUGGGAGUCAACAGAAUUGAAAGGAUUAAAUCGAUGACUAAGUGAGCCUGACGCGAAGGACCAAUUUGACCCAAUUACGGGAAUAUCCAGGUCUUACUACGGGCCUCUUAGCCAAUCUAACGUGAAGGACCAAUUUGACCCAAUUAUGGGAACAUCUAGGUCUUACUACGGGCCUCUUAGCCAAUAUGAGACCUGAAUUGGUCGGACAACUCAAUGUGGUCCUGAUUACGGGGGUUUCGAUUCCGUUUCAGGCUGUCCUGUUCUCUGUCCCAUUUCAUGGAAUGUUGUUUCAGGAAAAAGAACCUUUUAAAAGGCAAAAAAUGGAAGAAAAAGCUCUGACGGCGGAGCCAAUUCAUGAUCCAAGAUGGAAGAUUGGAGAAAUUCAGAGGCUAGGGUUUGAAAGAGGAGAGAAUUAGGGUUAAAGUGGAGGAUAGGUUAAGAAAUGAAGGGGGGAGAAUAAGCUUUUUUUAAGGGUCGGAGAGCUAGCUUCAUGCUUUGGGAGGGAAAAAAAGACAGAGAAUUGGAUUUUUUUUCUUCAUAGGGUUUUGGGAAGAUUGAGGCAAUCGUUGCUGAAGUCAGUGUUGUACUGAUGAAUCGAGAUUUUAAUGAAGUGGGUGUGAUUACUCUUCACUGUUUUGUAAAAUCGAAGUUACGUCUGUGAUUAAAGAAUUAAAAGGGUAUCUAUAGGAUUGAGUAUGCGGAGUGAAUGAAAAUUUUUGGAUUAAUCUAACAAGACAGUCAGUGGAUACAAGGUCGUGAGUAUAAAGCGGUAUCAGAGAUUAUCAGAUUGAGUUGUUCGGGGUUCUCUGUAACGUCUAGAGACCUACCGGCUGGAGCAAAAAGGACUUUGGCGAGCAGUCGAAGGACAUCCGUAUAGAUUUACGAUAUAUUCUUGUAAUCGUUUAUAUUCUAACAAUCAAAAACCAAUAGACUACUUGAAUAUUAGUGAAUCUGCAUACUACCUUUUACAGCCAGGCGCUUGAGACGUUCUCGAGCAAGAAAGUAUGUAAUACGACACCGUGCGGCUGGAAUCAUAUGUAACACCUAGUAAAGGUCCUAUCCUCUCCUCAGAUCCCUUACCUUAUUUUAUAAUAGAAGUAUAUUUAGGACCUAAUAAUCACAAAGUCUUUGCCUUGUUAGAUUCAAGAGCCUCGGCAUGUUUUAUAGAUGAAGAUUUUGCCAAAAAUCAAAAAAUAUCUUCAGUAAAGAAAGUUAAAUCUGUACAUGUAGAAGUAAUAGAUGGUCGUUCGUUGUCUUCUGGAAGUAUUACCGAUGAAACUAUUUCUUUAGAUGUAACAAUUAAAGAUCAUAAUAGUGUAGUAGUAUUUAAUGUAAUAAAAUUUUCUUCUAAUUUGGUUAUUUUAGAAUUAUCAUGGCUAGAAAAAUACAAUCCUCAAAUAGAUUGGAUUUCUUGUAACUUUAACUUUCAUGAUAGUAUAACCCAAGAUUGCAUUAGUAAAGUACAAGUACGUAAGUCCAAUACAUCUAAACCUUUACUAAUAUGUGCAAAAGCUUUCAUGCAUGCUGCAAAAGAAGGAUCAUCUUUUGUUAUAUAUGCUACACUCAUUUCUAAUGGUGAAACAACAUCAAGUAGUAUUCUUAACUAAUAUCAAGAAUUUCAAGACGUUUUUGAAAAGAAGAAUGCAGAUAUUUUUUCCGAGUAUUGACCUUAUGAUUGUUCAAUUGAUCUGCAAGAAAGAGCUCAACCACCAUUUGGACCAAUCUAUAACUUAUUACAAAAUGAAUUGGCUGCAUUAAAGGAGUACAUUGAUGAGAAUUUGGCAAAGAAUUUCAUACGCCAUUCUAAAUCUCCAACAGGGGCUCCUAUCUUAUUUGUGAAGAAGAAAGAUGGAUCUCUGUGAAUGUGUGUGGAUUAUCUAGGACUCAACAAGAUCACCAUCAAAAAUAGGUAUCUUUUCCUUUUGAUUUCAGGACUUUUUGACCAACUCAAUCAAAUAAAGAUUUAUACCAAAAUAGAUCUACGAGGAGCAUACAACUUAAUUCGUAUCAAAGAAGGAGAUGAAUGGAAGACUACUUUUCGAACUACGUAUAGAUAUUUUGAAUAUAAUGUCAUGCCUUUUGGACUCACAAAUGUAUCGGCCGCUUUUUAACAUCUUAAGAAUGAUGUUUUUUGUGAGUUUUUAGAUGAUUUCAUUGUUUGUUAUUUAGACGACAUUCUAAUCUACUCUAAGAACACAAAAGAACAUGAGCUUCAUGUUUGUCAUGUAUUAUAAAAAAUUAGAGAUGUAAGAUUAUAUGUCAAGUUAGAAAAGUGUGUAUUCCACACUAUUCAAGUUGAUUUUUUAAGGUAUAUCAUUUCCAAUGAAGACCUCAUGAUGGAUCCCAAGAAGGUUCAAACUAUCAUAGAUUGGAAGAUUCUAAGAAUAAUAUGAGAUGUACAAUGCUUUUUGGGCUUUGCUAAUUAUUAUUGAAUCUUCAUCAAUAAUUUUUCGCAAGUUCACAUCUGACACGUUUGACUUGUAAAGACAAACUUGAGUAGAAUAAAGAAGUAAAAGUAUCAUUUGAUGGUUUAAAGAAGGAAUUUAUUUCUGCACCAAUCUUAUAUUGCAUUGACUUUUCCAAAGCAUUUUUUUAUAGAAACAAAUGCAUCAGAUUUUGCUAUAGAUGUCGUAUUGUCACAAAUGGGGAACAAAUGAAAAAUUCCACCUAAUAGCUUUCUAUUCAAAGAAAUUUUUAGUACCCAAGAUUAAUUAUGAAAUCUUUGAUAGAGAGCUCUUUGUAAUUGUGGAUUCAUUUCAAGAAUGGCAUCAUUAUCUAGAAGGCACCUGAAGUCCAGUUAUCAUGUAUACAUACCAUAAGAACCUUGAGUACUUCAUGUCAACACAUGUCUUGAAUCAUUGUCAAGAAUGUUGAAGCAUGUCUUUAUGUAGAUUCAAUUUCAAGAUCAUUUAUCAACUCAAAAAAUAAUAAGGUCUAUUAAAUGCUCUUUCUAAACGUUCUUAUCUUGCACCAAAAGAAGGAGAUGCAUCUUUUGAUCAACAAAGAUGAAUUCUCUUAAAGCCCAAGCAAUUUCAUCUUCUAGCUAUAAAAUCAACAUUGACUAUUGAUUCAACAUUUGUGAAGCAAAUUCAAUCAAGCAUGUCAUCUGAUCUUCUUAUUUAAGAUAUCAAGAAUACUUCCUCUAAGUCCCAUGAUACUUCCAAGUUUGAAUUCAAGAAUAAUCUAUUAUAUUUUGAAUGACACUUAUAUGUUCCAAAAGGUGAAGCUUGAUUACGUGUUCUUCAAGCUCGUCAUGACUUUCUAGUAACAGGACAUUUUUGGUACAAUAAAACUUUGGAACUAAUAUCUAAGAAUUUUUGGUGGCCGCAAAUGUGGAAGGCAGUCAAAGAUUUUGUACAAUCUUGUGAUGUUUGCUCAUGAUCAAAAACUCCUCGUCAUCAACCUUACAGACUUCUUCAACCGUUAUCCAUUUCAAAGCAACCAUGGUCUUUUGUUUCUAUAGAUUUCAUCACGGAUCUUCCAAUUUCAGAUUCUUAUGACUUUAUAUUCGUGAUAGUAGAUUGUUUUAUCAAGAUGGCACAUUUUCUAUUCGUCCUUGUGAUAAAUUAGAUAUGUGGUCUUUUGUCAUUCUUGAGCUUCUUUUAAUUGUAUCUUCAUUGUUGUAUGUAGCUUUAAGAAGUGAUUUACUAAAUCUUCUACCGCAGGAUUAUCAACUUUUGAAAAGUCAAAAGUAUCAAGACAUGGAUGAUAACCAUAAUUAGCAAAGAAUGGUGUUUGUUGAGUGGAAGAAUGUAUCAAAUUAUUAUAUGCAAACUCUCCCAAUGGUAAAAGAGUUAUUCAAUCAUCUUAAUGAUAGUUAAUAAUACAUCUCAAAUAUUGUUCCAGAACUUGAAUUACCCAUUCUAUUUAUCUAUGAGUUUGAGGAGGAAAAGCUCAAGAAAGCUUUAUAUCUAUUCGUCUUUGUAAUAAAUUAGAUAAUCAUAAGAUGAGACCUUUUCCUAUUUAUAAAAAAAUCAAUCAUGUUGCCUAUUGUUUACAUCUACUAGAGUCUAUGAAGAUCCACCCUAUAUUUCAUAUGUCUCUUUUGGAGCUGUAUAAGACAGUAAAUAUCUUGAGAAGAAGACAAAUGCCACCUCUUGCUAUAGAAGUGAAUAAUUAUCAAGAGUUCGAGGUGGAAGAAGUCUUAGACUCAAGGUGGCACUGAAAUAGGUUGGAAUAUCUUGUUCAUUGGCACGGAUAUGAUAUUAGUGAACGUACAUGGAAGCCAUUAAAGAAUCUUGCAAAUGUAAUAAAGAAAAUUGAAGUCUUUCAUCAACGACAUCCAUCAAAAUGAGGAUGAAGAAUAGCAAACUUUUAUUAUAAGAGAAACAAGAUCAAAAGAAAAUAACAUUCUAUCUUCUAUUUUUUAUUGUAGCUUUUGUGUAUUUGUGAUGAGAUGGUGCACCAACAACCAGCAGAUUCAAUUCAAGAGCUUUCAUUUGCGGACUUACUAGACAAGUCAUUGUGAUUGUCACAACCUUCAAGAUGAAAGAAUCGAGAUGAAGAUCCUCAAGAACGACAUGUCUUUUCUCAAAUAGAUGGCAAAAUAUAACAUGUUUGGUAUUACGACCUUGGAAGUAAUUCUUGUUGUUUAGUGAUUUUAUUCGAGGUAAAAACAACUUCUAAUGGUGUUCCAAAUGUUUUAUUUGAAGGAAGUUAUGAAGGCCUCAACAAUGACCAAAUAACAGGGUGGUCUUCUCGCCCUAGUAUAGAACACUAUAGAUGGUUCAAGGGACCUAUCAACUAUCUUCAAAGAGAGCAAAGAUCGAAAUAUGUAGCAAAUACAAUUCGUCGCAUCUUAGACUUUCUCAACAUAUAAAGACCGCUCCUCGUGGAACUUGUCUCUAGAAGAGGAAAUAAUGUCACGGACAUAUACAUUUACCUCAAUAGUUACUUAUAUGAUUAAAUAGAAGUAGGUAAAUAUAAGGUAAUUUUAUAAAGUCUUCUAUUGAAGCUUUCUAGAAGCUUCAUAGACGUUGUUUUGACUUUAAAUGUGUUUGUAGAUUAGAAACUUGGCGAAAAAACUAACCAUAUAUUAGUAGCUUGUGGAACAAGUUAUCUCUGUAUAGUAGCUUGUGGAACAAGCCAACUACGUGGUGCAUACAUAGAUAACUUGCCUUGCAAGAUAAGACAUGUGACUAGCAAAGUCAACACAUGUUGGAGGUCCUAUAGGAAAUCACCACAUAGCUCUUAGUUAGAUAGUAUAUAUGGAAGCAAGAGUGAAGCCUUCUUCACUCUUGUCAACGCCUUUCUAGUCUUAGUCUUGUUUCAAGUCUUUCUAGUCUUCUUGUUUUUGACAAUAGCCAUUCUAGUUAAUAUUAUAUCACCUUUUGAGUGACUUUCUAGUUCUCUUCAAUGAUAGAAGAGUGUAUUGAGGAUUUUCUUUCUUUAAGAUUCACGUCCUUAACAGUUGUAUAGAAUGUUUCAAAAUAUCCAUAAAUAAAGAAACAUUAACUUGUAGUUAAUUUGUAUUAUAUUUUUUAGGAAUGUAGCAAGUGUUAAAUAAUCCAAUUAAAAAUGGUUAAAUAUAUAUUUUAAUGUGUAGAUAACAAAUUGAAAUCAAAUUUCCUAAAAAAAUAAAAACUUGAAAUAUUUUCCAAUGCAUGUGUUUCUAUAAAAACUACUCAAUGAUAUCCAUAUUAAAAAUAUUACCAAUAUGUUGUUUACAACAAAGUUGCAAUAAAAUGGAAAAUAUAUCAACAUGGAUUUAUAAGUAAUUUAUUACAUUAUUCUUACUUUAAUGCAUGUGGCACAUUUUUUUUUAGUUUUUACGGUUUAAUUAUUUUAAAUUCUUAAUUUUUUAAAAAUUUAUAAAAAAUUAAAAAUUAAAAAUUAAUUAAUUAAUCUAAAUAUAAUUUAUUUUUAAAAUAAAUAAAAAUUCCUUAAAAAAUAAUCGAGAACAAAAAUCAAUCAAAAAUUGAGAUUAUUAUUUAUUAUAAUUUUAUUAGAGUACAUGUCAACCUAUUUUUAAAAACUAUUAAAAUAAUUCAAAAUAAGUCUUUGUGAUGAAAUAUGCCGUGAAUUUUUUACAAUUAAAUGACUUUAAAACUUUUUUUUUAUGUUAUUUUAACAAAAUUUAUUGGGCAUUAUCUUUAUUGAAGAAGUAUAACACUUCAUAUAUUAAAAAUUCUACUUAAUGUGAAAAAAGUUAGUAUUAUAUUAUGUCUUAAAAUAAUACUUAUAUAAAUACUUUGAAAAUAAUUAUUCUAAUAAUUUGGAAUGAGAUAUCAAAUGCAACAUUGUUAUUAUAUAUAUAUAUAUAGAUAGAUAGAUAGAUGUAAACUUCUUAAAGCCACAAAUUGUCAAGAACAUGAAUUAAAAGAUGAUGCAAAAACCAAUGAAAUCCAUGUCAAAGAAAGAGUGAAAAAAUAGAAAUAAGGAAGUAUGUAUAUUAAAAGAAACUAGAAAGGCUUAUUGCCAAAAGACAAGAAAACUUGAGACUCUUGAAACUAGACUAGAAGCAAGAAAGGAGUUGACAAGAAUGAAGACAGCUUCACUCUUGUCUCUGUAUAUACUAUCUAACUAGGAGCUACAUGGCGAUGUUCUAGAGGACCUCCAAUGUGUCUUGACUUUGUAGGACACAUGCCUUGACUUAUAAGAUAAGUUUUUCUAUGUGUGGGCCACAUAGUUAGCUUGGUCUUCAAGCUAACAAUAUGUGUGGCACAUGGCCAACUUAUUGACUUCGUUUAUAAUCCAAAAAGUCAAUUAAAGACACCUUUAAAGUCAAAGCAGCGUCUAUAAAACUUUUAGGAAGCUUCCAUAGAAGAUAUUAUAGAAUUAACUUAUUUUUACCCACUUCUAUUUACAUCUACUUAUUUAUACAAGUAAUUACUAGCUUUCAUGCGUAUGUCUAUGACACAACUUCCUUGCCAUCUCAUGAUCCAUUUUGUAUAUGUCUUUUGUCCUCAACUUGUUCCCAAUCCUUGUACUUAGCCACCAUCCCCACCCUAUGCCAACUCCACUGUUGUUCCCACCCCCAUCUCCAAUUCCAUCAUUGUCUUGACAUCACCCCAUCCCCACCCUAUUCUAAUCUCAAUUCCAUGUCCACCUCCAUGUCUAACUCCAUCCUUAUUCCAUCCCCACCAUGUCCCCACUUUUGUCUCUGAUUCGAUCUCUACCCUCAUAUAUAUGGUUGAUUAUGCUGGUGUAGAAUAAUUAGGGUUUAAUAUGUUUUUCAUGGUGUAAGAGUAAUUAUGGUAAUCAAAUGCAAUGGAAGUGGUGAGUGAAAAUUAAUUUGGAAGUUAAAUAAAAUAUUCAAGUAACCAAUAUUUUCAUUAUAAUUAUUUUAAAUAAAGAAUAUUUAUGCAAUAAAUAUAUUUAUAUAAUAAAAGAUUGGAUAUAUUAAAUAUAUAUAUAUAUAUAUAUAUAUAUAUAUAUGAUUCAUCAAAAAAAAAUGAAAAUGAAAAUAUACAAAAAAAUCAUGAAUUAUGUAAUAAAAUUAUAUAUUAAAUAUGCCACUUAAACAAAAUAAAAUAGAGAUUAAAUAUUCUUUAAUUUAUAUUAUUUUCAAAAUUAAAAGCUUGUUCUUUAAAUUUUUAAUUGUAAAAUAUUUUUCUUUUUUAAUUGAUAGUAAUUUAAAAUUAUAAAUUUUUAUUUAGAAUUAAACAAAUUCCUAGACUUUGAGCUUAAAUAAUUAUAAUUUUUUAAAUCCUAUAAUUCUAUUUUUACUUUAGGAAGUUGAAUAUACUUAUUUGAAUACUUAAUGAAAUUAACAAGGAAUUCUAAAAUCAAUGAAAGUUUCCUCUCAAAAAUAAAAAUAAAAACAGAUCAAUGCAAUUUAAUUUAAGCAAUUAAAUUUUAAAAAUAGUUAAAAAGUUUGCACGAUUUUGUUGCUGAAUAUUUAAAUUUAAUAUUUAAAAUAUCUAAAAUAAUACUUCUUUAUAUCUCAACAAAUCAAUAAAAAUAAGACAUGCAUGUUUGUAUUUAUAUAUUUAUAAAUAAAAUAUUGUAGUUAAAUUUUUAUUACCUAUGAAUUUAGUGAUUUAGAAAAGAGAUUAAAAAAUAGUUAAAAAGUUUGCACGAUUAAAACUAAUCAUAUACAAAUCUUUUUAUUUGUUUCCAUUGCAUUUGUAUAUCGUAACCACUCUUAUAUCAUGGAAAACCUACUAAAUUCUAAUUACUCCACACCACCAUCCUCAAGCAUGUGUAUGGGGGUAGGAGUGGAGUUUGGAACAUAGGUUGGGAUAGAGUGGGGAUAGGACAAGGUGGGGACAGUGGUUAAGAAUGAGGGUUGGGAAGGAGGUUGGUAUCAAGGAACAUGUACAAAAUGGAUCAUGAGGUGGGAAGGAGGGUGUGGCUUUAACAAAUUCAAUUAUAUAUAUAUAUAUAUAUAUAUAUCAUUGUUAAUUGAUGGGUUCUAAAGUAAUAUUUGGAUUAAACUUGUUUAAAUCAAUUAUUUUAGAUUUGGGUAUGAAAUUUGUUGCGUACGUGACACAAUCACUAACAGCUUGAGACAUAUUAACGUAGUUGUUAUUAUUGAUUUUUUUCAUUCUGAUACCAAAUGAAUAAAUAAAAAAAAAUAAAUCACUUACAAAUUGAAGUGCCACACAAUCUGCAUGGAGCAGUUCAAUUGGCCCGGACCUCACGAAAUCCCAUCUGGUAUUCCGGGAAUCUCCACGUCAGCUGUGCAUGCUGACAAGGAUCCUUGCUUCGGUGGCAGCCAAUUGAUGCUGACAUGGAUCCCAGAUUACCACAAUCGGGGGGAUAUGCUCGCUAAUGCACGAAAACCCCCAUCCACGAAUAAAUGACAUGGCAGAAUAUUCAUCUACAAAUCAGCAAGUUUCCUCGUUGCUCACCCGAUUCACACCGCAGGUUGCGAACGCCGACCUUUUGCCGGCCCACCCAAUGGGAUUGCAGGGAGAACUGACUCUGCCUUGACAUACAAGUCAUCAAGGCCGUUCCCACGUUCCCACAUUCUAACGUUCCCCUGCAACGCAAGAAGGCAUCCAAACGAAACACUCUGAUCCAGUCAGACGGGAGAGAUCUCAACCGUUGGAUUCCUUCCUAGAAAUAAGUAGAAAUCUUAUCUGCUGAGCUGGAUGUGACCAUCCUCAUGUUCCUGGUAUAGAAUAAAUAAAUAAAUAAAUAAAAUAAAAUAACUCCCCUUCUCGAUCUAACUCCGUGGAACCUUCUGGAAUCAAGGAAUUAUUAGGAACCAAUUAAACAUUCGAGAGCAUAAUCCACUUGGAACGCAUGCUGUCGCUGCACUCCACAACCAUGAUCUGGAUGCAUAACACUAAAUUACCCGUUUGUAUAUAUAUAGAUAGAUAGAUAGAUAGUAGGGUUGGAAUAGAAAUCAAUUUUGUAGAUGUGUGAUUGCACCAAACAUUAUUAGAUCUUGCGUUGAAACUUUGCCCAGUUGGGUAAAGUUUUUGAACUUCAUGUCUUGAGGUGAAAUUUGAUUUUGUUCAUACAUGCACACACACACACACACAACACUCACUCACGUUAACUUGAUUGAUAGUUUCAUUCAUAGUUCGCAGGUGAUUGCGAUCAGAUGUCAUUUACAAACACUUCUGGUGAUAACGAAAGUUGGGUAAACGAGAUUUAGGGUUUAGGAAGGAAAAAAGGAAUGAUUCCUAUUAACUGUGGAGAUUUUUUUUUCACCAUGCACUUUUUAACUUUGUUCGCUUUCGAGGCAUGAACUUGCUUUCCACGUGGAUGCCAGCUCAGUUGUAGAUUGCCAUCGAUCAACGAGUGCCGUCGAUUUCGAUCCAUUGAAUAUGGAUCACGAAUUGCACAAUUUGACAGUUUCCGUUGAUUAGAUGGAUGAGGAUUGGUCGGUGCAGAUAAACUCAACUCCAUUAAAGACGAAGCUUUCGGAGAUGAACUUGUAGUGUGAAUCUCAAUGUCUGAUAUCCUGCUCGAUUUGCUCAAAAUUUUCUUAAAUUUUGUACUGUUGUUAUUAUUAGCAGCAAUGCACUCUUUACACAACUUUGCAUUUGAAAGUGAUAGAAAAAACAGCUCCUCAGAGUUCCUGGAGAGUUGUGACCAUGGGAAGGACAAUAAAGCAGAUUAUUUUUUAAUACCCGUUUCUAAAAAUGCGCCCAUAAUUCGCAAGCUUAGUUUUAUAUUUUUUUCAAAUGUGACAUUUGAAAAAAUAUAAUUAUUUUUAAACAUAAAAAUGUGACUAAUUAAUCUUAAAUCAAUUCAUAUUUGAUUCUUCUCUGUGUGCAUAUUGCAACAAUUGUGUUUGAUCAUUUUUGGUUUGUAAGGGAACGUGAGUUUUACAACCCCCAUAUUUGUGUAGACUUUUUAUUUUGGAUGAGUACAUGACUCAUGUUGUGUAUGUGUCAUUGUUGAAUUGUGAUGUUUGCUUGUAUUGUCAUGUAUUUCCUGAAGAGUAAUUGUGAUACAAAGAAGACCAAAAAUAAAUAAAUAUAAAUAAAAUGAACCUUUGACAUUUUGAUGAACAAAAGUAUGAGAAUAACAUACCUUGUGUCCUUAGAAGGUCAAAUGUCAAAGGAUCCAUUUUUUGCAGAUGUUGUUGAGAAGUCAUGGAUCACCAAAGAUGUUGAUGAUUGGACAUGUUAAAUCCCUACAAAAUUGUCAAACUUAUUGUUGUUGUUGAUAUUGUUUUGAUUUUUUUUUUCAAUUUACUGAAAUUCUAUAAAUAAAAAAAAUUAUUUACUUGGUCAUCAUGUAGCAAAUAAAUGGUGAAAGAGUAUGUGUUUGUAUUAAUUUAGAUUUAUUCAAGCUCAAGAAUGCCUACAAAUAUUUAGUAGAGUCCAAGGAGGUAGUUUCUUUCCUUAACACUUGUAAGUUAUCAUGAGAUUUUCAAACAAUCAUAAGGAAGUAUCUCAUAUUGGUGCCUCAAGAUUAUUUGGUUCUACAUACAGUAAAUUUAUGAAAUGAUCGUAGUUAUCUAAAAAUGAUUUGACUUCCAUUUUAGAACACCAUCACAACUUUAUUUAAUUUAUUUAUUUUUUGGAUUAUGUGUUGUUUUUUUCAAUCAUCAUUGGAUAAUUCCAUGGGAUGAGAAUAGAAGAAUAUGGAAUAACCAUAUAUAAUGAACAGUAAAGUGAUUAUGAUACUUACUGCAGUUUAACUAUGAAAUGAAGUAAUACCAAAUCUUGAGUUUGAAAAGAUAUUUGUGCAUCUGUUUUUAAUAUAUAUAUAUAUAUAUAUAUAUAUAUAUAAUCCAUAAUUAUAAAAAUAAAACACAAUGUGAUUUGAAAGAUGUAUUAUUGGCUUUUUUAACUUUAUUUUUAUUAAAAAAUCUUAAAUAUUUUUGACGAUUUUUAUUCUAUGUCAUAUUAUUAUUAUUAUUAUUACUCCUACUAUCAAUAUAAUAUUACCUAUCAAUAUAAUUAUAUUUAGUCAUAUUUUCAAGUUUAAAAUAUAUAAACUAAAAAUCUUUGUGUAAUUUAUUUCAUCUCAAUCAAUGAUUUAUGGUUUUGAAUUUUUUUGAAAUAAUUUUUUUUAUCAAAGUAUUAAAAAAAAAUUCAAUACAAACUUCAUUAAACUAAAAUUAUCUAAGAUAUUUAAUUUUAAAUAGAUUUAUUGAUAAAUUAUCUGUAAGAAAAUUUUGUUUCAAUUUUAUUUAUAAUUAUUAUUAUUAUUAUUAUUAUUUUAAACAAAUAUUUGAUUUGUACUGAAUCAACAUUAUGAAUAAUUUUUUUUUAUAAUAACAUAAUUUUUUCUUUGAAAUUUUCAUUUGUAUAAUAGAUGUUUGUUUAAAACUUAAUAAUCGUAAUUCCUUUGUCAUUUUAGAUCUAUAAGCCUAAAUUUGUUUUUUUGGAUGAAAGUUGUGUUAAAUGACAAAGCAAAAAAUAUUCAUAAUAUUUUAUUGAUAUUUUAUAUUGUUAGAUCUUUGUGUAAUCUUAUCAUUUUAGGUUUAUUGUUGCUAAAAAAAUAUAAUCCUUAGAUAGAUUGCAUUUCUUGUAAUUUCAAUCUUUUUUAUAGUAUAAUCAAGAUUUUUGCUAACUAAGUAGAAAGUUAUAAGUUUUAAACAACCAAACCUUUAUUUAUAGAUGUAUGAGCUUUUAUAUAUAGUACAAAAGAAGGUCCAUCUUUUGUUAUUCAUGCCACAUCUAUUUCUAAUGAUAGAAAGACUUCAAGCCUUAUUCCAAACCAAUAUAAAGAUUAUUAAGUUAUUUUUGAAAAAAAAAUAAUAAAAAUAUUCCUUAACAACAUCAUUCUUAUGUUUGCUUAGUUGAUCUUUAAGAAAAAAAAUCAAUUGCUAUUUGAACCAAUUUAUAAUUUUUUUAAAAUUAAAUUAAUUUCACUUAAAUUAUAUAUUAAUAAGAACUUUGUCAAGAACUUUAUACAUUAUUUAAAAUCUCCAAUAGAAGCUCCUAUUUUAUUUGUAAAAAAAAAUUUGAUCAUAGCAAGUAAAUGUAGGUUAUCAAGGAUUCAUCAAGAUUAUUAUUAAAAAUAGAUAUCUUCUACAUUUGAUAUUAAGACUUUUUGAUCAAUUAAAUCAAAUAAAGAUCUCUAGCAGUAUAGAUCUAUAACAAGCAUACAACUUGAUACACAUAAAAGAAAUAAAUGAAUAGAAGACUACAUUUUAAACUACGUAUGUACAUUUUAAAUAUAAUUUUAUUCCUUUUAGACUAAAAGAAAUAUUCUAUUUACUUUUAAAUAUUUAAUAAAUGAUGUUUUUUUUGAGAAUUUUUAGAUGAUUAUGCUAUUUUUUUAAUCUAAAUAAUAUUUUAAUUUAUUCAAAGAAUAUAAAAAAAUAUAUAAACUUUAUGUUUGUUAUGUAUAAUAAAAAAUGAGAGAAGAAUAAUUAUACACCUAGAUGAAAAAGUAUGAAUUUUGUACAAUUUAAGUUGAUUUUAAAAAAAUAUACUUUUUUAAAUGAGAGUCUUAUGAUGAAAAAAAAAUAUAUAUUCCUAAGAAAAUUUAGAUUAGCAUAGAUUAAAAGAUUUUAAGAAUAAUAAGAAAAUUUUAAUAUUUUAAAAAAAAAUUCAAUUACUUCAAAAAUAAACUUAGAAUUUUUAGAAUUUUUUUUGUUUAAGUUGCAACUCUACUUAUAUGCUUGUAAGAUUCUAAGAAUAAUAAAAAAUAUUUAUUUUUUAAAAAAAUUAUUAUUUAUUAUAAAAAAUAGAAUUUUUAGCAAUCUUUUUUUCAAGUUACAAAUCUACUUACAUGUUUAUAAAGAUAUAUUAUGGAUAUACAUAUUUAUUCUAAUAUUUACCUAUACGAUUAAGUAGAAGUAGAAAAAAAUAAAUUUAUUUCAUAAUAGUUUUUUAAAAUACUUCUUAGAAGCUUCAUAGAUGCUAUUUUAAUUUUAUAUGUGUUUGUAAUUGAUUGGGAGGCUAGAAACUUAGUAAAUAAAUUAACCAUGUAUUAGUAGCUUGCGAAAAAAGCUAACCAUGUGGCUCAUAUAUAGAAAACUUAUCUUAUAAGUUAAGAUAUGUGUCUUUCAAAGUCAGCAUGUUUUGGAAGUUGCAUAGGACAUUGCCACAUAGCUCCUAGUUAAGAGUAUGUAUGGAGGCAAUAGUCAAGUCUUCUUCACUCUUAUGAAUGCCUUCUAAUCAUUGGUCUUAUUUUAAGACUUUCUAAUCUUCUUGUCUUUGGCAAUAACCAUUCUAGUUUAAUACUAUAUCAUCUUUGAGUGAUUUUUUAGUCUUCUUGAAUGACACAAGAGUAUAUUGAGGAUUUUUGUUUUGAGAUUCAUGUCCUUGACAGUUUAACAAGAGUGCUAAUUCAUUGUUGUUGUCUUGUUUUAUAAGUGAGUAAAUUAUUCCACUUUUAUUGUUGUAUUUUGAAGGUUACGAAUUACCCACCUUUAAAUAAUCUAUUUAAUUUUCUAACAUUGAUUUCUUUUUUCUUAAAGAAAGUAUAUUAUCCCUCUUUUGACAUUAGAGGUUAUGGAUUGCCUUCAUCUAAUUUGACUUGUGGAUUUAUUAAUUUGUUUGAAAUGGAAGGAAAAAUUAUGAAUGGUUUACUUGGCGGAAGUGAAAAUAGAUUUGUAAUUAUUACAGAUCUUCACAAACUUGUUAACACUCUUAGGAUAGCAAUUUCUCUCAUUGCUAGUACCAACUAUGAAAAUACUAAUUCUAUGCCUGUGAAAGAGAUUCACAAUGUAUAUUAAGAAGUUCUACAACUCAAAGAAGCAAAUAGAUUAAUUUUAUAACCAAAUUCAAGAAGUUUUUCUUCUACAAGUACAAUAGAGAUAAGGAUUAGUAUGCUCGAAAAGUUUGAUGGAACAAGAUCAAAAUAUCUAAGAUUUUUGCAACAAGUUAAGUUCUAUUUAAGGUUUAAUCUCUUCUAAUAUCUUAAUAGAUUUAUUCAAGUUAAAUUUAAAGGUACAAUUUAAUAUAGAAGUGAUCUUUCUUAAUUUAUACCUUUAAUAGAAAAAGAUUCAUAACUUUUUUAUAAUUUGAAUUCAUUCCUAAAAGUAUUUACGGCCACAUUCAAAAAAAAUGAUCAUAAAAGAGUAGCAGAGAUCAAGAUCUUAUCUUUAUUAUAAGAAUCAUGGUUAGCCAUCAUAUAUGUUGUUGAAUUCCAAAAUCUUACUUGCAAUCUAGACUAAAAUGAUAAAGUCUUUAUUAAUUAAUUUUGAUAUGGAUUGAAAGACAAUAUCAAAGAUUAGUUAUUAACAAUGUCAAAAGCAAAAUCUUUGAAAUAUUUUAUUGCUCAAGCCAUUGCAUAUAAAAAUUGAUUAUUUAAAGACAUCAAGAAUAAAGAUUUGGCUAGUGAAGAGUAAGUCAAGUAAUGACAAUAAUUCCUAAGUUUUCAAGAACUUAUUUAUUAAAGUAAAAAUCAAUACAAAUUAAUAUGAUAUGUUUUAAACCUCUUACUGAAUAAGAGAAGACUUAUUGUUGUUAAGAAGGUUUGUACUUAUAUUGUAGAGAACCUAAACAGACUGCUCAACAUCAUCUAAAAAGACAAUGCAAUCACAAAAUAAGGAUUAUAAUUGCCAAAGAGGACAAUGUGAUUGAAAAUAAGUUUUUUCACCUACAAUAAGAAUUGUACAAGUAGAAUCUUAUAUAAUUUCUAGUAAAGAUAUUAUUUUCUUCUCAAUUCCCCCACCUUAUUUUAUAAUAGAAGUUUAUUUAGAAUCAAAAAAUUACAAAGUCUUUGCCUUAUUGGAUUUGAGAGCCUCAAGUUGUUUUAUAGAUGAAGACUUUGAAAAAAAAUAAAAUAUAUUCUUAAUUAAGAAAAUCAAAUCUAUGCAUAUAGAAGUAAUAGAUGGUCGUUUAUUUUCUUUUGAGGAUAUUAUAUAUAAAACUAUUCUUAUAAAAAUAGCAAUUAGUGGUCAUAAUAGUUUAAUAAUAUUUAAUGUGAUUAAAUCUCUUUUUAAUCUAAUUUUUUAGGAUUAUUGUGGUUAAAAGGUAUAACCAUCAAAUAGACUAGAUUUCUUGCAAUCUUAAUUUUUUCCAUGGUUUAAUUCAAGAUUCUACUAAGAAAAUAAAAACCUAUAAGAUCAAUACAUCUAAACCAUUAUUGUUAGAUGCAAGAGCUUUCAUGUAUGUUGUAAAAGAAAUGUCAAUUUUUGUUUAACAUGUCAUACUUAUUUUUAAUAGAAAAAAGAUUUCAAGUGACAUUUUGAGCCAAUAUCAAGUUAUGAAGAUAUUUUAAAAUAAAAAUAAAAAUAUUCUUUCAAAACAUCAUCUUUAUGAUUGUUCUAUUGAUCCUGAAGAAGGAGCUCAACCACCAUUUGGACCAAUAUAUAAUUUAUCUCAAAAAAAUUAUCUACAUUCAAAAAAUACAUUGAUGAGAAUUUAGCUAAGAAUUUUAUAUACCAUUUUAAAUCUUUGAUUGAGGCUCCUAUCUUAUUUGUGAAGAAAAAAGACGGAUCUCUAGAGACAUGUAUAAACUAUCAAGAAUUCAACAAGAUCACUAUUAAGAAUAAGUACCAUCUAUUUUUGAUUUCAGGACUUUUUGAUCAAUUAAAUCAAAUAAAGAUUUAUGAAAAAAUAGAUCUAUAAAGAGCAUAUAAUCUGGUAUAUAUUAAAAAAGGAGACAAAUAAAAAAAAUACAUUUUGAACAAAAUAUGGAAAUUUCAAAUAUAAUAUGAUGCUUUUUGGACUCACAAAUGUACCAGUUGCUUUUCAACAUCUAAUGAAUGAUGACUUUUGUGAGUUUCUUAAUAAUUUUAUUAUCUAUUAUUUAGAUGACAGCUUGAUGUACUUUAAGAAUACAAAAAAGUAUGAACUUCAUGUUUGUCAUAUGUUACAAAAACUAAAAGAUGUAGGAUUUUAUGCCAAGAUAGAAAAGUAUAUAUUUCACACUAUUCAAGUUGACUUCCUAGAAUAUAUCAUUUCAAAUGAUGGUUUUAUAGUGGAUCCUAAGAAAGUUUAAAAUAUCAUAAAUUAGAAGAUCCAAAAAAUAAGUAGAGAUAUGCAAUAUUUUUUUAGGUUUGCCAAUUAUAAUUGGAUCUUAAUCAAAUUUUUUUUAAAAGUUGCGGCUCUUAUUUUAUGUUUAAUAUGUAAAGGCAAACUUAAAUAGAGUAAAGAAGCUGAAACAUCUUUUGAAGCCUUAAAGACAAUAUUUAUUUUUAAACCAAUUUUAUAUUGCAUUGAUUUUUUGAAGGCAUUCUUCAUAGAAUCAGAUGUAUUAGAUUUUGCCAUGGAUGUUGUUUUGCCACAAAUAGAAGAAGUUGAUAAGCUCCAUCUGAUAGCUUUUUAUUCUAAGAAAUUUUCAAUAAUCAAAAUUAACUAUUACAUCUAUGACAAAGAACUUCUUAUAAUUAUAGAUUCAUUUAAAAAAUGGCAUCAUUAUUUAGAAGGCACCUCUAAUCCCAUUAUAUAUAUGGAUCACAAGAACCUCAAGUACUUCAUAUCAAUACAUAUUUUGAAUUGUUGCUAAGCUUGUUAGAACAUGUUUUUAUGAAGAUUUGAUUUCAAAAUCAUUUAUUGACUUGAAAAACAACAAAGUUUGACAAACACCUUUUCUAGACAUUAUUAAUUUGUAUCAAAAGAACACGAUGCAACUUUUGAUCCACAAAAAAUAAUUUUCUUGAAGUUGGAGUAUUUCUAUGUUUAAGUAAUAAAAUCAACAUUAAUUGUUGAUUCAAUAUUUUUCAAGAAAAUUCAAUUAAGUAUGUUCUCUGAUCUUCUUGUUCAUAAUAUCAAAAAUAAUUCUUUAAGUCUCAUUAUAUUUUUUAAUUCAAGUUAAAGAAUAAUCUAUUUUAUUUCAAGGAAUAAUUAUACAUUCUAAAAGGUAAAGCAUGAUUAUAUAUUCUUCAAGCUCAUAAUGACUUUUGAGUAGCCAAAUAUUCUAGACACAAUAAGGCUUUGGAGUUAAUAUCAAAAGAUUUUUAGUGGCCUCAAAUGUAAAAGGCAGUUAAAGACUUUUUCCAAUCAUGUGAUAUUUUUUUAAGAUAAAAAACUCCUUCUUAUUGAUAUUAUCAACUUUUUCAAUUAUUACCUAUUUUGAAACAACCAUAGUCUUUUAUUUCUAUGGAUUUUAUCGUAGAUCAUUGAAUCUCAUGUUUAUAUGAUUUUAUAUUUGUGAUAAUAGAUUAUUUUAUUAAAGUAGUAUAUUUUAUACCACGUAUAAAAUAUAUUAUAAUUAAAAAAAAUAAUUAGUAUUUUUCUUAAAAACAUCUAUUCCUAUCAUAGAUUUUUCAAAGAUAUUAUAUCAAAUAUAGAAAUUCAAUUUGUAUCAAGAUUUUAGAAUUUUUUUUUUUAAGAUUCUAAAGGUAGUAUGAAGAUUUCUUUGAUUUUCCAUCUUCAAAUUGAUAGGCAAAUGGAAUAGAUGAAUCAAGUUUUGAAGUAAUAUUUGGAGUAUAUCAUCAACUAUCAUGAAGAUGAUUAAAUAUCACAGACAUAUGCAUAUAAGCCAAUAAUUACAUAUAUAAAUAGGUAGAAGUAAGUAAAAGUAGAUAAAAGUAAGUUAAUUCUAUAAUAUUUGCUAUAAAAGCUUUCUAGAAGCCUCAUAGACAUUAUUUUGACUUUAUAGGUGUCUUUAAUUGACUUUUUGGAUUAGAAACGUAAUCAACAAGUUGGCCAUGUGCCACACAUAUUGUUAGCUUAAAGACCAAACUAACUUUGUGGCCCACACAUAGAAAAACUUGCCUUGUAAGUCAAGGCAUGUCUCCUACAAAGUCAACACAUAUUGGAGGUCUUAUAGAACAUUGCCACGUAGCCUCUAGUUAGAUAGUAUAUAUAGAAAUAAGAAUGAAGCCUUCUUCACUCUUGUCAACUCCUUUCUUACUUCCAGUCUAAUUUCAAGGAUGUCUAGUUUUCUUGGCUUUUGGUAAUAGCUAUUCCAGUUUCUUUUUUAAUAUAUAUAUCAAGUUAUUUCUAUUUUUUCAUCUUUCUUUGAGAGAAAGUUUCACUUAUUUAUUUAUUUUUAUAAAAUUUUUGUCCUUGACAGAUUGACAAGAGUACACCUACAAUAUCAGAGCUUUGUCUAAUCUUGAUUAAGAGUGGAUUACCUCUUUUUCUUAAUAAGUCAUAAGCAUAUUAGAAGUUACGGAUUAGCCUCUUCUAAACUGAUAUUGUCCUUAGUAUUUUUUUUAUUCUCAAGUCCUCUCUUUUAUUUCUCUUGAGCGAUAUUAGACAUCUUCUCUUUUCUAAGUAUUAUCAUGGCAAAACUUGCUGAAAUAAAAAGUGCAAUAGCACAAAUACAAGAGCAAUUGAGGGAGUUAAUGCUUGCUAUGCAUCAAUUCAAUUUACCACGACAAAGAACAACAAGAUUGGCAGGAAGUGAAGAUAUAGAAAUGAUUGGAGCUGCUUCAAUAAUUGCACCAAUUCAUAUCUCUUCUCCUAAAGUAGAACGUCCUUCAAAUAUUAGAGAACCAAGAAUUGCCCUACUUCAGAAGUUUGAUGGCACCAGAUCAAAAUUUAGAGGAUUUAUCAAUCAAUUACAACUUUUGAUUGAACUUCAAUUCCAAAGCUAUUCAACUCCAAGAUUGAAAGUUAGAUUUAUUGGUACUCUUCUUUCAAGUUCAACAUUAUCAUGAUUUUUAUCUUUUCUUCAACGAUAAGAUUCAAUAUUGGAUAAUAUAGAGGUGGAGUUUUGAUCCAUGUAUGGAGAACAUGAUGCAAUUUGUGUUGCAACCAAUAAGAACCAUAUUUUACAACAAGACAAUCGAUUAGUAACAUUGUAUGCUUCUCAAUUUUGACAACUUGCAAUUGAUAUCAAGUGGGAUGAUGCUGCACUUAUUAGCCAAUUUUUCUAUGGAUUACAAUAUGAGGUAAAAAAAAAUUAAUACUCAACUUGUCUGAUCCUCAAACAUUGAGCCAAGCAAUUGACUUUGUUGUGAAGUGCGACAAUCGUCUUUUUGAAUUUUGAUCUGAGAACCGUAUAAGUAGACCUCAACGUUACUAUAAUUCAAUGGCAACACCAACAUCUCUUCAACACAUACAUUCGAAAGUAGAGGAUAUGCAAAUUGAUGCAGUAUGUUUUAAACCUCUUACUGAGCAAGAAAAGUUUCAUUGUCAUCUGGAAGGAUUGUGCAUAUAUUGUAGAGAAUCUAAGCACACUAUUCAACAUUAUCCAAAGAAGUGGGGCAACCAUAAAAUGAGGAGUACGGCAAUCAAAGAAGAUAGCAUGUGAAGAAACAAAGUUCACGAGCUAUAAUAGGGAUUGUGUGAUUGAAACCUUGUACAACGCCUAGUGAAGAUCUUAUCUUCUUUUGAGUACCCUCUCCAUGAUUUAUGAUAAAUAUUAUUCUAGGACCUAAACAUUACAAAGCCUCUGCCUUGCUAGAUUCAAGAGCCUCAGCAUGUUUCUUAGAUGAAGAAUUUGCUAAAAGACAUAGCAUACUUUUAGUAAAGAAAACUAAAUCUAUUCAUGUAGAAGUCAUAGAUGGUCGUCCAUUGUCUUUAAAAGAUGUUACUCAUGAAACCCUUCCUAUAGAAAUAGCAACUAAUAGUCAUAGUAACUUUAUAAUAUUUAAUAUCAUUAGAUCUCCUUCUAAUCCAGUCAUUUUAGGUUUAUCAUGGUUACAAAAAUAUAAUCCUAAAAUAGAUUAGACUUCUCGUAGUCUUGACUUUUCUGAAAGUAUAAUUAAGAGCGUAGUUAAUCAAGUAGAAAGUUAUAAGUCUAGUAUAAUUAAACUUAUAUUUUUAGGUGCAAGACCUUUCUUGCAUGCUACAAAAGAAGGAUCACCUUGUGUCAUUUAUGCCACACCUAUUUCUAUUGGUGGAAAGACUUCAAGUGGCAUUCCAAGCCAAUGUCAAGAUUUUCAAGAUGUAUUUGAGAAGAAGAAUGCAGAUAUUCCUCUGAAAAAUUAUUCAUAUGACUACUCAAUUGACCUUCAAGAAAGAACACAAUCGUCAUUUGGACCAAUCUAUAAUUUAACUCAAAAUGAGUUUGCUAAACUCAAAGAAUAUAUUGAAGAGUAUUUGGCCAAAAACUUCAUACGCCAUUCCAAAUCUCCAUCAGGAGCUCCUAUUCUAUUUGUGAAGAAAAAUGAUAGAUUAUUGCGGAUGUGUAUCGAUUAUCGAGGACUCAACAAAAACACUAUCAAAAACAGGUAUCUUCUAUCUUUGAUCUUUAAACUUCUUGAUCAAUUGAAUCAAGCUAAGAUCUAUAAAUAAGUAGAUCUACAAGGAGCAUACAAUCUUGUACGCAUCAAAGAAGGAGAUAAAUAGAAGACUACGUUUCAAAUAAGGUAUGGACAUUUUGAAUACAACGUCAUGCCUUUUGGACUUACAAAUGCACUAGUACCAUUCCAACAUUUAAUGAAUGAUGUCUUUUGGGAGUUUUUAGAUGAUUUUGUUGUCUAUUACUUAGACGACAUCUUAAUCUAUUCUAAGAAUAUAGAAAAAUAUGAACUUCAUGUUCGUCAUGUAUUAUAAAAACUAAGAGAUGCGAGAUUCUAUGCUAAUUAAAAAAAAUAUGUAUUUUACACUAUUUAAGUCGACUUCUUAAGAUACAUCAUUUCAAAUGAUGGACUUAUGAUGGAUCCUAAGAAAGUUCAAACUAUUAUGGAUUGAAAGAUCCCAAAAACGGUAAGAGAUGUCCAAUACUUUUUGGGAUUUGCCAAGUACUAUCGGAUCUUCAUCAAAGACUUCUCUCAAGUUGCAGCUCCACUUAUACGUUUGACUUGUAAAGACAAACUUCAAUGGAAUCAAGAAGUACAAGUAGCAUUUGAAGCUUUGAAGACAGCCCUUGUUUCUGGACCAAUCUUGUAUUGCAUCAAUUUUUCUAAGCCAUUUUUUAUGGAAACAAACACAUCAAACUUUGCUUUCGGUAUUAUAUUGUCACAAAUGAGAACAGAUGAUAAACUUAACCUAGUAGCUUUUCAUUCCAAAAAAUUUUCAACAACCAAGAUCAACUACGAGAUUUAUGAAAAAGAACUUCUUGCAUUCGUGGAUUUGUUUCAAGAAUGGCACCAUUAUUUAAAAGGUGCUUCUAGCCCAGUUACACUGUACACGGAUCACAAGAAUCUUGAAUAUUUUAUGUCAGUACGUGUUUUGAAUCGUCACCAAGCCCGUUGGAGUAUGUCUUUGUCAAGAUUCAAAUUCACGGUUACUUAUCGACUAGAGAAAUAACAAGGUUUAUCAAUUGCACUUUCUAGAUAAUCUUAUCUUGUACCAAAGGAAGGAGAUGCUGCUUUCGAUCAACAACGGACAAUUCUCUUGAAGCCAAAACAUCUUCAUCUUUGAGCAAUGAAAUCAACACUAAUUGUUGAUUCAACUUUCAUUAAACAAGUUUAGCCAAGUAUGUCUUUUGAUCCUUUUAUUCGUGAUAUUAAGAGAAAUCCUUCAAAGUCUCAUGAUACUUCCAAGUUUGAAUUCAAAAAAAACCUACUAUAUUUUGAGGGACGCCUAUAUCUUCGAAAAGGUGAAGUUGUCACGGACACAAAAUACAGACUUGAAAUCUAACAAGAAGUUCAAGAAGAAGUGGCAAAACUAGAUUAAACAGAUGAGUACAAGAACAACACCAGAAAGGUGAGCUAGAACUCCAAGAGAUGUGUUGUCGAGAUUGAAGAACUCUUCAGCCUCGACUCCUAUAUAUACUACUGGCCUAUAGUUCUAAGGAAGUGCAUCAAGAAGCUUCCCAAGAACUAUGAAGCUUCUCGAGCAACUACCCAAGAGCUAGGAAGCUUCUCAAGUAACUUCUUAGAAUCUACUAGAAUAUUCUAAGAAUCUUCUAGAGCCUUCUAAGGGAAUCUUUAGGGAAUCUUCAAAGAAUAUUCUAAGAGAAUAUUCAAGGAAUCUUAAGGAAGUUUCUAGAGACUUCUUUCUAGAAGGUUCUAGAAACUUGUCUCUAGAAAGGUCUAAGGACUAUGUCCCUAACAGAAGCUCAAUUACGUGUUCUUCAAGCUCAUCAUGACUUUCCAGCAGCAUGACAUUUUGGGUACAAUAAAACUUUGGAACUAAUAUCCAAGGACUUUUGGUGGCCUCAAAUGUGGAAAGUUGUCAAAGAUUUUGUACAAUCUUGUGAUGUUUGCUCGAGAUCAAAAACUCCUAAUCAUCGACCUUAUGGACUUCUUCUACCAUUAUCCAUUUCAGAACAACCAUGGUCUUCUAAUUCUUUGGACUUCAUCACAGAUCUUCCAAUCUCAGGUUCUUAUGACUCUAUAUUCGUGAUAGUAGAUUAUUUUACCACGAUGGCACAUUUUGUACCAUGUACAAAAUCUAUCAUAGGUGAAGAAACAGCUAAGUUCUUUCUUGACAAUAUCUAUCGCUAUCAUGGAUUACCCAAAGAUAUUAUAUCAGAUAGGGGAAUUCAAUUUAUAUCAAGAUUUUGGUGGACUCUUUUCAAGAUUUUAAAAGUGGAUAUAAAACUAUCUUCGACAUUCCAUCCUCAAAUUGAUGGACAAAUGGAGCGUGUUAAUCAAGUUUUGGAGCAGUAUUUAAGAUGUAUCAUUAACUACUAACAAGAUGAUUGGACAACUCUUUUGCCACUGGCAGAGUUUGCUUACAAUAACACGGUACAUUCUUCUACAAAACAAACACCUUUCUUUACUAAUUAUGGUUAUCAUCUAUGACUUGAUACUUUUGACUUUUUAAAAAUUGAUAAUCUUAUUGCAAAAGAUUUAGUAAUUCAUUUGUUAGAGCUACAUGCAACGAUGAAGGCGUAGUUAAAAGAAGCUGAAGAACAGUAAAAUGUCAAUGCGGAUGUCUAUCGAAAGGAACAACCACCAUUCUACAUGGGUGAUAAGGUAUGAUUACUUCAUUGCAAUAUCAAGACCACUCAUCCUUGUGACAAAUUGGACUAUCAAAGGCUUGGACCAUUUUCUAUUUCUGCACAAAUCAAUCCAGUUGCAUAUCAUUUACAUCUACUAGAGACAAUGAAAAUCCAUCUAGUAUUCCACAUGUCUCUUCUUGAACUAUACAAGAUAGUGGACAUACCAAGAAGAAGAUAAACUCUACCUCCUCCUAUAGAAGUAGACAAUAAUAAAGAAUUUAAAGAGGAAGAAGUCUUAGAUUCAAGGCGGCACCAAAAUAAAUUAGAAUAUCUUAUCUAUUGGUGCAGACAUGAUAUUAGUGAAUGCACAUGGGAGGUAGUAAAGAAUCUUGUAAAUGCAGCAAAGGCGGUGGAGGCUUUUCAUCGAUGACAUCUAUCAAAAUUAAGAUUAAAACCUUCUUUAUAUAAGAAACAAGAUUUAGGAAAGAUAACAUUCUACUUUCAAUCCUUGUUUGUAGUUUCUUUAUAGUUAUGAAGCUUAAGAGAUGGAGAACCAACAAUUAGUGGAUUUGACUCAAGAGCCUUUCUUUGCUGACCUGUCAGAUGAGACAUUACGAUUGUGAGAACCUUCAAGACGAUGCAAUCGAGAUGAAGAAUACAUUUGGUAUCACAACCUUGGAAGGAAUUUUUGAUGUUUGGUGAUUUUAUUAGAGGUAGAAACUCCUGACGGUGUUUCAAAUAUUUUAUUCAAAAGAAGUUAUAAAGGCCUCAACAAAAAUCAAAUAAGUAGAUAGUCUUCUUGCCUUGGUAUAGGACACUACUGAUGGUUGAGAGGCCUUAACAAUCAUCUUCGAAGAGAACAAAGACCAGAGUAUGUGGCGAAUACAAUUCGUCGCAUCAUAGAUUUUCUCUAUAUAUGAUGACCGCUCUUCGUGAAACUUGUCCUUAGAAAGGGGGGGUAAUGGUACGGAUAUACGCAUGUAAGAAAAUAACUACAUAUAUAAAUAAGUAGAAGUAAGUAAAAAUAAGUAAAAAUAAGUUAAUUCUAUAAUAUUUGCUAUGGAAGCUUCCUUGAAGCCUCAUAGAUAUUGCUUUGACUUUAUAGGUGACUUUAAUUAACUUUUUGGAUUAGAAACGUGGUCAACAAGUUGGCCAUGUGCCACACAUGUUGUUAGCUUAAAGACCAAACUAACUAUAUGGCCCACACAUAGAAAAACUUGCCUUGUAAGUCAAGGCAUGUGUCCUAUAAAGUCAACACAUAUUGGAGGUCCUAUAGAAUAUCGCCACGUAGCCCCUAGUUAGAUAGUAUAUAUAGAGACAAGAGUGAAGCCUUCUUUACUCUUGUCAACUCCUUUCUUGCUUCUAGUCUAGUUUCAAGGGUCUCUAGUAUUCUUUGUUUUUGGCAAUAGCCAUUUCAGUUUCUUUCUUAAUAUACAUAUCAAGUUAUUUCUUUUAUGUCAUCUUUCUUUGAGAGAAGUUUCACUCGUUUAUUUGUUUUUAUUAUGUUCUUGUCCUUGAUACUAAACAAAUCUUUUAUUAUUGGCACAAUUUGUCUAUAAUAAUUUGGUACAUUCUUUUAUUUUACAAACAUCUUUUUUUACCAAUUAUGGUUAUUAUCCACAAUUUGAUACUUUUGACUAUUCAAAAGUUGAUAAUCCUAUGACAAAAGAUUUGAAAAUUUAUUUAUUAAAGCUAUAUACAAUAUUAAAGACGUAGUUAAAAAAAACUUAAGAAAAACAAAAGAUGAAUGCAAAUGCCUAUUGCAAAGAAAAACUACAAUUCAACGUGGAUAACAAGAUAUGGCUACUUUGUUCCAAUAUCAAGACUAUUCAUCUUUGCAAUAAGUUUGACUAUCAUAGGGUUGAAUCUUUUCCUAUUUGUAAACAAGUCAAUCAUAUUGCUUAUCAAUUACAUCUAUAGGAGUCAAUGAAGAUUCGUCACUUAUUCCAUGUAUUUCUUUUUGAGCUAUAAUAAAUAAUAAAUAUCUUGAAAGGAGACAAAUAUCACUUCUUUCUAUAGAAAUAGAUUAUAAUGAAGAGUUUGAGAUAGACAAAGUCUUAGAUUCAAUGUAGUAUUAAAAUAGAUUAAAGUAUCUUAUUCAUUAAUAUAGAUAUGAUAUUAGUGAACACAUAUAGGAAUUAAUAAAGAAUCUAGCAAAUGCAACAAAGAUGAUUGAGCCUUUUCAUUAACAUCCAUCAAAACCAAGAUGAAGAAUUAUAAGAUCUAUGAAAGAUAAUAAUAGCUCUUUAAAAAACUCGUUUCUAAAAGAGAAGUAAUUUCAUGGAUAUAUAUAUAUUUACUCUAAUAUUUACCUAUAUGAUUAAGUAGAAGUAGUUAAAAUAAAUUUAUUUCAUAAUAUUUUUAAGAAUAACUUCUUAGAACCUCCAUUGAUGCUAAUUUGAUUUUAAAUGUGUUUGUAGUUGAUUAAUAGGCUAGAAACUUGGUCAAUAAGUUAAUUACGUACUAAUAGCUUGUCAAAUAAGCUUAUUAGGUGGCACACAUAUAAAAAACUUACUUUACAAGUUAAGAUAUGUGUCUUGCAAAGUCAACAUGUUUUAGAGGUCUUAUAGGAUAUUGCCACAUAGUUCCUAAUUAAGAAUAUAUAUGGAAGCAAGAGUAAAGUCUUCUUCAGUCUUAUGAAUACCUUUUUAAUCCUUGGUCUUAUUUUAAGACUUUCUAGUCUUCUUGUCUAUAGCAAUAACCAUUUUAGUUUAAUACUAUAUCAUCUUUGAGUCAUUUUUUUAGUUCUUUUGAAUAACACAAGAAUAUAUUGAGGAUUUUUUUUUUUUUUUUUUUUUUUUUUUUAUGAUUCCUGUCCUUAAUAAGAUAAAUUAUUGGAAUAUAAAAGCCAAAACAAAAUUUAAAGCUUUAAAAAUAGUUUUUAAUGUAAUAUUAAACUUAUAUUAUGUUGAUUUUUUAAGGUAUUUUUUUAAUAAAAAUUAAAGUAUUAGACUUUACUUUUGAUUUAAUAUGGUAAUAAAUAGAAAGAGAUGAUAACUUCAUGUUAUAGCUUUUCAUUUAAGAAAAUAUUCAAUAACUAAGAUCAUUUACAAAAUUUAAACCAAAAAAAAGAGAUGCAAUCUUUGACCAAUAAUAAAUGAUUUGUUUGGAGCUAAUGCAAUUUUAUCUUUAAGCAAUAGAAUCAACAUAAAUUAUUGAUUUAAAAUUUCUUGAUUAAGUUUAACUAAGUAUGUCUUCAUAUCUUUUUGUGCAUAAAAUUAAAAAUAAUUCUUCUAAAUCCUACAAAACUAUUGAAUUUAAAUUUAAAAAUAAUCUUCUUAUUUUACAUGAUAUUUAUAUAUUCUAAAAACCAAACACAAUCAAAUAUUCUUUGAAUUCAUUGUAAUUUUUUAAUUGUAAGAUCUUGUAAAUACAACAAAUAUUAAAAUUAAUAUCAAAAGAUUUUUAGUGGUUUCAAAUGUAAAAGGUAGUUAAAGACUUUAUUCAAUCAUGUGAUAUUUUUUUAAGAUCAAAAAUUCCUUAUCAUUAAUCUUAUACACUUCUUCAAUCAUUACUUAUACUAAAACAAUCAAGAUUAUCUAUUUUUAUGGAUUUUAUCAUAGAUCUUUAAAUCUUAAGCAUUUAUGGCUCUAUAUUUGUGAUACUAAAUUAUUUAACUAAAUUAUCAUAUUUUAUAUUAUGUACAAAAACCAUAUGUAAAGAAAAACUAGACACCUUAAUUUGAUAUAGGCAACAAGGUAUAAUUACUUUGUCAUAAUAUCAAAAUUUUUUGUUCUUGCAACAAGUUAGAUUAUUAUAGAUUUAAAUUAUUUUAUAUUUUUUUAGUAGAUUAAUUCAGUUAUAUAUUAAUUAUAAUUAUUAGAGUUUAUAAAGAUCUAUCUUGUAUUUCAUUUGCCUCUUUUUGAGCCAUAUAAGAUAAUAGAUAUACCAAAAGGAUAAUAAAUGCUACUUCUUCUUAUGAAAAUAGACAUCAAUCAAAAGUUUGGGAUAGAAGAGGUCUUAGUCUCAAGUCAGACCCAACAUAUGUUAGAAUAUCUUGUACAUUAGCAUAGAUAUGAUACUAAUAAAUGCACAUGGAAGUCAUUUGAAAAUUUUGGAAAUAUGGCAAAGAAAGUUGAUAGUUUUCAAUGACAAUAUUAAUUAAAAUUAAGAUAAAGAGACAAAAUAUUCUUUGCUAUAAAACAAAAUAUGUUCAAUAAAGAUUGUAUUCUAUAUUCUAUCAUUAUUUGUGAUUUUUAUGUAUUUUUGGUAUUAAAAAUAUGGAGAAUUAUUAAUCAACAAAUUCAAUUUAAGUCUUGUUCUUAACUAAAUUAACAAACAAGGCAUUGAGAUUGUCAAAAUCUUCAAAACAUCAUAAUAGAAAUAAAAAUCCUAAAAAAUAAUAUGUUUUUUUCUUAAAUAGAUGGUAAGAAACAACACAUUUGAUAUUAUAAUAUUGGAAGAGAUUCUUGAUAUUUGGUGAUAUUGUUGAAGGUAAGAACCACUUCUAAUGGUAUAUCAAAUAUUUUAUUUAAGAGAAGUUAUGAAAGCUUUAAUUAUGAUUAAAUAAUAUGAUUAUUUUCUUGCCAUGAUAUAUGAUACUACCAAUGGUUGAGAAGACCUAUCAAUUAUCUUCAAACAUAACAAACAUCAAAGUGUUUGAUUAAUAAGAAGUGCUACAUCUUGGACUUCCUCAAUAUAUGAUCACUACUUAUUGUAAAAUUUGUUCCUAAAAAGAGGUGUAAUAUCACAAGCAUCAAUAUUGAUAUUAAUAAUCAUGACAAUAAGAGAAGUUAGAUAGAAGUAAGUAAAAAUAGAUAAAUGAUAUAAUAUCUUAUAAAUAAACUUUAUUGAUGCAGAUUUGACUUUACAAGUAUUUGUAGGUAAUUGGUGGAUUAAAAACUUAGCCAAUACAUUGGAUAGGUGGCACAAAUGUUGACUACUUGUUUAGACACAUUUAGCAAUAGCUAUUUUAGUUUCUAUUUUAUAUCUAUCUAUGAUUUGUUUACUUUCAUUUUUUAAAUGCUACAAGAAUAUAUUAUUAUUUUUAGAAUUUUAUUAUAAUUUAUAUCCUUGAUAUAUAAUUACUUCUUACAUGAAUUUUUAAUAAGACUUAGGUUGUAUAUUCAAAUUAAUUGUUCUUAUUAUUGUUUGAAAUAAUAGUGCUUUUAACUCUUACAACAUUGAUACAUUUUUGUUUAUAUUUACGAUCAUUGUCAAAUUAAUCUUUAGAGAUUAGUCAGAUUAAUCUCUUACACCUUCUUUAUAUAAGAGUAUUUAUGAAACACUCUAAAUUUUGUUGAUAUUGUAUACAAUGAGCACUACUUGCUAUGCAUUAUCAUUGAUUGUUAUUAGAAGCGUUAACUUUUGUUGUAAUUAUGUAUACAUCAUUCUCCCUUAAAUACACCAAUGGACUAUUAUUUCCAUUGUCUUACUUCUUUUGGAACAAGAUAUACAAAUACUCAAUUCUUAUUCAAUUACUUGUAGAAUUCUACAACGUUUGCAAUUAUUGAUAGUUGUUGGUUGCAUGUUACAUCAUCUCCCACAUUCUAAAUCACAAAUUUUGUUCCAUAGGUUUUGCGGUUGCAAUUUGGAUUGAUUGAUGUUGAUUGAAAAAAAACUCUCAAUUUUUUCAAGAUAAUGCAAUAAAAAAUAGGGGAAUGAAAAUAUGAAAAAUGUAAAAAAAGAAAGAAGAAGUUGUAAAGAUGGCUGAUACUUUUAGAUACUAUUGUUUGGAAGUAUAUACAUAAUCAUUUAGGAACUAUAAAAUUUAAUGAUCCCACAUAAAUCAUAAAAACUUCCAUAAUCUAUAAAAUUUCCAUUCAACAAUGUUAUAGAAAUGUGCCAUCGCUUGAAUCAAGCACGUCAUAGAUGCCUGCGUGACAUGAACGGCUGAUGCAAAUGGAUGACCUGGACAGGGUACAUGGACAAUAUGACGUAGACGGGGUUGACAUGGACAGUAUGACGCAGAGGAUGAAGCCCAUCUACGAUCAGAGGCGACGGAAGACCCCGCACCAGGCAAUCGGGGUCGGCGAUGGCGAUGGCGAUGGCGGAGCAAUUCCCUCAGUCCCAAACCCCAAAUCUCACUCAACCCCAUUUUAUCGCGGUGGACCGAUCCAUACAUCGCUGGUUCGAUGGAGCCACAGCAAUUGAGGGAGACGAAUGAGGAAUGGUUAUGGGGAUUUGAGCAGCCAAGCCACCCCAUGCCUCGCCACCGCAUUCUCAUCGUCAUCGACACCCUCCCUCCCUCCCUCAGCCCCGAGCACUCGGAGAUUCGCGCGCAGCGCGCUCCGACGCAACAAUCCCAAUCGCAAUCAUUACCUAUUCCCAACGCCGAACACCGGACACCAUCCCACACCCCUCAUCUCAUGUUCUCCCUUCUCUUGCCCCCUCAUCUCCGCGCUUGACCCUUCCAUUUCUCCCCGCCAUCUCCCACUUCCCACCUCCCACCUCACCUCAUUUUUCUGGAUGCCUGCAUUCCCCUCUCAGGACUUACCUGGGUACGCUCCUUGUGGUUGGGUUUCGUUUUGCUGAAGUUUUUGGGUGGUGGGUUCGAUCUUGACACUUGGAAGAGCGCGAGUUGCGUGUUGUUGUUGUUGUUGGUUUUUGUGUGUGUAUAUGUUGAGUGUGCCGUUUGAGAGGUACGAUGAUGAGGAGUUGUUUGCGAAGUGGGGUUCUAAUGUGCGUGCUGCUGGUUUGCGUUUCUGGGUGUAUCGUGUCUGUGAUUUAAUUUUCAUAGUCUGUUUUUCUUUUUGCUCUUUUUUUUAAAAAAAAUUAACUUAAAUUUCUGGCAGAUUUAAACUGUGUGUGGGGGUAUUGCCAAGCUUGUACAGAGUAAUGGGGAAUAGGGGAAUUUUUUUGCUGUUGUAGGAGUUGAGUUUUGAGUGAGAUCCUGAAUUCUAGCGGGUGCGUGUUUUGGUCGUAUACCUGUCUUUUCUUGGUAAGACAAUGGGCAGUUGUGUUCAGUUUGAAUUGGGGCGGCGAUCUGGAGGCGAGGAUGUCAUUGGGUGUUUCAGCUACUCAGAUAGUUGGCGGCUUUGGGAGAAUAAUAGAAUUUUCUCCGUAACACAAUGGAAUAGAGCGAGUCUAGUUACAAUGGCACUAACUAAACUGAACAUUUCAUGUGCCCAAUUUGUGAGCUAGCCCUUGCUUGUCUGCUACUGCGUACAAUCGCACUAAUGUCUAUACUGCCCUUGUGAGCCACAAUUUCUUCGAGUAUUCAGCCGUCUGAGUGUGUUAUUAUGCAUCGCAGCUUGCUUUGAGUUAAGUACAGUUGUAAAUCCUUGGAGGUCGAUGUGGGGGACCAUUUUGGGUCAAAGUUGAUAUGUCCGGUUUGAUGUGAACAUUCUUCCCUUUCUUUGUGUUCCAGGGUGACUGAAAACAUUGUGUAGACAACGACAGCAGAGACACUGACUAUACCAAUCUGUAAAGACGGGUUUCUCUCUGAAGACAUCACAAGGGAUGUAGACACCGCGGAGAAAGACAAUUUCUUUUCUAUUUUUUAAAUUUUUUAUGUGGUUUAUUUCGAGGAUCUGGUGGACGGAAGCUUCGCCUUGCAGCAGGAAGAUGUAAGUAUGUGCAAUGGCCUUUUCGCGUGUAAUUGGCUUCACAAAGUUCAUUUUCAGCCCACAAUUUCAAACAAGCAUAGCUUUCUAUAAUGUGGAGCUUGAGUGUUUUCCUUCAAAAACGUAAUGAAUCUUAGAUACUUUGUCGAGACUAAAAAUCGUAACCUUGAAAUAAGGGGUUCCAGUUUUGAGCUAGUAAAUUUGCAACCAGGUGCACAACCAUUUCGCAAGAGUAAUAUAUGCCUCUCAUGUUCGAUACUAGAUUGCAUGUUGACAUCAUGAAACAUAUUAUUGUCUUUACUUGAUACUAUCGACAAUUGUCACUUCUUAGGACCUUUGAAGAUCCCCAUCGUGUGUUGUGACUGUCGAUAGUGAGUACUGUGAAUUCCUACAUCUCCGUUGCAGUAUUCCUUUACCCUUGCAUCGCCAUUUUACAUCUGAGCUAAAAUAGUGGGAAUUAGAUUCUGCUCAACUUUACUGUCGAUCUCACCGUAGACAAACCCAAGCCAGAACCAGAUAAUCUUUUCAGAAGCAUCUCUGAAAAUGAUGGCGGGUGAGUUCAUUUCUUGACGUGACGAGUUCUGGAACUUGGGAUCGAUGUGCUCUGUCUGAUGAAUGUGCUGACGGCGCAACCCAGGACUUACGAUGACGCUCUUCUGCUCUUGGCAUGCAGAUACUGUUCUCGUUAGAGACCAUCACCUGUCCAAGUCCAGUUGUUGUGAUGCAGUUGUAAGUGAUCGGAGGCGGGUGCCGUGGAUCUUGACUUCGUCGAGUGGAGGUGCAAUUGGUUGAUCAUAGGGGGCUGAGGCCGGAGUAGAAUCUCGGGGUGGAAGGAUGUCGAAGACUGUAGCUGGGUGGUUUGGACGCACUCACAGCAAGUCCUUCUCCAAGGACAUCAACAAACAUGACGGGCAGGGGUCGGAGCAGGAGGAUGAUAAGGAGAAUAAGAGCGAGAAGUCGUUGACGAAAUGCGAGUCCCUGCCGACGAGUCUGUCGUGCAUGGAAUCCGACGACGACGAGUCGCAAGCAGAUCAAGAGGGGCCGUGUGUGAAAUUUAACGAGAAGGAGCUGGGCCCGUUGGUGUCGUUGAAGGAGCAGCUGGAAAAGGACAAGGAGGACGAGAGUCUGAGGCGAUGGAAGGCGCAGCUGCUGGGGGUGGCGAGUGAGGAUGCGCCAGACGGUUUUGUGGAGCCGGAGGUGAACGUGCUGUCACUGGGAGUGAUUGCGAAGGGACGACCGGACAGCGAGUUGCCGCUGCCGCUGGGGACGAACUCGCGGGGGUACACGUUCUCGCUGAAGGAGGGGUCGACGGUGGCGCUGAGGUACUCGUUCACUGUGCGUAACAACAUCGUGUCCGGGUUGACGUGCAUGAACACGGUGUGGAAGGCGGGGCUACAGGUGGAUCAGACACGGGACAUGAUGGGGACUUUCGCGCCACAGCAGGAGGCGUACGUGCACGUGACGGAGGAGGAGGUGACGCCUUCGGGGCCGCUGGCCCGCGGCGCUUACACGGCGCGGAAGAGGUUCAUCGACGACGACGGAAGGGUGCACCUGGACUUGGAGUACUCGUUCGAGAUCCGGAAGGAGUGGUAGAGUGGAGGGGAGAAGGGCGAAUGGGACGAGGGGAGUAUCGAUUGUGUGAUACAGUAGAAGGUCGAGUGCAGCGCGGGCGCAAGCCUGCGCGCGGGAGGGAGGGAUUAAUGGAGUCGUUGGCAAGGCAGGGGGAGGAGAUGGGAAGAGGCGAAGCCGUCGCUCGGAUGAGAUGGGGUGCAGUGCCCGUCGAGAGUGGGUGGCCGGAGACUUGCGGCGCAGCGCGUGUGGAAGCGUGCAGGAAGAGAGGGAUCAUCGAAGGGAUGAUGUGAUAUGAUUUGAAGGAAGGUGUGUGGCGAUGG
rnacentral:lncRNA from 1 species